AUUGAGAAGGCCAGCUGUCCCAAAACUCUAGAGGAAUUGUGUCCGAAAUUCCAGUAUUGGAAAGAUCAAGAAAGGUAAGAUUUUUAAGUGUCUGAAUAAUCCAUUUGGGGAAGCGAGGCCCUAGCAGCUUGCAAGAGCUCAGAUCAAGAUAUUUAACAUAAGAGAUGUUUGACAAGUGAUAUGUGGAAGGAACUGUAAGAUUAUUAAAAGAAAGGUCAAGGGUUCGGAGGCUGGGUAGUUCCCACAGUUUCUCACUUAUACUUCCAUUUAAGUGAUUAUGAGAUAGGUCCAAGUAUCGUAGGGAUGAAAACUUUUGGAUCUCAAUGGAAAAUGACCCUGUAAAUUGGCUUCCUUGAGCAGACAACUCUUGUAAUGAAAGGGAUGUGCAUCCAGACAAGUUGUGGAGAAAAUCAGGAAAUUUGACAGCAGCAGAGUUGUUAGAGAUGGAUAAAGUUUCCAGACUACAGAGGUUACCAAGGUAUUUGGGUAUCCCAUCUAACAUGUUGCCAGAGAGCAAAAGAACACGAAGCUUAUUGCUGGUUAAUGGGAACAACCAACGAUACAUGGAUGAGGUUAGAUUGUUGUCUUGUAGAGAAAGGGUAUGAAUGGAUAAAGAAGAAGAAGAAGAGUUGAGAAAUGAAGAAGAAUAUGGAUACAUGACCUGUGACAGCUCACAUCCCUCUAAAGAUAAAUAUGAGAGUUUCCGGAGACUCAGAAUGACAUCUACCCAGUGAUUUUGUUUGGCUAGGGAAAUCCCACCCAUUCUCAGGGACUGCAAAUGAGAGAGAUGAGACAACCACUCUACCUUUUCAACUCUACACCUUCCAACAGAAUUAAGAUGAAGGUGCUGCAAGUUGGUGAGGUUUCCAAACUCUGGAGGGAUGGGUCCAUAAAAAGAGUUAACGGAAAGGUCAAGGUAACUUAACUCUGUCAAGGAACCAAUUGACCUGGGAAUGGUCCCAUUAAAAUGAUUCACGCUAAGGUUAAGGUACCUUAAUCGAGUCAAAGAACCAAUGAAGGUGGGAAUGAUUCCAUUGAAAGCAUUCAAGCCAAGGUUAAGGUACCUUAAUCGAGUCAAAGAACCAAUGAAGGUGGGAAUGGUUCCAUAAAAAGCGUUACCGUAAAGGCCAAGAUGAUUCAAGUAGGUUAAGUUAAGCAGUGAAUGGCUUAUCUCACCUUGAAGCCAAUAUUCAUUGAGAUCAAGCCCUGUGACAUGACCUGUUUGGUUGCUGCACACGACUCCUCUCCAUUUACAGCAAUCAUCAUCUUCUGCUGUCCAUGUAGAGAGAUAAUCAUAAGGGUCUUGAAAGGGAGCUUUGAAAAGAAGGAGAGCAUCUCUCUCCUUAUCCAAACACUUCUUUUUCAUAUCAUUUCCUCCUGCAGCUACCAAUUGGCUGCCAGUUGUAGUCACAAGGAGUAGCAAGAGAAGUGAGGAAAUUAUAAAAACACAAGAAUUCAUAAUGUAAAUCAAAAUCUUAUGUGCUGAUUUUUGGUUUGUAUUGAUGCCUGCCUAUAUGAACUGCCCCCAUAAGGGUUUAUAUAGUCUCCACUGUCAAGAUGAAUGACUAUAAGUGGGUGGCCAUUAAUUGUGUGGAAUUUCUUUCCCCAUAUUAAACUUCAAAGACUUGCAAGUCUUGGCAAUUUGUCUUUAUUAUAGUAGAUAUCUUUCCCCAUCUUCUGAUAUGAUAUUGUUUGGUAUAUGAUAUAAAUCCCCAAAUGCAAAACUAAUGGAAUCUUUCAGUCAAAUACAAAUCUACCAAUGAUAUCAAUAAUGAUAUUAUUUGGUCUUUUCCAUUGUUAAAAAUGAUAUUUAAGAUAACACUGCAUUAAUAAUGAUUCGAUUUAAAACAGAUUAGGAUGAUAAUUAAUACAAUUUUUCAACGUUCUUUUGUCCAAAUAAAAUGACUAUAAUUAAUAUCAGCUAUACUCGAUCGGGGACCAAAUAUAGUCAGUUUAACUGAAACAUGGACCAAAGCAUUUCAAGAACCUCAAAUAAGGACCAAAACUAAAAAUUUCAGCUAUACUCAGGGACCAAAAACGUUUUAUUUUACUCAAAAAUAAACAUAACAUACAUAAACAGAAGUUUUCAUUUGCAACAAAUCCUACCUUCUGUUUACCUAAAUUAAGCUCCUGUGAAUCAAAAAUCACAUAUUAAAGGCUCCAAUUCUGCAACUGUCUUUUCUGACCAGCAAUUUGUAGCUUCUGAAGCUCCACUCCAUUCACCUCUAUCAUUUUGCACUACUCAUUUAAAAUUUUUUAAGAAAAUCAUGUUAUUAAUAUUAAUCUCAAAGACAACGUAUUGAUGUAUUAAGUAUUAUAGUAUCCUACUUUCAUAGUUUGCUACCUCUUGAUGUAAUACAAGGGGUAUGUUGGCCAUUUAAAGACAUCCAGGAGAAUACUUUUUCCAAAAAAAAAAAAAAAAAGAAGCCGUUAAACUGGAUACAAAUUACUAAAAAUAAUUAUCGAAAUGAUCAACUUAGAUUCUGCUUCAUAGAGGUAUGUAGAUAACUAGUUCUUAACUGAUAUGAGUAUUAUUAUAUGAAAAUAUAUUUUUGCUCGUGUAUUGAAUGUAAAAAACCGUGAAAGUAUAAUGAUGUUUUAGUUACAAAACCUUAAUUGAGAUGCUCAUUACAAUAUGAUAGAUAAUUUUCUUUGUACAUGAAUUAAUUUUUUUUUUAAAAAAAAUACAUGAAAGUAUAUCCAAUAAAACUUUCAUUUUACUCUCUAUGAUAACUGUUAGAAGAACACAUUAAGUAAUUAGUAAUUAGCCUAUCCAUCAAUUAAACUACAUAGCUUCUCCAGUUCAUACUUUCAAUUUUUUUUUUUAUAAAAAAUACAAAUUGCAAAAUAUCACAAGAUGAGAAAAGAUAUCUACAAUAAAGACAAAUUCCCAAGACUUAUAAGUCUUUGAACGUAUAAUUUGGGGCCAUUAAUUCCAAUUCUGCAUCUAUGAUUUUUCUUAUAGUCUUGUUCUAAUUUUAUGGAGAAUAAGUAUUGAUGGAAAUUGUGUAUGCCUCAUAUAAGUGGCCACCAAUUUGAGGCCACCCUCAUGGGCCCAGGAGCAUGUUUGGGCCUUCUAACACAGACCAAGAAUUACUUGUUGUGGAGCCCACUUUUAACAAUUCUCAUCACAUCACUUUUUUAAAAGUGAUGUAUCUUUGAAAAUAUCACAAGUUUGGAAAAGAUCUUGAUAAUAAAUUCAAAUUGCCAAGACUUGCAAGUCUUUGAACGUCUAAUUUGGGGCAGUGUAUUAUAACUCUUCAUCUUUAAUUUGUCUUCUAGUUUUAGGUUCUAAUUUCAUGGAAAUUAAGCAUUGUGUGUUCCACCCAUUUAGAAUCAUUCAUCUUCAUGGAGACUAUAUAAACCCUCAUGGGCCUGUUCAUAAAGACAUCAACACAAUACUAAAAUGUCUUAAUAGAGAAUAAAUGAAAGUACAAUACUGCAAUAACAAAAAGAUUAAUGAAUGUACGUUGCUAUUUCUUACAUUUAACCCUUUUGCAUUUGACCAAAUGUAUUAUCAUCAAAGUCACAAUACAAAUUAUCACAAAGUGUAGUAGAUUAUGGUGUUAAUGAGAAGCCGAAUACAUUUGCUCUCAUCCAAAACAAUCGAUCAACUUAACCCCUGGUGAUUUUAGCAUUUACCUCUUCUAAAAGCUAAGUUUGAAAGAUAUCAUCAACAACACUAAUUCAACUGCAAUCAAAUAAUAUUAUGUUGCACCUACUUGUGCAGCUAGAUCCGUUUGUUUAUUGCUGGGUUUGAUAUGGAGAAUGUUAGUGAAUGCUAGUGUACACAAACAUUAGCUUAGCAAUGUAGGCACAAUCAACCAACAGAACAGAUGCUCAUAAGGUAGCUGGAAGAAAAGAUCAGAUAAAGACCAGAACACGCUCCAUUUUUACAUUUAUAUUAUUGAUAACUGAGAAAUAAAACCCAUCGAUCAGUAAAAAUCAAUGGCCUUUUCCAUGGCAAAACCCUGAAUUUGCAGGUUAUGCAAAUAAUAUAAACUCACAAGUCUGUCUCCUAAUCUAACAAUAGAUUAGAUGCACCUGAAGAAUACCCAAAAUGAAGCAACAAUACAGAAGUAGGACAUCACCUAGGCAAUGAUGUGUGCGUGGUUGCUCUGCUACGAUGCUCGGAUUUGGAACCCUCGUUGACUGAUUUUGAUUGUAGAGGAAAAAUGGUGUAUUGGAUGGCACAUAGAUCUCACGAUCCUAUCUGGAUCUUGCGAGCAUAAUCACGAAUCUUGUUUCAAAAUCAGAAAUUAAUUUCUGAUGUAUCGAUCACGAGCGCGAUAAACAAAGCUUGUCCAGUCAUACAAGAGCAGCCUGUUUGUGACCUUAGAAUUGGGAAUUUGGUCUAAAAUGGUAAAAGAAAGGUUUUUUUUUUUUUCCAGGUUAAGUAUAAUAACUUUUAUCAUAUUCUCUAAGUCCCAUAUAGGGACAGGAUUUGGCCCGAAAACCCGAAUCGAACCGAAUUAGAUCCGAAUAAGCAAUUCGAUUCAGUUUUCGGGUAUCUAUAUAAGGCUUAUUCGGUUUUCAGGUUAUUUGGUCCGGGUUACCCGAAUAAGGGCUUAUUCGGUCCAAAUUAAAGGAUUGAACCGAAUAUGAAAAGUCACAUUUUUUUCCACUUACACGAUUGCUUAUUCGGUCUUGUGUUCUAUCGAUCGUUACCCAAAAUACCCACGUAAUAUUUAAUAUUUAACUUAUAUACUUAUAGAUAGAUUUUUGGGUGUUUUACAUGUUUAAUGUUUAGUGUUUAAUAUGUUGUUUAAGAAUGUGGUCGUUAGAUUUUACAUUUUAUAUAUCAAUAAUAGUUAAUCUGUGUUAUUUGUCUUUAUCAUAAGCUACAAAAGUCAUACAAAAUACAAUAUUUAUAAUCACAUUGUAAAUGUUAUUUGGAUUAUUUGGGUUAUUCAGCUCCUUAAUUAUCUUCUACAUGUUAUUUGGGUUAUUUAGGCCGGAACCGAACCGAAUUGAAUAAUACCCGAACCGAACCGAACCCGUAUUGCUUAUUUGGUUCGGUUUUCGGUUCAUAUAAUUACCCUUAUUCGGUUUUCGGUUUAUUCGGGUUCGGAUCGGUUCGGUUCCGACCUGAAUAACAUCCCUAGUCCUAUAUAAACAAAAUUAAUAAAUUUAUAAAGGCCUUAGGGUAUUAAAAGAGGAAAAAGAAUGUCCCGAACUUUUACCAUACUUAUGAAAAAAAUUAAAAAUUAUGUCUUCUUUUAAUAGAAAAAACAAGAAAUUAGGUAAUUUAUUCAUUUUUGGGAUAUUACAAAGUUCACUCUAAUUCAAUGGAUUGAUUUGUUGAACCAAAUGUUAGGUGAGUAUACUAGAUGCUUAGGUGGCCGGUAGGGUUAUAUUGAAACCCAAUACACCUUAUUUGAUAAUCUGGUUAACCCUAAGUCGUAUAAGGAGGAGGGAAAUGGAACCAUUUUCUUUUGUGGGAAGGGUUCUACUUUGAACACACCAAUCUAUAUUACCAUCCUGUACCAUUAGGUUUACUUUUUAGUUUAUUAUUACCUUAUUAUUAUUGACUUUACUUUUUAAAUUAUCAUUACUAUAUAAUUAUUAUUUCAUUACUUUUUAAUAUUAUUUCAAUAUAACCUAAUCAAUAAAUCAUUAUUAUUUAAUGAUUAUAAUUUUAGCUUUUGUUAUUUAUUUAUUUGUUUAUUUUGAUACUUCGUGAUCAUUUAGCCAACGAUUUAAGUUCAUAUGUACUGCUAUUUUACUGGACUCCAAAGCAAUUACAUGUCCAUUAUUUUACUACUAUAAUCUAAAAAAAUCUUUUACGUCGUAGUAUAUUGUCAUUAUGAAAUUAAAAUAACGUUAAUUUUUAGACUAAUUUGAAAAUGGCUAACUAAAAAAAAAAUUCUAAACUGACUAUCAUAUUUAUUGUUAUAAAAUAAUAGUUUGUGAAUGACCAUUGGAUUCUUUAUUUCUCUCAUAACUCCCCAUCAUUAUUUAGCAUUAGUAACAACCAUUUCAAUGUGUUUUAUGAAUGUAAUAAUACACCAUCAUAAUGUGCAUUCAUAUUAUAGCUCAUCUUUCAUCUUAUUUGGAUAGUAUAAAUAGUGAGCUAUAUGUAUUAGGCAUCUGAUGAUUUUCAUCACAAAUAUUGGAAUAAAAGUUCUCUCUACUCUCAUGUCUUUCUUUACUCUAUAAAUUAUCUUAUUAUUUGAUCAUAUUUUAUAACACGUUAUCAGCACGACUCUACCAUAGAGCUCUAACUCCUUAUUGUUCUUGUUAUUUUCAGGUAUAUAUUUUUAAUAGUUUUACAUAUAUAAUGCUUACAACUUAUUUUAAGGAAUUUCUUAACUAACAAUUCUUUAACAUACAAGUCUUUAUUUUGACUUUUAUUUUCAUUAUGGAAAAUCAUGCUAGAGAAAACUUUCUCUAGUUUUCAUAUUACUAACAUGCUCCUGCAGUAGCAAUAUCAAGAGAAAAGUUUAAAAUAAAUAUGAAUUAAUCUCAUGUCUUCUUGUGGCUAAACAAAACAAUGAGUUGUUGAUGAAAAAUCACCAAUCAAUCCCGAUCGGUUCUAGUGCAUUUCCUGAAGUGAAUGCCACAUCAUAUAAUCAUAAUAGUCAUGGGUCUAACCGUGGCCGUGGAGGUUAUUAUAAUUAUCAUAAAAAUAACAAGAUUACAAGUAACCACCAGAAGUUGGAAAAUAGCAAAAAUCCACAUCCUAAUGAUAAAGUGGUCAAGGCAAAAAAAAAAGUUUAAAAUGUUUGUCAUUGAUGUUGAAUGACCGAUCAUUGGUCUUGUACAUAUCGCUUGCCAAAGCAUUUUGUUGAUAUUUAUCAAGCUUAUCUAAAAUCUAAAGAAAAAUAAAAUAUCAAAACAAAUUUUAUUCAAAGUGAUAUUCAUGAAGAUCAAACAGAAAUGACAUAUUUGGAUGUUGCCGAUUUUCUUGUCUACCCAGAAGAGACAAGUGGUGAUAUGGAUGGUGAUUGGAGAAUAAUGUGUAGUUUUGUUUCAUGUCAUAUAUUAUGCUUUUAUGUCAUAUUCAUAUUGUGAGAAAUGAUACCAUCACAAUCUUAUUAAUGAAAUAAAAUAUGAAUUUAUUUCUCUAAGAUGAAUGUUUCUUAUGUUUUAUUUAUUUAUUGAAAAGAAAUAUGGAUAUUCGCAAAAGAAAUAAUGAAGAUAUAUUUCUUGCAGACAAUGCAAUAACACAUAGCAUUUUUAAUAAUGAAAAAUAUUUUUCUUACAUAUCAAUUAGAGAGCAAAUGUUAAUAUAAUAACAUGUAAUGGAAAAAUGAUUGAAAGCUCCGGAAGAGCGAAUAUAAUAUUACAAGGGACACUAUUACAAAUUANNNNNNNNNNNNNNUAUUUUCGUCUAAAUCACCAAGAUUGAAGGCUCCGGAAGAGCGAAUAUAGUAUUACCACAAGUGACAAUAAUUACAACUGGUGAUAUAUUAUUUCAUUAAAAUCAUCAAGAAAUUUAUUAAGUUUUAAGGAUAUUCAGUCUAACGGAUAUCAUAUUGAAACAAAUAAUGAUGGUAAUCAAGAUUAUCUCAACAUUACAAAAAUGAUAUCGGGUAAGAAAAGUUUUUGGAAAAAUUACCUGUAUUUUCCUCUCGAUUGUACUAUAAAAAUAUUACAAUUAUUCAUACUAUUGAAAAUAAAAAAGGUAUGAUAAUACCUUCAAAGUUUGGCAUGACCGGUUGGGUCAUCUCAGAUCAAUUAUGGUAUGUAGAAUAAAUAAAACUUCGAGUGGUCAUUCCUUGAAAAACCAGAAGAUUUUUCAAGAUAAUGAAUUGUCUUGUGUUGUGUGCUCUCAAGGAAAAUUAAUUUCCCCAUCCAUCAUUAAACAAAGUUGGGUAUGAAAGUCGUAGUUUUAUAAAAAAAUCAAAGGGAUAUAUGUGGACCAAAUCAACUACCAUGUGGACCAUUUAGAUAUUUUAUGGUUUUAAUUGAUGAGUCAACUAGAUGGUCACAUGUGUGCUUGUUGUCUAGUUGUAAUUUGGUUUUUGAAAGAUUACUUGCAUAAAUAAUCAGCCAAAAGGCACAUUUUCCAGAUUACCCAAUUAUGAAAAUUAGACUUGAUAAUGUUGGAGAAUUUACAUCAGAAGCUAUUAACGAUUAUUGCAUGUCGAUUGGAUUGAACACCCUGUUACACAUGUUCAUAUGCAAAAUGGUCUAACUGAUUCAUUAAUCAAACGUCUUCAAUUAAUUGCAAGACCAUUACAAAUGCGUUAUAAACUUCCUAUAUCGAUAUGGGGGCAUACAAUUUUACAUGCAACAUCAUUUAAAUUCAUAAUGCCAACUAGUUAUCAUUAGUUCUCCCCUAUUCAACUGGUUUGCAGUUAGGAACCAAAUAUUGCACAUCUAAGGAUGUUUGGAUGUAUAAUUUAUGUACCCAUUUCUCCACCUCACCGAACAAGAAUGGGUCCUCAAAGAAGAAUGAGAAUUUAUGUUGGAUAUGAAUCUCCAUCUUUAUUAAAUUAUUUAGAACCAUUAACUGGAUAAUUAUUUAUAGCUAUAUUUGACGAUUAUUAUUUUGAUGAACAUAUUUUCCAACAUUAGGGGAAGAAAUAAAGAAGUUGGAAAAUAAAAUCUCAUGUACUAGCUAUAAUGAUCCAGUUAGAAUUGAUAUCCCAGAAGAAAAAAUACAACUACAAAUGAAUCUAAGUCAUGCCUGAGGCGUGAAAGAACAACUUGUUCUAAAGAUAAAAAUCCUUGAAAAUAAAUGGGAAAAAAUAUAAUGAAUGGUCAAAAAGAGAAAACAAUAUCUUUUGAAAAAAUUAAUGAAGCUCUAGAAGAGCCAAUGACAUAACAAAAGAAUAUAAGGUACCUGAAAAAAAUGAAAAUGAUGAGAUCUCAAUAAAUUAUGUCAUGACAGAAAUAAGAUGGAACCAACAUAAGACAGAAGUCGGCGAUAAUUUUUCAUAUCAUGUUCCGCAUGUGAUUAUAAAGAAAAUGAGGAUCUUGAACCAAAAUCUAUUGAGAAAUGUAUGAAUAGAAAAUAUUGACCAAAAUGGAAAGAUGAAAUAAAUAAAGAGUUCAAUUCUCUUACUCAACGAAAAGUUAUUGGACCUGUAGUCCAUACACCAAACAGAGUAUGAACAGUGCGACACGAAUGGGUAUUUGUGCGCAAAAGAAACGAGAAAAAUGAAGUUGUGAGAUAUAAAACAAUACUUGUUACACAAGGUUUUACCCAAAGGCCUGAAAUUGAUUAUGAAGAAACUCUCGGGUAGUUGAUGCAAUUACAUUCAGUUAUUUUAUAAGUUUAACAAUAUAUGCAAAACUGGAGAUGUGUCUAAUGGAUGUAUUUACCGCCUAUUAUAUGGUUNUUGAAAAUUAUAUUUAUAUGAAAAUCCCAGAAGGGUUUAAGGUGCCAGAAGCACAAACUUCUAAUUCUCGUGAAGUAUAUUUGGUAAAGUUAAAUAAAUCUUUGUAUAGAUUGAAACAAUCUGGCCGUAUGUGCUUCAAUUGUUUUAGUACAUUUCUAUUGAAAUAGUGCUAUAAAAAUGAUCCAUUAAGCCCAUGUGUAUUCAUAAAACGAUGCAGAUAAGAGUUUAUUAUAAUUGAUGUUAUUGUAGAUGAUUUGUACAUAAUUGAAACUCCUAGAGAAUUGGAAAAGGUCACUUCUUGUUUGAAAGAAAUUUUUUUGAAAUGAAUGAUCUUGGGAAGAUGAAAUUCUAUUUGGGUCUUCAAAUUAAGCACACAAAAUGGAGUUUUUGUACAUUAAUAUCUAGAAACGGUGCUAAAAAGGUUUUAUAUGAAUAACUCACAUCCAUGAGUAACCUGAAGGUGGUAAGGCAAUUAGAUGCCAAAUAAGGACCAACUUCAGCAUCAUAAAUAACAUGAAAAUCUUCUUGUUCCAGAAGAACUAUAUCCUAGUGCUAUUGGUGCACUAAUAUAUCUUACUAUUAAUACAAGACCUGAUAAAUCUUUUGUCGUAAACUUAUCAGCAAGAUAUAGUUCUUGUCCAGCAAGAAGAUACUGGAAUAGAGUCAAACACAUUCUUUGAUAUCUUCGAGGUACAAUAGAUAUGAAUUUAUACUAAUCAAAUUCAUAAAAUGCAAAGUUAAUUAGUUAUGCAGAUGCGGGAUAUUUAUCUGAUCCACACAAAGCUCGAUCCCAAACAUGUUAUUUAUUCACUUGUGGAGGUAACGUAAUUUCUUGUCAUUUUGUUAAACAAAAUUUAGUUGCUUCUUAUUCUAACCAUGCAGAGAUUAUAACAAUUUAUAAGGCAAGUCAUGAAUGUAUUUGGUUAAGAAAUUUAACUCAACACAUUUGCAAGAAUUGUGGUCUAACUUCUAAAAGGGAUGUUCCAACCAUACUAUAUGAAGAUAAUACAACUUGUAUAGCUCCAUUCAAGGAAAGAUUUAUCAAAGGCGACAAAACCAAACAUAUAUCACCAAUUCUUUUUUCACUCAUGAUCUUCAAAAAGAACGUGGCAUCAACAUCCAGAAAAUUCAAUCAAGUAACAACUUGGCAGAUUUGUUCACUAAAGCGCUCCCUACAUCCAAAUUUGAAAACAUGGUACGAAAUAUUGGAAUGCGACGCUUUAAGGAAAUCAAGUGAUGUGAUGAUCAGGGGGAGUUGGAACAUAUUGUACUCUUUUCCUUAGCUAUGUUUUUCUCACUGGGUUUUCUUAGCAAGGUUUUUAACGAGGCAAUUGUUCGAAAUAUCUAUUAUUAAUUAUGUACUUUUUUUCCUUAAUAAAUGGUUUUUCCCAUGAGGUUUUACCUAUUAAGGUUUUAACGAGACAUGAUACAAUCGUCAUUAGUUUGUGAAUGACCAUUGGAUUCUCCAUUUCUCCCAUAACUCCCCAUCAUUAUUUAGCAUUAGUAACAACCAUUUCAAUGUGUUUUAUGAAUGUAAUAAUACACCAUCAUAAUGUGCAUUCAUAUUAUAGCUCAUCUUUCAUCUUAUUUGGAUAGUAUAAAUAGUGAGCCAUAUGUAUUAGACAUUUGAUGAUUUUCAUCACAAAUAUUGGAAUAAAAGUUCUCUCUACUCUCAUGUCUUUCUUUACUCUAUAAAUUAUCUUAUUAUUUGAUUAUAUUUUAUAACAUUUAUGAUUAUAUACAUAGUUGAUAAAAACAUUAAAUACGACAAUACGCCAACAUACCUUUGGUUAAGUUAUAAGAAUGAAAUGGAAUUUAAAUUGUACAAUUUAAUAAUCAAUAAAUCAUUAUUAUUUAAUAAUUACAUUUUUUUACUAACUUAAUAAAUAUUAAUGAUUUUAUAUUUAUUUUUUAUUAAGAUAAAAAAACAACAAUAAUAUAGUUUUUAUAAUAUAAUAACAUAAAUACUAUUAUAAAAAAUAAAAGUAUAAAUAAAUUUUUAUCAACCUAAUAUCAUCGAUAUUAUAAGAAAUAAAAUCCGAACAAAUCUUUAUCAUUUUUUUAAUUUUAAAUAUUACAUAACAAAAAUCCAAGACAAAAAAUAAACAACAACUAAUCAUCUAUAGUCAUAACAGAUGUUUUCUAUAGGUCUGAGGCGCUUAUAAAAUUCUAGAUGCAACUUAUAUAUAGUUUCCCAUUCGGCUGCGGAUGAGUCUUUGUGGCGGAUCCAUAUUGCUGAAAUAGGAGGCAUCGGGUACUCUCCUUCUAACUGUGCCAUCACAUAGUGAUUGGUGUAUACGUGUGCAAGUGUAAGGACACGAUGAUUUUGAAACUCACUAUGAUUUUGAAACUUACUAGGACCUCUCCAUAGAGGGGAAAAGGUUAUAGAACCUAUUAUGGUGAAAAAUUGAAAUAUCACACCAAACCUGUUGGCUAUCAGGAUACUUGUCUCGUCUCAGGCAUAAGCAUAUAGUGUUCUGGUGGUGCUAUCCUAUCUAUCAUGAAGAAAGACAAUGAAUCAAGUACUCUAUCGCAUCCAAUGAAAACUCUAGAAUAGUCUUCAUAUGAAGUCAAUAACUCAUCAUACAGUUCUCGUACGGAUGAUCAUCAACAUUAAGAUUUCCAUAAUCCACAAAUACACAAGGCUUAAAAUCAAGCGUUCUCCAAAAAAUAUCAAUUGAAUCCAACGGAAUAGGUGAACGUAUAGUAAAAAAAUCAAAAUGUUAUAAAGUGAUUAUACAUAUAAACAUUGUCAAUUUAAUACAAUACAUUUGACAUACCUGUAUCGACAUUCAUCGCAAGUUUGUGAGCACAUGGUAAACUAAAACAUGUCCGUAGUUAACAGCCACAAUUCUCAGGAGUUGGUACAAAUCUUUUUAACCGAUGAAGCUCUUCUAAGAUUUUAUCCAAAGCAUGCUCUGAAACAUGAUGUCGUAGUGAAUUGAAUAUCUCAUCUUUAAACUUUGGCUUACGAAUGAUUAUGCUCCUUGUGAAACUCUCUUUAAUAGUUGUGUCUUGUGACUGUACAACUCUUUCAAUAACAUAUAUGAAUUUUACGGCAAGGUUUAUUAAUAGAUAUCAUAAAAUUAAAAGGUUUAAAUUAUGAAUUUGAUGUAUCUAAGGGUUAAUUUGUAAAUAAACAAGAAAAAAAAAAGCAAUACAAAAUAUUUUGCAUUAAUAUAUUAUAAAUUAAAUAAAAGUCAUUGGAAAAUACUUUAUUAUAAGCUUAUAGUAAAUAAAAUUAAUUUAACAGUAAGGUUUAAUAAUAAAUGUCGUAAAAUUUAAAUGUUUAAAUUAAGAGUUUGAUGCACCUAAGGUUAGUUUGUAAAUAAAUAGCCAAAAAAGAUAUAAAAAAUAAAGGAAUAGGAAAAGAUAUAAAACAUUAGUGGCAUCUUAGCAGCCAAAAAGGGGGGCGCGUGGCUUUUUUCUUGAAAAAGAAGUGCAUUGGUUUUUGUAGAGUGCAUAUUGAUAUUAGAUGGGCGCCAUUAAAUUUUGUAAUAUUAGAUUGGUGUAUAAUAGGGUUCAAUAGUUUGGUGUGUAAAAUAAAAAACCCUUGUGGGAAUUUGAAGCGAAUGAAGUGCAACUUGAUCGGUUUGUCAUUGUGAAAGGUGUAGGUGCACUUGUGGAUAUCAAUGUCCAAAAUGGGUUUCGUGGAUUCUAAUGAUGUAGACUCUUUGGUUGCCCUAAUUUAAGAGCAAAGGAAGUAAAUUUUGCACAUGUUAAUAAUGAUUUUACUUUUAAAGGAUGUAAUGGUCUAACCUACUUGAUGAAGAGAAGAAUUUCAAAUAUUUUUCUUGGAUAUACCAUGCAUUACCCAAUUGGACCCAACAAAUAGUACAAUGAUAAAAUGUUUGAUUUGUACACGCUUGCAAUGCUAACGAUACUAAAAUUGAAGAAAAUGUAGAAAAUGAAGUUGACUCGUUAAAGGAAUGUGGAUAAAUCGAGUAUCCAAUUUCAAGAUCAGCUCCCAAAAGUUUUUCAAAUCACAAGGAAAUAAGUUCCCACAUUAGGAAGUUAAAUAUCAUUUUCCAGCCAUUUAAAAGUCAAUGCCACAUAAAAUAUAUAUUACAUAUUUCAUAAAUCAGGAAUGUAAUGUACGGAUACAAUUAUUCUUAACCUGAUUCAAUCUCCUAAUCCAAUUUACCAUGUUAACAGCCCUAGACCCACUCUGUGAUGUACCAACGUCAUCUUUCCUAAAUUGGUUCCUCUUAUUGUAACCCACAUUCUUUUUUCCUAACCUAAUAAACUCACUAUAGUAUUUUACCACACAUAUACACUUCUUCUUUCUCAUCAAAUCCCAAUGAGCUCGCCGUAGUACUUAAUGACAUAUGUACACAUCCUCUUGUUCAUUACAUACUAAGUUUUAGUAUUUUACCCACAUGUGUAUGGUGCUGUUUGUUUUUUUGAAAAAACAUCUUCAGACCUGUUAUUGUUGUGCGACGCAACACACGCGGAACACGUUUCAUCUCGCAGCUGUUUGUUUUUCAGAAGUCUUCGGAUUAAAAAAUAUUUGUGCGUGUUCUUCUUGGUGCAACACUUGUUUUGUCUCUUUCUACCUCUUCCAACCUCUUUUUUUUUCUUGCUACAAUAUUGAUUAUAUAUUGCUGAAAUCUUAUUUCAUUUUUUUUCGUUUUUCUUUUCUUGUUGAACUUUUUUCUUUUUUCUAUAUUGAAUAAUAUUAAUUUGGUGAUGAAAUAUCAUUAUUUUAUGCUAAAAUAUUUUUAUUUUUUGUUAAAAUAUCAUUAUUUUUUGUUGAAAUAUCAUAAAUUCUUGCUGAAAUGUCAUACAUUAUUAAAUUUUCGGUACUAAAAAAACUAUUUUCGUAUUAUAAAAUCAGUUAAUUUUAAAUUUUUAAUAUCUGCAGCAGUAUGCAGAUGCUAAAAAAACAAACGCGCUUCUUAUUACAGUCUGCAGCCGUUUGAUCCACCUCUUCUACUACAGAGGGCUACAAAGGUGGUCCGCAGACUUUAUGGAUUUUUUAUUUCAAAAAACAAACAACACUUAAGUUUGCACACAUAAGUGAGACAUUAAUGGAAUGUCAUCACAAACCCUUAGUAAAAUUUCAAGAUCCCAAUCCAAGUGAACUCUCAAGUCAAACCUAGUAUGAGUGUACACACUCAGACUAGAAAACAUUUUUGUCAGAAAACUAUAAUGCACACAUAAUUCAAACUCUUGAAAAUUUCUUUUUAUGGAUGUAACAUCCAUAAAUUUAAACUUUUUCAAUCAUAAAUAAAAACUCAAAUAGCAUUGUUUACAAAAUAUUUUCAAAUCGAUAUCCAUCAGAGUGUCCCAUAAAUCAUAACAUAAGGAUGAGGAGCGGUAGGUCACGCCUUUGCCUUGCCAUGAUCUCCUGAAGUACCUGAAACAAUAAGCUGAAAACUGUAAGCCCGAGGGCUUAGUGAGCUACCCCCAAAAUACCAAUACCACACUGACAAUACCAUAUCAGUAACAAUCAAUCAAUCAACAUGCAUACCGGGCCAUCGGCCUGACUGGACCGCUCUACAGGGCCUACAGUCUAUCUGGAUCUAUCCCGAGCCUUCGGCAUGACUGGUCCGCCACGUGGGCCUACAGUCUCCCCGGACUGCUCAUAAGGUGUGUUGGCCUACAACACAAAGCAGGAUUGCCUCAACCCAACCAACGAGCAAAUAACUAUGUGCGCAUAGCUAUCAUAUAUUGGCAUAUACAAAAAUCAAGCAUAUCUAUCAUUGGUCAUCAAUCAUAGAAUUCUCUCGUAACUAGAGUACCGACCUAGCAGGUCACUAACAUACCAAUCCCUACGGAUCAUAAGAGCAUAGAAUACUGUCUACCCUGAUUCCGAUCUAUCAAACCAUGACCACAUAUAGCAUACCAUAACAAUAACAACUAAAGGGUCGGCCUUGGUGCCAUAUACCCUAUCGAUAUAGUGAGGAUAACUCACCUCGCAGAUGUCGACUCAGAAGGUAAACUCCAACUCUCGGAUCACUUGACACAGGAUCCACCACAUAUUAUCAUAGCACAAUAUACUCGUAAGUCCUUAACCUUAUAAGGUACUUCAUAACCCCUAAUCAACCCCUGAUCAAAGUCAAAGUCCUCAAUCAAGGUCAACAGUCCAUGUUGACCUCGACUCGCCGAGUACCCUCGGCUACUCGUCGAGUUCCUUGAAGCACAUUCCAACUUGCCGAGUCAUCGGGGUGACUCGUCGAGUUCCUUCAAUUCCCGAUCAAACAUUAAGGCCACCCGUCGAGUUUCCCUCAUUGCAACUCGACGGAUACACACGCAUACACAUCCAGGAGAAAACUCAUCCGACUCGCCAAGUUGUUCUUCAACUCCUCGAGUCUAUGGCAAUCAUCAUCGGACUCACCGAGUUGUUCAUCCAACUCGUCGAGUUCACGGCCAUCUUCAUGUGACUCGCCUAGUCAACCUUGCAACUCGCCGAGUCCAUUCAGUCCUUUUUCCAUACAGACUUAUUUUGAGCCAUGCAGCGGCUCCAACUCACAGAUCCAAGCUUCUAGGGCAUGCUUAUCACGUAAAGUUGCAAACUUCACGUGUAUGCAUGGCUUUAAAGGCUCCAAAUGCCAAAUCUAAGCUCUUAAUGGGGUUUCAUGCCCAAAAGGGACCUCAACCACGACCAAAACUAUGACUUUAUGCUUCUAGAAUCCAAAGAGGGUCCAGAUCUGAAGUUACAACUUCAGAUCUCGCCCAUAGCUUAUCAUACCAACUUGAUAUUCCAGGAAAACCCUAAAACUCAACCAAUAGAGGAGAUCUAUAAGGAAAAAGACGGUUUAGGUACCUUUAGAAGAUGAUAUCUAAGAUGAGUGUUGAUUUCCCACUCUAAAUUCUCCAAUCUCCUCCUCCUCCAAGUCUCCCCCUUCCAAAGAUCCUCUUUUCAAGCUCCAACACACACAAGGCACACACACACACACGAAUAAGGGCUCUCACGGACUCUUUAAAACUGUAAAGAGGUCCAAGGGAGGCUAAGAUCCCUUUAAAUAGGGGUACAAACCCCGGGAUUUAGGGUUUCAUCUGCUAGCUCCUACUCACCGAGUCCCAAUAUGGACUCAUCGAGUAGGUCACUUAACACACGAUCCCACCCCACUGCUACUUGACGAGUAGGGCAACCUACUCGUCGAGUAGAGCUUAACCUAAUACAUUUUAUUUAAAACAAUACCUAAGAAUCGGAGUGCUACAACUCUCCCCCACUUGAACUAGACUUCUCCCUUGAAGUCCGCUGGAAUAAACAAUGCCAGGUAAUGCUCGCGCAUCUCCGCCUCCGGCUCCUAUGUCCACUCGGAUCCCCUCCGAUGUUCCCACUGUACCUUUACCAAAGGUAUUUCCUUGUUCCGCAAUAUCUUCUUCUUCUUUUCUAGAAUAGCCACAGGCCUCUCCACAUAGUUCAGGCGCUCAUCGACCUGAAUGUCAUCCAACGAUACCACUGCCUCCUGGUCCAUAAUGCAUUUUCGCAAUUGCAAAACAUGAAACGUGUUGUGGAUCCGGCUGAGCUCCUCCGGAAGCUCUAGCCUAUAAGCCACCCUGCUAACCCUGGCAAUAAUUCUGAAUGACCCAAUGUAACGGGGACCCAAUUUUCCCCUCUUCCUGAAGCGGAUCACACCCUUCCAGGGUGAGACCUUCAUGAGGACCAUGUCACCCACCUGAAAUUCCAACUCAGAUCGGCGUCGGUCGGCAUAACUUUUCUGCCGACUCUGAGCGGUCUGCAGUCGCUGUCUAAUAUGUUGUAUCAUCUCGGUAGUUUGCAGAACUACCUCUAUCCGACCCAUUACCCUGUGCCCAGCCUCACCCCAGCAGACAGGGGUCCUACACUUCCGCCCAUACAACAGCUCAAAAGGCGGGGCGCCAAUACUGCAAUGAUAGUUGUUGUUGUAGGAGAACUCUGUAAGCGGUAGGUGGGAAUCCCAACUCCCACCGAAAUCAAUGACACACGCCCUCAACAUAUCCUCGAGGGUCUAAAUGGUCCGCUCACUCUGCCCAUAAGUCUGCGGAUGGAACACUGUACUAAAAUGCAGCCUUGUACCCAGUUCCUCGUGGAACUUCUGCCAAAAGCAGGAAGUAAAUCUAACAUCUAGAUCGGAAAUAAUGGAAACUGGGACCCCAUGGCGAGAGACAAUCUUGCGGACGUACAUAGCGGCCAACUUCUCCAUCGACGAACUCUCCCGUAUGGCUAGGAAAUAGGCACUCUUGGUCAAUCAAUCCACGAUGACCCAUAUAGCAUCGAACCCCUUUGCUGUCUUCGGAAACUUUGUGAUGAAAUCCAUUGCGAUCCGUUCCCAUUUCCACAUGGGAAUCUCCAGAGGCUGCAGCUUACCGUGCGGCCUCUGAUGUUCGUCCUUGACCAUCCUACGUGUCAAACACCUCUCAACAAACCAAGCGAUAUCUCGCUUCAUACCAGGCCACCAAUAACUCGAAUUCAAAUCACGGUACAUCUUGGUGGUUCCCGGGUGAAUAGAAAACCAAGACUUAUGAGCCUCCUCCAUCACUGUCUGCCGGACCCCUCCGGACAUCGGAACCCAAACCCGACCGUAAAGGAUCAAUAAUCCGCGGCUAUCUUGAAAAAAUCGGGCGCUUUCGCCCUUAAUCCUUUCCAACUUCCGGUUCUCCGGCCACAUACCCUCAAUCUGAGCAUCCCUGACCAAACCCACUAGCGGGGAAUCCACCACUAUCCUCAUACACUUGGCUAGGGUAGAGGACCCAGCUGACUUGCGGCUCAAAGCAUCCGCAACCACGUUCGCUUUACCAGGAUGGUAAAGGAUCUCACAAUCAUAGUCCUUGACCACAUCCAGCCACCUGCGCUGCCUCAUGUUCAGGUUCGGCUGAUCCAUGAUGUGUCUCAAACUCUUGUGAUCCGUGUAUAUAGUACAACAGACCCCAUACAUAUAGUGCCUCCAAAUCUUGAUGGCGAAGACCACUGCUCCCAACUCAAGAUCGUAUGUGGGGUACUUGUCUCGUGCGGCUUCAACUGCCUCGAUGCAUAAGCUAUCACUCGUCCCUCUGCAUGAGGACUGCCCCCAAACCUGUGAUGGACGCAUCAAAAAAUACCACAAAAUCCUCAACUCCCUCGGGGAGUGUCAACACCAGCGCCUCGCACAAACAUCGCCGCAGGGUCUCAAAUGCCCUCUGCUACUCAGGGCCCCACCGGAAAUCCACCCCUUCCUCGUCAGACGAAUGAAUCUCCGAUAAUACCCUGCUAAACCCUAGAAACUCAUGAUGUAUGAGGGAGAUUUCGGAGUCUCCCACUGCAUAACUGCCUCCACCUUGGCCGGAUCAACCAAAAUCCCCUCCUGGUUAAUGAGAUGUCCGAGGAACUUGACCUCUCGUAACCAAAACUCGCAUUUCGAGAACUUGGCAUACAACCGUUCUCGCCUCAGAACCUCCAGCAGCUCCCUAAGAUGCUCCUCAUGCUGCUCUCGAGUCUUGGAAUACACCAAGAUAUCAUCUAUAAACACAAUGACUGAGCGAUCGAGCAUCGGUAUGCUGGCUUGGUUCAUCAGAUCCAUGAACACCGCUGGCGCGUUGGUGAGCCCAAACGGCAUCACCAUGAACUCGUAAUGACAAUAACGAGUCUGAAACGCAUUCUUCUCCACGUCUUCCUCUCUUACCCUUACCUGGUGAUAUCCUGAUCUCAAGUCAAUCUUGGAAAACCAAGAUGCACCCUGCAGCUGAUCGAAAAGAUCAUCUAUCCUCGGGAGCGGAUAACGGUUCUUCACCGUUAACUUGUUCAGCUCCUUAUAGUCAAUGCACAUCCUGUGCGAACUGUUCUUCUUCCUGAUGAAAAGGAUCGAUGCUCCCCAGGGUGAACUACUCGGACAAAUAAACAACUUACCCAUCAACUCCUGCAACUAAGAUGAUAGCUCCUGCAUCUCAGGCGGUGCCAAACGGUACAACGCCUUGGUGAUAGGGGUCGCACCUGGCACUAGGUCAAUCCUGAACUCAACCUGCCUCUCCGGAGGCACUCCGAGUAACUCCUCUGGAAACACAUAAGCAAACUCCCUCACUACCGGGACCUCAGAAACUGAGAGCUGCUCUCUAACCCGCGUAUCUACCACAUACGCCAAAUAACUGGCACAUCCGUGCUGGAUAUACUGUCGAGCCCUGAUGGCCGAACAAAACCCUGAUCCCAACCUGGUACCCUCACCAUAUACUACAAGUUCUCCCCCACUUGGGGUUCGAACCACCACCCGCUGUCCCUCACAGUCGAUCAUGGCGCCAAAAUGGCUAAGCCAAUCCAUCCCUACAAUCACACAUACAUACCUCAUGGAGAUAGGAAUCAAAUCUAUCAGGAAGAACACCCCAAAUAUCUCCAACUCACAUCCCCGGUAGACCGAAGAAGCAGAAACCCCGUGCUUGUUGGCGAUCGAAACUCGUAACGGGCACUCAAGAUCAUCCAUCGGCACACAAAACCCUCUAUUGAAAGUCUGAGAUACAAAAGACCGACUCGCCCCCGAGUCAAAUAAUACCAAGGCGGGCAAGGAAUUCACUAGAAACGUACCUAAUCACAGGUACAAUGAAUAAGCAUAACACAAAUACAAUAACUGAGACAGAGAUUAGAAACGUACCAGCAACCACGUCCGGUGCUGACUUGGCCUCCUCGGCCGUGAGUUGGAAGGCGCGACCCUGAGCCUUUGGAGGCUCCACCUUGACUAGCCUCCCAUCUUCAAUCCUCACAGUAGCUGGCGCGGAACCCUACGUCGGCUUGGCGGCGAGCUGCGGACAAUUGGUCUUUACAUGACCAACCUGAUGACACUGGUAACAAAUCUUCAUAUCUGUUGGAGGGGCGGACUGACGGCAGUCCCUGGCAUAGUGCCCCUCCUUGCCACAUUUGUGGCACCCACCUCUUGCUCGAGAAACCCCCGAAUGAACCCUGCCACACUUUCCACAAGUGCGGCUCUAAUGACCCCCAGACCGUGUAUCAGCGGUCUUAGACCGCUUAGGCGCCGGCUGAGACUGUGCCGGUGCCUGACGCUACUCCUUCAGCUGCAGCUCUAUCUCCAACUCACACCGCCUCAUGGCUUCCUGAAGGUCCAGGAGGGUAUCACAUCGCCGUGUAGACACAAACUGUUGAAUAUCAGUCUUGAGCAUACUCAGAUAACGAGUCAUCUGAGAUUGCUCCGAAGCAAACUCUGGGCAAAACAUAGCCCUCUCCGUAAACAUACUGGUAAUCUCCAUCACAGACUCCCCAUCCUGUCUCAACAUCAAAAACUCCUGAGCAAGUCGCUCCCGCUCGACGCGUGGAACGUAGCGGGUGCGGAACACAUCCCUGAACUACUCCCAAGUAAUAGUAGCCCACUGAUCAUCAGUAUACGACCCAGUCGUCAAUCUCCACCAGUCUUUUGCCCCAAGCCUCAGUAGGUUCAGGGCACACCUGACCUUCUGGUAAACAGGGCAUGAGCAUGUGAAGAAACAACCCUCCACGUCAUACAACCUCCGCAUAGCCCUGAUCGCAUCCUGCGUACCAUCAAAUGUCGGGGGCUUCGUAUUAUCGAAGUCCCGGUACUGGAAAGCCCUGUCGGCUCCUCCACCAACCCCUGCUGCAGUUACAGCCGAAGUGGAUGCAACGACAGCUAUCUCUGCUAGAGCUGCAUAAUGCUCAUCAAAGUACUCAACCAUCGCGGUCUUAAUCGACCCAAACAUCUCUGGCAGCUGCGCUCGAAACGCAACAUCAAUCUCAUUGUGCAUGAUCUCUCGGAUCCUGGCAUCUAACUCCUUGGUCCCUAUCAGUACCACGAGCUCAGGUGCUACCAGCACCUCCAACCCUCCGUCUCCUGACCCCGAUCCUGAUCCUGACCCUGAUCCGGAUCUAGAAGCAACACGUCUUGUCACCACCAUACUGAAAUAUAUAUAUAUAUAUAUANCAGCCUUAGACACUAUUCCAACACACACACACACACACACACAUAUAUAUAUAUAUAUACACACACACACAAGGCAUCAGAUAAAUAACAUAAUGUCGGGAGACCAAAACCCACAAACCCUAGGGGUUGUGAUUUCCUUGCUACGUGUAUGGGUCCUGUGCUUUCAGUAGUAUGGGCCCAUACUACCUUCCACACCUACCCAUAUUUGUCUCAGGUAUCACCACAACGCCCAUAACAAUAUCAUCAACAUAAAAAUGCGCUCAACCCUCACUUCUAGGGGAAUACCAACUGUCUCGCACCUAGUCUCACCACUUAUCAUGACUCACACAUCCAUGAAACUUCCAUCAUCCCCUACAGCGCUAGUGCAUGCUAGCUGAACGUAAGGCUGGACACAAUAGACUUUCGAAUAUCCAAUCCUACCCGAAGGCCGAAUCAACAUUCUCAGGCUAUAAGGUCUUUAUUACGCACAACCGUGAUACAUACACUAAACAUCUACAAUUAUGAUUUCAAUUCCACAUACAAGAAACCCUAGGCUAAUAGGCAUCAUGUAAUCAGGCAAAUCUAUCAUGCGCUUCCUAAAGAUCCCUAGCCUAGCACUAGCAUGCUGUUCUAACAUACUAGAAUAUCAAAUAACUGUAUGGUAUUUUGGGGUUUACUUACAGGCUCCGACUGAUCGUACCCUUUGCAUCCUCCAUCCUUUAUUUUGAAAACCAUUUUUUCAAAAAAAAAACUUACUUUCCGAAAAUCCCCUUGAUUUGCGACUGGAUUCACAAGAUUGCUCCUCCAAUUCACUCAAACCAAUGCUCGGAUACCAACUUGUAACAUCCAUAAAUUAACGCCAAAUUUAAACUUUUUCAAUCAUAAAAAAAACUCAAAUAGCAUUGUUUACAAAAUGUUUUCAAAUCGAUAUCCAUCAGAGUGUCCCAUAAAUCAUAACAUAAGGAUGAGGAGCGGUACGGUCACCCCUUCGCAUUUCCAUGAUCUCCUGAAGUACCUGAAACAAUAAGCUGAAAACUGUAAGCCCGAGGGCUUAGUGAGCUACCCCCAAAAUACCAAUACCACACUAACAAUACCAUAUCAGUAACAAUCAAUCAAUCAACAUGCAUACUGGGCCAUCGGCCUGACUGGACCGCCCAAAAUGGCCUACAGUCUAUCUGGAUCUAUCCCGAGCCUUCGACAUGACUGGUCCGCCACGUGGGCCUAUAGUCUCCCCGGACCGCUCAUAAGGUGUGUUGACCUACAACACAAAACAGGACUGCCUCAACCCAACCAACGAGCAAAUAACUAUGUGCGCAUAAUUAUCAUAUAUUGGCAUAUACAAACAUCCAACAUAUCUAUCACUUGUCAUCAAUCAUAGAAUUCUCUCGUAACUAGAGUACCGACCUAGCAGGUCACUAACAUACCAAUCCCUACGGAUCAUAAGAGCAUAGCAUACUGUCUACCCUGAUUCCGAUCUAUCAGAACAUGACCACAUAUAGCAUACCAUAACAUUAACAACUAAAGGGCCGACCUUGGUGCCGUAGACCCUAUCGAUAUAGUGAGGAUAACUCACCUCGCAGAUGUCGACUCGGAAGGUAAACUCCAACUCUCGGAUCACUCGACACAGGCUCCACUACCUAUUAUCAUAGCACAAUAUACUCGUAAGUCCUUAACCUUAUAAGGUACUUCAUAACCCCUAAUCAACCCCUGAUCAAAGUCAAAGUCCUCAGUCAAGGUCAACAGUCCAUGUUGACCUCGACUCGCCGAGUACCCUUGGCUACUCGCCGAGUUCCUUGAAGCGUAUUCCAACUCGUCGAGUCAUCGGGGUGACUCGUCGAGUUCCUUCAAUUCCCGAUCAAACAUUAAGGCCACCCGUCGAGUUCCCUCCUUGCAACUCGACGGAUAUACACGCAUACACAUCCAGGAAAAAACUCAUCGGACUCGCCAAGUUGUUUUUCAACUCUUCGAGUCUAUGGCAAUCAUCAUCGGACUCGCCGAGUUGUUCAUCCAACUCGUCGAGUUCACGACCAUCUUCAUGUGAAUCGCCGAGUCCAUUCAUCCCUUUUUCCAUACAGACUUAUUUUGAGCCAUGUAACGGCUCCAACUCACAGAUCCAAGCUUCUAAGGCAUGCUUAUCACAUAAAGUUGCAAAAUUUACGUGCAUUCAUGGCUUUAAAGGCUCCAAAUGCCAAAUCUAAGCUCUUAAUGGGGUUUCAUGCCUAAGAGGGACCUCAACCACAACCAAAAUUGUGACUUUAUGCUUCUAGAAUCCAAAGAGGGUCCAGAUCUGAAGUUACAACUUCAGAUCUAGCCCAUAGCUUAUCAUACCAACUUGAUAUUCCAAGAAAACCCUAAAACUCAACCAAUAGAGGAGAUCUAUAAGGAAAAAGACGGUUUAGUUACCUCUGGAAGAUGAUAUCUGAGAUGAAUGUUGAUUUCCCCACUCUAAAUGGUCCAAUAUCCUCCUCCUCCAAGUCUCCCCCUUCCAAAGAUCCUAUUUUCAAUCUUCAACAAACACAAGGCACACACACACACACACGAAUAAGGGCUCUCAAGGACUCUUUAGAACUAUAAAGAGGUCCAAGGGAGGCUAAGGUCCCUUUAGAUAGGGGUACAAACCCCAGGAUUUAGGGUUUCAUCUGCCAGCUCCUACUCGCCGAGUCCCAAUAUGGACCCGUCGAGUAGGUCACUUAACACGCGAUCCCACCCCGCUGCUACUCGACGAGUAGAGCAACCUACUCGUCGAGUUGAACUUAACCCAAUACAUUUUAUUUAAAACAAUACCUGAGAGUUGGGGCGCUACAAUGGAUGCAAAAACAUGUACAUAUAAUAUAACUUAUAAAGUAUUAUUCUACAAACAUGUUCCACAGAUAAGUAUAAAACCAUGUAGGGAUGUGUCUCCAGGUAGAAACUCACCUCAAUAACUUUAUAUCUAACUCAUUUCAAACUUGUAACGCCUUUUAUUCACCACUUACUACUGACUAUAAUCAAAUGGUUAUAAUCAGACAAAAUUACUCCAAUGAAGGUGUUAGGUUUUCUUUGUUGGAAACUAUGUCCAAGGUCAUUAACUAUUAAUAAUAUUUUUAAUAAUAACAUGGUCCUUUUAGGUUGCCCUCAAGACCCAAAUUGAGUAGAAUAAAUAAAAAAGAAAUUGGUUUAUUAAUUAUUAUGGUUAAUAAUUAAUUAGAAACUAAUUUGAAAUAUAUUUUGGGAAUUAAUAAACAAUUUAAUUAAUUAAAGGGUUUAAUAUUCAUUAAUCGAUAGUUGAUUAAUCAGGAAUAAUCCAAAACCCUUAUGAGAUUAGGGCUGGAUGAAAAUCACUCCAUCCCACAUGGGAAAAUGAGUGAAUUUUGUUCUAGGUUCCUUGUCCCACAUGGGAAGGCGUACUAAACCUAGGAAGGGAUCCAAGGCUAUGAAUAGGGCCUUAGGGAUUUCAUUCUUCCUUGUACCUUGGCUUGAUGUUUCGCCAACUCUUCUUCCUUUCCCUAUUAGGGACAAUUUCUAACCUUCUUAGGGUUUGGAAAAUUAAUCAUUCUCCUAGUUAUUUUUAUUCCACUCUUUUGUGUCAUUAGGUGUGAUACCAUUAGAGGGAUUCUGGUGUGGGUCCUCUCAUCCAAGCAACUUCAUGAAGGAUCAAGAUCUCAAUUAUGGAGAUCAUGGGCUACAUAAGAGGUAUGUUUUCUUCUUAUUUUUUUAUUUAUGUUUUGUAGGGUAGAUGUAACUAGCAUGAAUCCAUAUAUCCAUAGGUUGCAUGUACAUUUAAGUAUAUCGUAGUUUCGAUUUUUCCGCUACCUAAUUUAGAGUGUAUUUGAUGCAUAGAAAACCCAACAGUGGUAUUAGAGCCAUUGGUUCAUGAUUACAUUCACCCUAGAUACAUAUUUUAUGUAAACACUUGUUUGAAAUUGAAUGAAAAAGAUAAAUAAAAAUUUCAUAAGUGUAGAACCUAAUUGUUGCUACGACGUGAGAUCAUAGGAGAUGAAUUUAGUUUGGGAUGUUAGAUCAUGUGUGUGCUCGACUUUGGAUGUGAUUGGAUUGUCAAUCAGCGGUAGGACCAUGGUCAAUGGUUGAGACCACGUGGAAAGUGUUGUAGGACUGCGGGAUAGCCUUAGCAUUCACAAGCAGCCAGACAGUGUGGAAAGUGUUGUAAGACUGCGGGAUAGCCGUAUCAUUCACCAGCAGCCAGACAGCGUGGAAAGUAUUGUAAGACUGUGGGAUAGACGUAGCAUUCACUAGCAGCCAGACAACAUGGAAAGUGUUGUACGAUUGCAGGAUAGUCAUAGCAUUCACCAGUAGCCAGACAACAUGGAAGGUGUGGUAAGACUGCGGGAUAGUUGUAGCAUUCACUAGCGGCCAAAUAGCAUGGGAAAUAUGGUAAGACUGCAGGGUGGCCUGUAGCAUUCAUUAGUCAAUAGAUAGUGUAGAAGUGUUGUAAGACUGUUGGGUGGCCCAUAGCAUUCACUAGUUGGCAGAUAUAGUAGAAAUGUUGUAAGACUACGGGGUAGCCCAUAGCAUUCGUUAGUUAGCCGUUAGUAUAAGGGUAUAGUAAGACUGCGGGGUGGCCCGUAGCAUCCACCGGUCCCUAUUCGGCAGUGAGAAUGUGACAUAUAUGUGGUUCAAUCAUGGAUUCCUUCAUAUAGUUUAGACCAGACCGGGACAACCUGCACGAAUGUGAGUAGGCCACAGUAUGAUCAGAUUCUAGGAAUGGUAGGUCCUUGGAGACCAGGCAUGAUGUAAGGCUAUAGUGGUUCUGGUAGCAUUCACUUUUCAUAUUAGAUUCGGGGAUGAUGGGUAGUCGAACUGUUAUGAUUAGGAGGAUCAAAAGGAAUAAUGGAUCCAUGAGUGGCAAUAUGGUUAGGGUAGAUUUCGAUAGACGAAGUUCUUUUUGGAAGUCGUAGGAAGUGACUGUGAGGUUGCUCUUUGGCUCAGCAACCGGGUAGGAAUCUGAUAUUCCGGAUAGCGGAUGUGAUUUGGGAUUUGCGUAGAGUAGAUUGUGGACAUGAAGAUGCUAAGACACUUGUAGUUGGAUUAAAUAAUCUUAGAGUAAUUAAUUUGACCCUGUUGCGCAGCUCUCGUCUGAGUCUAACCGUUGCAGGGAUGAAUCUUCUACUCGAAGGAUUAUCUGAGCCUUCUGUCAAAUAUAAGUAUUUUGCAGCUGGUUAUGGUCAGUGGCUUAGUUUUCGUAGGUUGCAUCAAGAUAAUCAGGGUUGCAAGUAUUAUGGUUGGUCAGUUAUUCGUUGAGGUUUUGGCAUGGUAAUUUUUCAGCUUAGGCGGUCUGUCGGGGAGAUAGACCAUUAUAGAUUUCGGAUCUCGGGAAGGUAGAUGUGGUUUUUUGUAUGAAAGUAAGGAUUUAUCCUUCAUCGGGUUUGGAGAGUCUUGCUUCGUUGGGUUCAGUUGCCUCGGGAAGACCAUUGAAUGCUCUGUAUGAUGGAUGCAUCUUUUAGGCUGUCGGGUGACAGUAUUCGUUGGAUUCAGAAUGGGUUGUCGGUUGUGAGUGGGAACAUCGAUGGGAUCAUAGCAGAAAAUGGGAGCAUGCGAAAGUGGCAUGUGAGUAGUAUCCGGAGUGGGUUGCUGCAGCAGACUUCGAGGACGAAGUCUAGUUUAAGCAAGGGAGAUUUAUAACAUCUUGAGAAUCAUAAGGUUCAUAUUGCAUGCAUGGGCUUGAUCUAAUUAAGUAUGGAGGUUUUUCAAGCCUAGAACGUUUAAUUGCUAGCUUGGUGUUGGAGGUAAGGCUUGCAUGCGGGGCGUUCAUAUCUUGAACGCUCAGCGUUCAGUGCAUGAAGUGGACACAGAGGCCAAGACGAACGCGGGGAGUUCUAGGGAGAAACGCAGGGCGUUCGCCGUCUGUACUCAAAAACCCUAAGUGUGCACUAUUGAAACAAGUUAAGACCCAAGGUUCUUCAUUCUUUCUGCCUCCACUGUACCUUGAGCCUCAUUCCGAAACCCUAACCUUAGUUGUGAGUGUGUGAGCUUGGAAGAUCAUCUUUGAGUGUAUUUUGGUGUUCUUGAAGGAGAGUGAUCACCUUAGAGUCUCAUUGAUCAAGGAAGAGCUUUUGGAUUAAGAUUCUCUAGCUCAUUUGCAAGUAUCAGAAGGUAUAGAGUUUCUAUCUUGAUAUCUUAUAGCUUAAGACCUAGAUUAGGGAUUGUUUUGUGCUUCUUAUGAACAUGUGGAUGCUCUUUGGGAGUUUGAGCCACUCCAAAAGCCUAGGAUUGCAGAUCCUCACAUUUCUGAGUUGUUUGAGUCAUAAAAAUGGUAACUUGAUGGUUGAUGACCAAGCAUUCAAAGGUUUUGGGUCUUGAUUUAUGGAUUGGAAUCUUUAAUGGAUGUUUGGGUCCUUUUUGGGCCAUGCAAAGGUGCCAAGUUGAUGACUUUAUGGCUUAAGACACUGAUAGGAAGCUACUUUGAAGAUUUGAACUUUGGACUUAAGGUAUUAACACAUAAAUGUAAUUUUUGGUCCCUGGUCGGGAACGCAGCAUGCUCAUCUCGGGAACGUUGUACGUUCCGACGUCGAGUCACGAUCGGCGGUCAGGCAACGAACGCCCAAUGUUCGGUCCAACAGUAGGCUUCUUAGGCUUGUUCUCAUUGGGCUUCAGACUUGGAUUGGAGUUUUUGCAUGUUGGGAUUUUUGUUAAGAAGGUUCUUAGAGCUUUGGACUUUUUUUUGGACAUGUCUAGUUGGGCCAAUAUUUCGUAUUGGGCCUUGGUGGUCCCAAUGGUUUUGGACUUUACUUGGCCCAAUGGGCUUGGACCUAUGGGCCAUCGGAGAAUUAUUAUUGGACCAGGAAUUGUUGGCUUUAGGUAAGGCCCAUAUGGGGUUAGGCCCAAUUUGGAAAAUUGGGGCAUUAGUGGGAUCUUAUGGAUCAUAUAGUUUUGGGCCUUUUUGUAACAUCCAAGAAUACGACCCAAAAAUUUUUGUUUUAAAUAAUAGUAAAAUCAUAUUCCAAUCGUCACAUCAUAAAAUCAUGUGUCAAUUAUCUCAACCCAUAAUAAAAUGUCAUGAACAUUUGUGACAAACCAAACUAUGAAUCAAAACAAACAUCCAGGAAAAAGACUGAAGCUGUGGUGUGUGCGAUGCCAUCAUCCCGAGAUCUUCCCUUUACUUGCGGAAGUACCUGAAACCAAAACUGAAACUGUAAAAAUGAAGCUUAGUGAGCUACCCCAAACUACCACAUACCAUACAAUAACAUAUAAAGCAUCUACUGGGCCUUGCCCACUGCAUCGGACCGAAGUCCGGAAACUUACCAGGGCCUUGCCCUCUGCAUCGGACCGAAGUCCGGAAACUAACCAGGGCCUUGCCCUCUGCAUCGGACCGAAGUCCGGAAACUGCAUCGGACCGGAGUCCGGAACUAACCAGGGCCUUGCUCUCUGCAUCGGAUCGAAUUCCGAAACUAACUGCAUCAGACCGAAGUCUGGAACUGAAUGGGACCUUGUCCCUUGCAUCGGAUCGAAGUCCGCAACUGACCGAACGUAACAUAGCAUAAACAUAUCAACUAGCAUGAAAACAUAUACUGCAUACUACAUCGGAACAGAGUCCGGAACACAUAACACAAAACGUGCUUGAAUCACAAAGACGUCAAGCACUCUAACUACUGCAUCGGACCGAAGUCCGAAACUACUGCUAACUAAACGGGCCGACAUUGUGGCCGUAGACCCGUUCCUACUGGAAGGAAACUCACCUCGUGAUGCUGACCGAUGCACUCCUGAAUGAGAAAUCCCUGACUGCUGCUCCGGCUGCUUCCCAGCUAUAAUGGGAAAUAAAUACUAAAUCAGAAUAGGGAUUCCUCUCUGGGUAAAAUGACCAUUUUACCCCUACUAUGGUGUGAGACACAACAUGGCCCAAAACCUCAAUUCCUUCUAAGUUCAUCUAUGGCCCCACUAUAGGCCCACUAAUGGCCCAAUUUGCUAUUUUAGGCCUAGGACCCUUUUAUUGGGCCUUACCCAAGCCCAAUACUAAAUCCUUGGUCCUUAGCAACUGAAUUCUGAUGGGCCAUAAAGGCCCAAGGAUCCUAAGCCUAAAACCCAACCCACAUCGAGGCCCAACACUCAAAGCCCAAACUGGUAGCAUACGCAGGGCGUACACCAAGGUACGCUGAGCGUACUGGCUGCUGGCUUUUACACGGCGCGUACUUCCUUGUACGCCCAGCGUACAACUCUGUUAAGCCAACAUCCCAUUAAGUCCUUAAUAAUUCGAUCCAGAAGCUACAAAUCCAGAUCCUAAGCUUGUUCCAUGACUUAAGCUAUAAAGUUGCUUACUUGAUGGCUUACAAGUCUCAUAAAGGCUCAAACUUACACAAAUAACAUUCUACUUCCAUAAAACCAACAAGAUCUCAGGCAUGGUUCCAUAUAAGCCACAAAGAUCGAAACUUUACUACUAUAGGGACACUUGAGCCUCAAGGAUAGCAAUCCCAAGCUCCAAAAACGAAGUUGCUAGAUAAAGGUCCUUCCUUUGGACCUAAAAGGUCCAAACUUCCAAAAACUCCUAGAUCUAAACUUACAAGAGGAAAGUUGGAAGCUUUAUACCUCUUUUGAAUGCCAAAAGAAAGGAUGAUCCCAGAUCUAUGAGCUCAAGGUGCUCAAGUUCUUCUUCUUCCACUUCUCUUCUUCUUCUUCUUCACAAAAAUAAGCUCAAAGAUCAAACACACACAAACAAGGAGCAAAGGGGGACGAACUAGGGUUUCUAUGGAGUGAAUGAUAAGUGAGGGGUCCAAAUGGAAGGCUAUAACGGGGUUUAAAUACGCCUCAACCCCUAAAAUUAGGGUUUGCCACCUGGUCGCGUACACUGGGCGUACCUUAAGGUACGUUGCGUGUAUGCUCAGCCUCCCCGUGUUUCAUUUAAUCAGUACGCCCAGCGUACAAGGGGGUUACGCCCCGCGUACAGCUUAUGGGCUGCUUACUCUUCGGCCCAAAAUAAAGGUACACUCACAAUAUUAAUUCAGUUAUGGCCCAAACUAAACUAAAGAAUUAAAUAACUUUUAUACCUCGGAAACGAUCGUUACAAAUCUCCCCUACUUGAAUCAGACUUCUUCCUCGAAGUCUGCUGCCACUGAAUCUGAAAAUAACUCCGGGUAAUGCUCCUGCAUCUCCUCCUCUCAUUCCCACUUCUACUCUGAACCCUUCCGGUGCUGCCACUGCACCUGCACUAGCUGAUUUACCUUGUUCCUCAAGGUCUUUGUCUUCCGGUCCAGAAUCGCGACCGGCCUCUCAAUAUAAUUAAGCUUCUAUCAACCUGAAUGUCCUCUAAGGGAACAACUGCUGACUCAUCCACCAAACACUUCCUCAACUGGGAAACAUGGAAAGUGUUGUGGAUCUGGCUAAGCUCUGCCAGAAGAUCCAACCGGUAAGCAACCCGACCCACCCGGGCCAGAACUCUAAAAGGACCAAUGAAUCUGGGGCCCAUCUUUCCCCUCUUCCGAAAUCUGAUGACACCCUUCCAAGGUGAUACCUUAAGGAGGACCAUGUCGCCUUCCUGAAACUCCAAGUCUUAUCGCCUCCUAUCGGCGUAACUCUUCUGCCGACUCUGCGCAGUCUGCAGCCUACUGCGUACCUGCUGGAUCAACUCUGUCGUCUUGAGCACCACUUCGGUGCUCCCAAUGACAUGCUGACCGACCUCGCCCCAACAAAUCGGGGUCCUACACUUCAUCCCAUAUAGCAUGUCGAAGGGAGGUCGGUCAAUACUCGCAUGGUAACUGUUGUUAUACGAAAAUUCAGCUAACGGAAGAUACGUAUCCCAACUGCCACCGAAAUCUAGGACACAUGCCCGAAGCAUAUCCUCCAGGGUCUGAAUCGUCCUCUCACUCUGUCCGUCCGUCUGGGGGUGGAAAGCGAUGCUGAAAUAGAGACGAGUGCCCAUCUCGUCAUGAAACCGCUUCCAAAAUCUGGAAGUAAAACGGACAUCUCGGUCUGACAUCACAGAUUCAGGCACUCCAUGCCGUGCAACAACCUCUCGCACAUAAAUAUCAGCUAGUUUCUCCGCCGAUAUACUCUCCUGGAUCAGUAUAAAAUGAGCACUCUUCGUCAACCGAUCCACAAUAACCCAAAUCGAAUCCUCCCCACGUGCGGUCCUAGGGAGCUUAGUGAUGAAAUCCAUGGUGAUAUCCUCCCAUUUCCACACUGGAAUGUCUAACGGCUGCAACUUGUCGUGGGGCCUCUGGUGCUCUGCCUUGACCUUCCUGCAGGUCAGGCACCUCUCCACAUACCAGGCGACAUCCCGCUUCAUGCAGGGCCACCAAUAAUCAGGUCGAAGAUCCCUAUACAUCUUCGUCUCCCCUGGAUGGAUGGAAAAUCGAGACUUAUGAGCCUCGUCCAUCAACAACUGCCGUAAUCCGCCCCACUACGGUACACAUACUCUCCCAUGAAGAGUCAACAAUCCUCGACUAUCGUAGUCAAAAGAAGCUACUCGGCCCACAAUCCUAUCAUACUUAUGUCUCUCCUCCUUGAGGCCCUCGGUCUGCGCCUCUUUGAUUUGCUCCAACAAUGUAGUAAUCACUGUCAUCCUCAAACAAAUAUCUCUGAUCGGGGCUGCUGCUGCCUUGCGGCUCAGGGCGUCGGCCACUACAUUGGCCCUCCCUGGGUGAUAUAAGAUCUCACAGUCGUAAUCCUUCAACACAUCUAACCAUCGCCUCUGCCUCAUGUUUAGAUUCGACUGAUCCAUGAGGUACCUCAAGCUCUUGUGAUCCGUGUAAAUGGUACAACGGACCCCGUAGAGGUAAUGUCUCCAAAUCUUGAGGUCGAACACCAUUGCCCCCAAAUCUAAAUCAUGUGUAGGAUAAUUAGCCUCGUGAGGCUUCAACUGUCUCGAGGCGUAAGCUAUCACAUGACCUCGCUGCAUCAACACUGUUCCCAUACAUGUGAUCGAAGCAUCACAAUAAACCACAAAAUCCUCUACUCCAUCUGGCAGGGUAAGAAUCGGUGCCUCGCACAAUCUCUGCCUGAGGGUCUCAAAUGCUGCUUGCUGCUCAGGCCCCCAACGAAACACCACCGACUUCUUAGUCAGUCGGGUGAGCGGUACUGCUAUCUUGGAGAAAUGCUGAAUGAACCUCCUGUAGUACCCUGCCAGACCUAGGAAGCUCCGAAUCUUAGAUGGAGACCUCGGGACCUCCCACUUCAUCACGGCCUCUAUCUUGGCCGGAUAUACCAAAAUACCCUUCUGGUUGACGAGGUGUCCAAGGAACUGCACCUCGCACAACUAGAACUCGCACUUGGAGAACUUCGCGAAAAGUCUCUUUUUCCUUAAAAUCUCUAGCACCUCCCUCAGGUGCUCCUCGUGCUACUCCUAAGUUUUGGAAUAAGCCAAGAUGUCAUCAAUGAAUACUAUCACUGAUCGAUCCAACAACGUCCUACAUACGCGGUUUAUGAGGUCCGUGAACGCGACUGGGGCGUUGGUGAGCCUAAAUGGCAUCACCACGAACUCAUAAUGACCGUACCGGGUCCUGAAAGCAGUUUUCUGCACAUCCUCAUCCCUGACUCUCAUCUGAUGAUACCCGGAGCGUAAAUCGAUCUUGGAAAACCAAGACGCUCCCUGCAGCUGAUCAAACAAAUCAUCUAUCCUUGGAGUGGGUAACGGUUCUUCACCGUUACCUUAUUUAACUCCUGAUAAUCAAUACACAUACGGUGCGGUCCGUCCUUCUUCUUCACAAACAAAAUCGGUGCUCCCCAGGGCGAACUGCUCGGCCUAAUAAAACCCUUGUCUAACAGCUCAUGCAGCUGCGUAGACAACUCUUACAUCUCUAGGGGAGCCAACCGAUACGGUGCCUUGGCUAUCGGAGCCGCACCAGGGAUUAGGUCAAUUCCGAACUCGACCUGCCUCUCGGGAGGUAUUCCAGGAAAAUCCUAUGGAAAUACAUCCGGGUAGUCUCGCAUUACCGGAACAUCAUCAACUGUUGUCUUUCCCUUCUCCCGGGCAUCUAAAACAUAGGCAACAUAACCGGCAUAACCCUACUGAAAAUAGCGCCUCGCUCUCGCCACUGAACAUAGAACUGGUCCGCACUGUGGCCUCUCGCCCUGAAUCACUAACUCUCCCCCACUAGGAGUGCGAACCCUCACCAACUGUAGCUCACAAUCUAUCACCGCCCCAUUGGGGCUCAGCCAAUCCAUGCCUACUAUGAACUUAUUCCCUCGCAAGGGAAUAGGGACCAAGUCCACCGGAAACUGCUCAUCGAAUAAUUGUAGGGAACACCCUCUGUGCAUCCUUGCAACCCUAACGGUCCUAUCAGCUGCUAUCUCAACCUCAAGUGGACAAUCUAGCUCCCAUGGAGCUUUGCUAAACCCCUUGCUAAGUGCAAGAGAGACGAAUGAUUGGGUAGCCCCCGAAUCAAACAAUACGGUAGCUGAUAUGCCGUUCACUGGGAACGACCCUAUACAAAACAUAUAACCAUAAGAAACAAUCAAUAAUAAAUGCAGAGGUACGGAGAAAAAAAAUACAUACCCGUCACCACGUCAGGAGUCGCUCGCGCCUCCCCUGCUGUCAACUGAAAAGCCCUACUCUUUGCCACUGGAGUCUCAGCUCGGCCCUGACGGCCAUCUGUAAUCCUCAAAGUAGCAGGGGCAGGGGCUGACACCUUCCCUGCAGCAGCUAAACCCGGACACUAGGACUACUUAUGUCCCCUCUGAUUGCAAUGGAAGCAAAUCAGAUCUGAUGCCGCAACGGCAGUAGUAGUGGCUAUACAAUCUCGGCUCAUAUGCCCAGUCCGACCGCACUUGUAGCAGCCAGCACUCCCUGCUUUGCACGCCCCAUCGUGCAAUCUCCCACACUUGCCACACCUAGCGUGGCUCCGCUGACUCCUAGCUCUGUGAUCUGAACCCUUGGGCUUUUUGCCCGAACUUCGUGAACCUGGAGCCGCCUCCGGCUUCCUCUUUCUCUCCAUCUCAAGGUCAAUCUCUCUCUCUCUCUCUCUCGCCCUAGCAAUCAUGUCAUCCAGCGUCUUACAGCUGGAUCGGCUCACGAACUGGCGGAUAUCACUCCGCAACAUCUCAUGAUAACGGGAUUUGUUCAUUUCCUCAUCAGGUCCGUACUGAGGAACAAGAAGAGCCCUCUCCCUGAACUUGGCGGUAAUCUCCGCCACUGUCUUUAUAGUCUGGGUAAGAUCCUGAAACUCUCUGGCUAACUGCUGCACCUCAAUGAUCGGUGAGAACUCAGCUCUGAACCUGGUAGUGAAAUCAGUCCAGGUCAUAGCAUCCAAAGUUGCGUCAUCCCCAAUGGCAUGACCAACCUCCUCCCACUAAUCCCAUGCCCUGUCCUUCAAGAGACAGCACGCCAAUCUGACCUUGUCCCCCUCAGGACAUCUGCUAGUGCGAAAAGCGUUGGCCACAUCUGCCAACCAUCUAGUACUCGCUAUGGGGUCUCGCGCCCCGUGAUAAUCCGGAGCUCCGCAUGCCCGGAACUCCCUAAAAGUAAGCGUGCGCGACCCCAUCAUGGCCGCUAUCUCAGCACAGAAGGUGCUCAACCUCUCAUCCAUCAACUCUAAGAUACCCUCCCUGAUCGAACCGAAGAUUACAAGAGUCUGCUCAAGUAUGGUGCGAGUAAUCUCUGAAGAGAGAAACUCCCUAGUCUGCUUAUCCAACUGCCCGGCCUCCGGGCCUGGUUCUGAUCCCCCUCCGACACCUGAACUGCCGACUGCUGGUCUAGGGCAUAAUACCACCAUUCUGAAACACAUAAAAAAAAGCAUCAGGAACACUGAUAUAUCUACGUACCCUUGGUCUCAUCUCAGCUUUUCUUGAUUCGACUACAGAUCCUCUGCUUUCAGUAGUACGGGCCCAUACUACCUUCCACAUAUAUCCGUACUUUCCUCAAGUACUGCCUCGACUCCACCAAGUCACUCCUACUACUACUGAUCUCUGCUACUCUCAUCCUAGGCUUGCCCUAGGGAAAUAUCUGACUCAACCUAACCGGUCCUCAACUGCUGUAGGCCUCCUUGUAAUGCCAAUUAACCUUUACCUGAAUACCAUCACAUGUGGCGAGGCUCAAAUAAUCCUUCGAGUAAAAGACUUGUCCUCACAACGGUUAGACUCAAACAAGAGUUGCGCAGCAGGGACAAAUCCAACACUCUGAGAUUAUUUAACCCUGAUCCCAUGUGACGUGACGUAUUCACCUAAUGGCUAAAUCUCAUUAUUCAGAGUCCCACAAAGCACAAAGCAAGAAGCAUUCGGACACAGGAAAUUACUCGAGCAAUUCUAUCCUCAUAACGAGAAACUGUACUAGCAUGCAAUUUAUAAGCUCAUACUAUCAGGCAUAGCCUAAACAGACUAUCCUACUGCUGUCUACUCAAUACUAACAUGCAAUUCUCAUAAAGCUGAAUCACAUAUAGCAGACACAUAAGGCAUCCUCCUAGAUCCUUAGCCCAAUUCUAGCAUGCUGUUCUACUAAAACUGAUAACUCAUAACAUAAACUCGUAUGGGUAAUUUGGGAGUACUUACUUGAGCUCGGCUGAUCGCAUGCACCACACCCCUUUUCUCUUUUCAAAGUCCUUUUCUUUCUACAAAUUUCUUUUCACUUUUCUAAAACUCUUUUCUUUUGAAAACAUUUUACCACUUCCUUAUUUUGAGUUCAGACACACCCGAAAGUGUGUCCGAAUCCCUCAAACCAAGGCUCUGAUACCAACUUGUAACAUCCAAAAAUACGACCCAAAAAUUUUUGUUUUAAAUAAUAAUAAAAUCAUAUUCCAAUCGUCACAUCAUAAAACCAUGUGUCAGUUAUCUCAACCCAUAAUAAAAUGUCAUGAACAUUUGUGCGAAAUCAAACUAUGAAUCAAAAUAAACUCCCAGGAAAAGACUGAAGCUGUGGUGUGUGCGAUGCCAUCAUCCCGAGCUCUUCCCUUUACUUACGGAAGCACCUGAAACCAAAACUGAAACUGUAAGCAUGAAGCUUAGUGAGCUCCCCCAAACUACCACAUACCAUACAAUAACAUAUAAAGCAUCUACUGGGCCUUGCCCACUGCAUCGGACCGAAGUCCGGAAACUUACCAGGGCCUUGCCCUCUGCAUUGGACUGAAGUCCGGAAACUAACCAGGGUCUUGCCCUCUGCAUCGGACCGAAGUCCGGAAACUGCAUUGGACCGGAGUCCGGAACUAACCAGGGCCUUGCCCUCUGCAUCAGAUCGAAGUCCGGAACUAACUGUAUCAGACCAAAGUCCGGAACUGAAUGGGACCUUGUCCCUUGCAUCGGAAUGAAGUCCGGAACUGACCGAACGUAACAUAGCAUAAACAUAUCAACUAGCAUGAAAACAUAUACUACAUACUACAUCGGAACAGAGUCCGGAACACAUAACACAAAACGUGCUUGAAUCACAAAGACGUCAAGCACUCUAACUACUGCAUCGGACCGAAGUCCGAAACUACUGCGAACUAAACGGGCCGACAUUGUGGCCGUAGACCCGUUCCUACUGGAAGGAAACUCACCUCGUGAUGCUGACCGAUGCACUCCUGAAUGAGAAAUCCCUGACUGCUGCUCCGGCUGCUUCCCAGCUAUAAUGGGAAAUAAAUACUAAAUCAGAAUAGGGAUUCCUCUAUGGGUAAAAUGACCAUUUUACCCCUACUAUGGUGUGAGACACAACAUGGCCCAAAACCUCAAUUCCUUCUAAGUCCAUCUAUGGCCCCACUAUAGGCCCACUAAUGGCCCAAUUUGCUAUUUUAGGCCUAGGACCCUUUUAUUGGGCCUUACCCAAGCCCAAUACUAAAUCCUUGGUCCUUAGCAACUGAAUUCUGAUGGGCCAUAAAGGCCCAAGGACCCUAAGCCUAAAACCCAGCCCACAUCGAGGCCCAACACUCGAAGCCCAAACUGGUAGCGUACGCGGGGUGUACACCAAGGUACGCUGAGCGUACUGGCUGCUGGAUUGUACGCGGCGCGUACUUCCUUGUACGCCCAGCGUACAACUCUGUUAAGCCAACAUCUCAUUAAGUGCUUAAUAAUUCGAACCAGAAGCUACAAAUCCAGAUCCUAAGCUUGUUCCAUGACUUAAGCUAUAAAGUUGCUUACUUGAUGGCUUACAAGUCUCAUAAAGGCUCAAACUUCCACAAAUAACAUUCUACUUCCAUAAAACCAACCAGAUCUCAUGCAUGGUUCCAUAUAAGCCACAAAGUUCGAAACUUUACUACUAUGGGGACACUUGAGCCUCAAGGAUAGCAAUCCCAAGCUCCAAAAACGAAGUUGCUAGAUAAAGGUCCUUCCUUUGGACCUUAAAGGUCCAAACUUCCAAAAACUCCGAGAUCUAAACUUACAAGAGGAAAGUUGGAAGCUUUAUACCUCUUUUGAAUGCCAAAAGAAAGGAUGAUCCUAGAUCUAUGAGCUCAAGGUGCUCAAGUUCUUCUUCUUCCACUUCUCUUCUUCUCAUUCUUCAUAAAAAUAAGCUCAAAGAUCAAACACAUACAAACAAGGAGCAAAGGGGACGAACUAGGGUUUCUCUGGAGUGAAUGAUAAGUGAGGAGUCCAAAUGGGAGGCUAUAAUGGGGUUUAAAUACGCCUCAACCCCUAAAAUUAGGGUUUGCCACUUGGUCGCGUACGCUGGGCGUACCUUAAGGUACGAUGCGCGUACGCUCAGCGUCCCCGCGUUUCAUUUGAGCAGUACGCCCAACGUACAAGGGGGUUACGCCCCGCGUACGGCUUAUGGGCUGCUUACUCUUCGGCCCAAAAUAAAGGUCCACUCACAAUAUUAAUUCAGUUAUGGCCCAAACUAAACUGAAGAAUUAAAUAACUUUUAUACCUCGGAAACGAUCGUUACACUUUUGAUUUUGGGCUUGGGCCUCGUCUUUUGGUUUAUGUUAUGUCAGGGGUAAAAUGGUCAUUUUACGCCAAGUGUGGAUUAUGGAUCAUGGUUUGGAAUUCAAUUGCUAACUAGAGGUUGUUUUGGUUAUUCUUAGUUUGGGAAAUCGUCAAGGCAGCAACUAGGGAUUUCGUGCAGUGAGCUUCUGCAUUCGAGGUGACUCUCCUCACUAUUUGUAUGGGUUGAAGGCACCAAAGCUAACUUAUUUGGUUUAUGUAUGGUAGGAAGACCCGGGGGUUAGCCCUUGGCACUAUAUAUGAAAGACCAUGAGGCAACUCCUAACACACUGUAUGCUAUUAGCUAAGUAGAGUAGAUUGUACACUAUUUGUCUUUGUGGUACUUGCAUGGAAGACCCGGAGAUGGUUACUGGCACUUGUCUAUAGGACCCAGGGGGUGGCCCCCGACUUGACAAGAAAGACCACGAGGCGGCCCGUGUCAUAACGGCAAGAGUAUGUGCAACACAUAGCAUCUUAUAUAACUAUGAUUGAUGUAUAGCUCAUGGUUAUGUAUGACAUGUAUGGAUAUGAUUGAUAUGUAUGUUAUGUGGUAUUUGGGGAACUCACUAAGCUUCAUGCAUGCAGUUUUCAGUUUUUGUUUCAGAUACCUCCAGUUUUCAAAUAAAGGAGCUCGGGACGAUCGCAAUGCAUAUACCCAUGUUUUUUUCGCAAUAUGUGAUCUUUGGGAUUAGACUCUGAUAUUAAUUUAAUUGAAAUGUUUUUAGUGUCCGAAACAAAGUUAUUAAGUGUUUUUCCUAUAUUAAAAAUGAAAAUUUUACCUUAGAUUUUUGGGUCGUUACAUUUUAAUUGACGUGGUAAGUGAUGUGGCAAGCUGUUAAUUGAAGUGGCAAAUGAUACCUGCUGACUUCCCUUUCAAAAUAGUGACCUUUUAACCCUUCUAAAUUGGACUUCAUAUCCUUAGAAAGAGAAAAAAAGACAUUUUAAACCAAAAGCUCUAAGUUAGUUGGGCUAUAGUGACAUUUUCCCCUAUAAGAUAUUGUUUAACAUUGGUGUAGUUUUUCUGUUUCUUAAGGUUUUAAUGAGUAAUAUACUUACGUUAGAAUGAAAACGCUCUCUGAUGCUUGAAAGGUUUGUAGAUUGAAACCCAUUUAAAAUGAAGAGGAACACGCAAUAAUUUAAAUCAUUGUAAUGUUAGUCUAGAAGAGACUGUUGAUUUAGUGAUGGCGUGAAAGUUGUUAAUAUAAAUGGUAGGUAGAGGAUUUUUCCCUAUAAAGUUUACCUUUAAUAGAAUCUUGAAUGACCUUUUGCUUACUGCAAUCAUGAUUCUGCCAAAGAAAUACUUAGAGCACAGAGUAGAUGUGGCCGUCUCCCUUGGGAAGAUUUCAAAGGAAACAACUGAAGAUUUACUACAUUGAAUAUUAUCCAGCAUCUAAGUUGUUCAGACAAAAGUUGUUAAAAUCAAAACAAAGAUAAAGAACACGGGCAGUUUAGUAAAUAAACAAAGUUACAAUUAAGAAGCCGAUAUAAACUUUUAUUAUAUAUUGACGACUAAAUAUAUUGUUAUACAUCUUUUGAUAUAAACUUUUAUUAUAUAUUGACGACUAAAUAUAUUCUUAUACAUCUUUUUUUCAUUUACCAAAAUGAUCAAAGCUUGAAAAAAUGUUUUUGAUUUUAUUAAGAAUAAGUAUUUUGUAUUUACACUGUAUUAUGAAAAUAUUUUGAUUUUCUAGUGCUUUAUGUGAUCUUCAAUUUUUUUUCAUGCCUAUCUAAAAUCCCAAUUUCUUAAAAUGACUCCUCAUAUUGUAAUAGAAAAGUAGACAAUAUAUAAUGAAUUAUGUUGUGAUUUGUAAUAUUUACUUCACGAGAUUUGGGGUUUAACAACCCAUAAUAUAAUCAUAAAGAUGUUAGAAACGCGUUAUAAAUUAAACAUGUCUUGACUGAUUUAAAGUUAUUCGCCUUUUAUAAUUGUUAAAUUCUUUGAACAAUAUGUUUGUGUAGUUUUAAAUCAAAACAAUCGUAUUUUCACUUUUUAACAAAAACAAAGUACUUUUCCUUUUAUUUUAUCACCAAAACAACAAUCUUAAUUAGUUUUAAGCCAAAAAUAGCCAUGUACUUAUAUUUUUAAGUCAAAGCAUGAAUGUAUUUAUAUUUUUAAUCCAAUAUAGUAAUGUAUUUUUAUAACAUUCGGCAAUCAUAUUAUAGAAGCAAAGAUAAUUUCCGGAAGUAAUCUUUGAUGAUUUCUAUUAAAAGGAUACUUUUCACAUUUCAAAUAAGAUAAUUUCCAUUAGUUGUAUGUUUUGCGUUUACAAUAAACAAGAGUCUUGGAAAAUCUUUAUCGAAUGUGGGGCUGUUUUUUUACAUUGUUCACUCAUAAGUUAAAAGCAUAAUUGAUUAAAAAUAUUAAUUUUAGAGAACGAUAGUAACUUAGCAAUAGGACAUCUAAUGUUGUAUUAAAAAAAAUCUUUGGAAUUUGUAAGUCAACACAAUUAUUUAAAAUAUCAAUAGUUUUUUUUUUUUUUUUUUUUUUUUUUUUUUUUUUUUUUUUUUUUUUUUUUUUAUUUUUUUUUUUUUUUUUUUUUUUUUUUUUUUUUUUUUUUAUUAUAGAUUGAAUUGCUUACUUAUUCACCAUUUUCUUUGUAUUUUUUUCAAAAUUUUAGUUUUAAAAUUGCUUAAUGUUUACAUCUUGAUAUUUAAUUUAAUUUUAAUCAACAUGUGUAGUAUACAGGUUUCACACCUAGUAUAAUUAAAGAGAAAGUGCCAUGUGGACGCCACUUAAACCUCCAUGUAAGUAAGUUCUAUAUGGAAUGUCACGUCAUCUUAUAACAGGCUAUCCCAUUCUUCCUUCUAAUAAUGACCUUUUUGAUAUAUUUCUUGAAAGUUUAGGACUUUGAAUGACAAAAAGAUAAACGAGUGACCAAAUGAGAUCAAAACCUAUAUAAGUUGUGGGGAAACAGUGACAUCAACCCAAAACACAAAACUAUCAUCCAUAAUAACACUAACAAAACUUUCCGCUUUGCUCUUUAAUUUUGAAUCGUCACAUGAUUUUCAUAAUUCACAACCUGGAACAAAGAUUUCACAGUUAAAUUUGGAAAACUAGCAAGCAAUAUUUUCCAUCGUUUAGGAGAACUUGGAAAAAAUGCAAGUUCAGAUGGUAUUUAGUACCUUUUAAUCUCAACAGUUUCUUUCUGAAAACUAGUUGAUCUGUAGGGGCCAUGUGCUGCAAAUAGAACAGACAAGUCAAUAGUAGAAACUAUAAACUCAAGUGUAAAUUACAAUUUCGAUUUCCAUUUAUAACUGAUGCAAAGAGCCAAAACUAAUCAUGUUUACAUUAUGAAAUGUAAUGGAAGUGCAACUGCUAUCGAAAUAUGAUAUCUAAUGGAUUCUAACUUACACCAUUACUAAACCGGCGACUCGGUUUCAAAUGAAAUCGAUUUGUAUGAAACCAUUUUUUUCUACACCAGUCCGGUUCGGUUUUUGGCUUUUUAGUGUCCCUCUAACUUUCUUCUUGUUUUUUAGAUGCUACGAAGUGUAUUGAAUUUUGUAGGAUAUCUUAUUUCAUACAAAACAGAGAAAAUGGCCACCCAUGGUUUUGGUGGCAACUUUAUUAAUAUGGAGGGCUUAAAACCUCCAGCAAAAUUACAUACUGGAAAAUAAGAAAUCAAAAAUAAAAACUAGAUGACAAACUGUGUUUAUCUAGCUUUAUGCAAACUUGAAAUGCGCAUCAGCACCUUCACCUAAACCCAAUCUUUGCAGCUAUCAAAAAAGUGAAAAAAUGCACGUCUCCCUCGGUGGUUGAGAAGUAAAGCACCACAUGCUAUCCAAAAUCCAAUAGCAAAACCAGUUCCCCCACCAGCAUAAAACCAUCCCCAAAAUUCAUCUAUGUCUUUCGCAUCACUCUUACUUUUACCAACGAUUGGUGGGACUUCUGAUUCUUCGUCUCCAGGACACUUUUUGGUAAGGGGAAGUCCACAUAGUUGUGAAUUCCCAUCAUAUCUUGAAGGUUCAAAGGACUGGAGUUGAGUGCUAGAUGGAAUUCUCCCUGAAAAGUUAUUAAAUGACAAGUCUAGGUCAUUCAGUAAAGUCAUCUGAGACAUGCUUGAUGGUAUCUGCCCUGAAAAACUGUUUCUAGACAAAUCCAAAGUCAGAAGUUUUUUCAUCUCACCAAUUUUCUGUGGAAUCUCUCCAAAUAGAGAGUUCUUUGACAAGCUCAGGGCAAUCAAGUCUGAAAGAUUGGUAAUUUCAUAUGGGAUUUGUCCUGUUAACUUGUUGCUUGACAGGUCAAUGGUCUUCAACAAUUUCAGAGUGUUAAAGAAUUCAUGUUCAUCUCCUUGCCACUCAAUCAUUGCAUGGUCAACAUAUAUCCCCGAUCCAUAUGCAACACCUCUUACAAGUGUAUAAAACUUUACAUCUUGUGAGAAUCUUGGUUGAAUCAUGCUCGUAAGAUUACUAAAACAUGAGGGGAUGGUUCCUUGAAGAUUGUUCAUUGACAAGUCCAAAAUUUGAAGAUUAGCUAACUGACAUAAUUGUAAAGGGAUGGUUCCAAAGAAGUUGUUUGAUCUUAGGAUAAGAACAUACAGCCCUGAUAGGUUUUCUCCUAUCCAAACAGGCACAUUACCAGAAAACUUGUUGGCCCCCAAAUUCAAUGAGAUUAAACUUGUGCAAUUUUUUAAAGACAAAGGCAAUUCUCCAGAGAAGUUGUUAUCGUAUACAUACAACACCUGGAGAUCUGUCAAAAAUCCAAUAGAGGGAGGAAGCCUUCCAAAGAGAUUGUUGUGUCCGAGAUUAAGAACUUUUAGCUCUCUGAAAUGCCACAAACAGUCUGGGAGUUGUCCAAUAAAUAUGUUGCGAGAGAGGUCAAGAAAUGAAGAGAACCCAUCAACAAUCUGACAUAUAAAGGAGAUCCCUCCAGAGAAUUUGUUUCUGGAAAGAUUUAAUAAUGACAAAGUAGAAGAAACAUUUAGUAUCGCACCGUGAAAGUUGUUGGAACUCAAAUCUAUCUUUGAACCGUUGGCAAAACUUGAUAAUAAAUCUGGUACUUUCCCGCUAAUGUUGUUGGAAGAGAGAUUCAGAUAUUUUAAUUGAGAAGGCCAUGUGGCCCAAAACUCGAGAGGAAUUGUGUCUGAAAUUCCAGUAUUGGAAAGAUCAAGACGGGUAAGAUUUUUGAGUGUCUGAAUCCAUUUGGGGAAGCGAGGCCCUACCUUGCAAGAGCUUACAUAAAUUUCCUUUACAUAAGAAAGGCUUGGCAAGUGAUAUGUGGAAGGAACUGUAAGAUUAUUAAAAGAAACGUCAAGCAAUCCAAGCCCCGGUAGUUCCCACAGUUUGUCACUUAUAAUUCCAUUUAAGUGAUUAUGAGAUAAGUCCAAGUACUCUAGGGAUGAAAACUUUUGGAUAUCAUUGGACAAUGAUCCUAUAAAUUGGCUAUCAGAAGCAUCCAACCAUUGUAAUGAAAGGGAUGUGCAUCCAGACAAGUUGUUGAGAAAAUCAGGAAAUUGGACAGCAGCCGAGUUGUUACUGAUUUCCAAAUACUCCAAGCUACAGAGGUUACCAAGAUAUUUGGGUAUCCCAUCUAACAUGUUGUAAGAGAGAUCAAGAUAGCCAAGCUUAUUGCUGGUUAAUAGGAACAACCAACGAUACAUGGAUGAGGUGAGACUGUUGUUUCCAAGAUAAAGGCCUUCAAUAGAUGAAGAAGAAGAAGAAGAGUUGAGAAAUGAAGAAGAAUAUGGAUACAUCACCUGUGACAGCUCACAUCCCUCUAAAGAUAAAUAUGAGAGUUUCCGGAGACUCAGAAUUACAUCUACCCAGUGAUUUUGUUUGGCUAGGGAAAUCCCAUCUAAUUCAAGUUUCUCCAAAUGAGACAGAUUAGACAACCACUCUAUCUUUUCAACUCUACAUCUUCCAACGUAACUAAGUUGAAGGUGUUGCAAGUUGGUGAGGUUUUCAAAUUCUGGAGGAAUGGUUCCAUAAAAGGAGUUAUGGGAAAGGUCAAGGUAAAUUAAUUGGGUCAUGGAACCAAUGAAGAUGGGAAUGUUUCCAUGAAAAGAAUUGAUGGAAAGAUCCAAAUGAUUCAAAUAGCUUAAAUUAAGCAAAGAAUGGCUAAUCUCACCUACAAGACCAGAGUUGCUGAUUUCAAGCUUUGUAACAUGACCUGUUUGGUUGUUGCACGUAAUUCCUCUCCAUUUACAGCAGUCAUGUUCGUCAGCUGUCCAAGUAGAGAGACCACCAUCAGGGUCUUUAAGGGGAGCUUUAAAAAGAAGGAGAGCGUGUAUCUCCUUAUCCAAACACUUGUUCAUCACAACAUCUGCAUCAACCCCUCCUUUUCCCACUCUUACCAAUUGGCUGGAAGUUGUAGUCACAGUGAGUAGCAAAAGAAGUGAGAAAAUUAUAAAAACACAAGGAGUCAUAAUGUCUAAAUGAAACUCUUGCUGAUUUUUUGGUUUGUAUAUCAACUGCCCUCAUGAGGGUUUAUAUAGUCUCAACUGUGAGGAUGAAUGAUUCUAAGUAGGUGAUCUCAAACUGGUGGCAUACGUGUUUGGAGCAAAGAGCAAGGCAAAUUAAAAAUGACGAAUUGGAAUAAAUUGCCCCGGAUUAGACGUUCAUAGACCUAGAAGUCUUGGUCGUUUGUAUUUAUUAUCUAUUAUAAUACCCAAGAAAACAAAGUAACGAAAUCAAAUGCCAAUCUACCAUGAAAAUAGUAAAAAUAUUAUUUGGGUCUCUUUAUAAAGUGAUGUUGAAUACAGAUUACUUUUUAUUUUAGUAGUGUUAUCAGUAGAUAGAGCAAAAACUUUAUCGACAUACAAACAAAUCAAAAUUUAAAAGCAAACACUCAAUUAAACCCCAAUUCAACAGCAAUCACGAAUCUCGCAUUCCCCCUUCAUUAUUAUACAAUUUAUGUUUCUGCCUGGAGAUAUAGCACGCAAUAAAAUAGAGAACAGAGAUAAAGAGAACAAAUGCGCUGAGUACCUGUGAUCUGCUGAUAAUUUACCUGAUGGAAAACCAAGAAGAUGACAACGGUAGCGGCAAGGUGGGAGAUAAAAGCAACGACUUCGGAUGUAAGAAUGCGAUAAAUUCAAAAUCCGCUAAAUAUUCUUUUAUGAUGAUUAUUCAUUUUAUAAUUAUAAGUCGAUAGUGACUUAAAAAAAUUAAAAAUGUAUUAUAUAUAUAUANCAUAUUAAAACACAUUUAAAGAAUCUUAGGUACAACUUAAUUAUAUAUAAAACUAGGUUAUAACCCGUGGACACAACGGGUGAAAAUUUUAAAAUUAAUUUUAAUUUAUUUAUAAAUUAAUUAUUGAAAAUUUUAAAAAUAAUUUAAAUUAAUUAAUAACAUAAUUAUUGAGUGAUGUUUUGUCAGUAAUUUCAUAAUAAUAUAAUGUUCGGUUGAAACUAAGAAUUCAAAAAUGUUUAAAUAUCCAAUUAGCAAUUUGUAUUUGUAGAUAUGUUAGAAAAUUAUCAUUUUGUAUAAUGCAAUAAAAUUUAAAUAAAAUGGAAAGAUAAAUUGAUAUACAUAAUAAAAGUAUACGCAGUUUUAUAUAUUUGUAAAAAGUAAUUUAACAUAACAUUGGAUAGUUUAUUUGCAUGACAAAUUUGAUAUAUGACAAUCUGGUCUCCAUGAUCCAAGUAAUCUGUUGAAUCUCAUAAAUAAAUUAAAAAUAAUGAAUAUAAUUAAAUAUAUUAAAUAAAAAUAUUAAAUUUUCUAUAUUUAUGAUCACCUUGUGAAGUACCGCGAAAAACAUAUUCAAUAAUAUGGUCAUCAUUAAUUUCUUCAUCUAAUGUCAAGUCAAUCAUAGAUAUAGCAGAUAUGUGUGUAGUCUUUCUUUUUAAUUGAUGUUUUUCCUUUUGGUAACUUGAUUGAUGAAGAUUUUUGAGUGAUGGUUGAAUGACCGGUAGAUGUCAUGCGAAUACCCAACAAUGGAUUAUCAUUGUUAAUAAAUAGCGGUGUUUGAAUGUUAUUAUGAAAAAUAUAAUUUCCUGAAAAAAUAAAAAUACAAAUUAUAACGUUAGGAGUUUGUAUAAAUUAUAUAACUGGUAAACAUAUAUUUUAGAAUCUGUCUAUAAAGAAAUGCAUACCAUUUGAAAUGUUAGAUAAAGGAGUUCUAACAUUUAUAUCUGCAGACUGAGAAUGAAUAGCUUUAUGUUGAUAUACAAAUGAUUUGACUGAGUUUAGAUUUUCGUUAUCUGAUGUAACGUUUCUGUAGUUAUCUAUAGAUACUAAAUGACUACAACGAUUGUAGAUAUCUGUUAUGAAAUAUUGUUAGUAAUAAAAUCAAUAAAAUUAAUUAUAAAAAAACAAUUAAACUUUAGAAUUUAGCAAUUUGAUAUAAUUUAUAUAGUUCAAAAAGAAUUAUAAAAUAAAAGAAUAACAAUACCGUUAUUUAAUAUGUAAGAAACAUGUGUAAUAGGUGAUUUUUGAUGGGUAGAUGUGUUAGAAUUUACUUUGGAUUUUUUAUUAUUCAAAUAUGACUUUCUAAUUUUUCUCCUUUCUUUAGCGUUUAUAGAAGCUGUAGUGUUAAUUGAACCUGUAAAAUAAUAGUAAAUAAUUUAAGAACAUUUUUUAUAUAAAAUUAAAUAUAUUAUAUUUUAUAAAAAUUUAUUUANNNNNNNNNNNNNNNNNNNNNNNNNNNNNNNNNNNNNNNNNNNNNNNNNNNNNNNNNNNNNNNNNNNNNNNNNNNNNNNNNNNNNNNNNNNNNNNNNNNNNNNNNNNNNNNNNNNNNNNNNNNNNNNNNNNNNNNNNNNNNNNNNNNNNNNNNNNNNNNNNNNNNNNNNNNNNNNNNNNNNNNNNNNNNNNNNNNNNNNNNNNNNNNNNNNNNNNNNNNNNNNNNNNNNNNNNNNNNNNNNNNNNNNNNNNNNNNNNNNNNNNNNNNNNNNNNNNNNNNNNNNNNNNNNNNNNNNNNNNNNNNNNNNNNNNNNNNNNNNNNNNNNNNNNNNNNNNNNNNNNNNNNNNNNNNNNNNNNNNNNNNNNNNNNNNNNNNNNNNNNNNNNNNNNNNNNNNNNNNNNNNNNNNNNNNNNNNNNNNNNNNNNNNNNNNNNNNNNNNNNNNNNNNNNNNNNNNNNNNNNNNNNNNNNNNNNNNNNNNNNNNNNNNNNNNNNNNNNNNNNNNNNNNNNNNNNNNNNNNNNNNNNNNNNNNNNNNNNNNNNNNNNNNNNNNNNNNNNNNNNNNNNNNNNNNNNNNNNNNNNNNNNNNNNNNNNNNNNNNNNNNNNNNNNNNNNNNNNNNNNNNNNNNNNNNNNNNNNNNNNNNNNNNNNNNNNNNNNNNNNNNNNNNNNNNNNNNNNNNNNNNNNNNNNNNNNNNNNNNNNNNNNNNNNNNNNNNNNNNNNNNNNNNNNNNNNNNNNNNNNNNCACAUAUAUAUAUAUAUAUAUAUAUAUAUAUAUAUAUAUAUAUAUAUAUAUUGAAAAUUCCACUAAAGCUAAUGUAUUCAAAUGUUUAAGAUAUUCGGGUUGACAUUUAAAACCGUAUUUAUGCAUAAAGUAAAUCAAAUACAUGAGAAAUUAAAUAAAUUUAAUUUUAACCAUUUUAAAGAUUAUUCAUAAUUUUUUAUUUAUAAUAAAACCCACCUACAAGUUAUCACUAUUCCCCAAACUUUCCCCUUUCCCUUUUGUCUGUAACACACACGAUGAAACAAAAAACCCAACCUAGAAUUUUGAUUACAUACACAUUUCCAUAGCCACAGUUCGAUUUCUUAAAGAUUGUGAACAUUUAUCCAUGUAUAUCGAUAAAGGAAGAUACUAAUAUACCACCGAUUAGAAAUGUGAAGUGAAGAAAAGCUUACGUUGAGUAAUCUUGCUGUCGAACUCAGAGACUGGUUGAACGCAACAUUGGGGUUUGAAGAAAGCAAGAUUCAAGGUAAGAGAUGAUCAACUGAUGGUUAAUCUUAGUUUUUUUAACAGAAAAUAGAUUAUGUUGAAGAAAAUUUACAUGUUUUUCUUUGUUCCAGAAAUGUUGUGACUGAAGAUAUAAGCGAAAAGUUAAGCCGUUCAAAAGAAUAAACUCACAUUCGUUAAUAGCGGAAACACAAUAAGGUAGAAAUGGUUUUGGUUCGAUUUUUGAAAUUUGAGUGUUUGUUUAAACAUUUAAAUUUUGAAAUUGCUAAAUUUUAGACAAAAUCUCGUUAAUGAUUAUUUAGGGGAUCAUAUGAGUAAAUAAAACAAUUAUUUUCUUUGAUAUACCUUCUAAAUUAUAUAAGUUUUGUAUCAUUGUAUAGUAAGGUUUUCAAUUUUAUGUAUAAUACAAAUAAUCCAUAUCUGAUCCAUAUUUCAGUUGUGAUCAAGAAUCGAUGUUUUGGUGGGUCACUGUGUGUCAAGAUACUUAUAUUAGUUUAAAUCAUUGUUCAUUUUUAUCAAACUUUAUCUUUUUGCAUACCUUUAAUCCCUAUUUCAAUCAAAAUCACUUAGUUUUUACUACUGCUUCAUUAUCUUGCAGGCCAAUAAAAAUGGUAUGUGAUAAAUUACAGAAAUCCAUAUAAGUUAUAUUAGAUUGCAAUAUACCAUAGCCAAGGGCAACGAACAUUGAAAUGUAAUAAACUUAAAAAGUGAGUUAUUUUAUGCACCAAUCCAUGUCUAAUUGUCUAAUGGUAUAAUUCUGCUAUUGAUAAUUAUUUAUUAUCUAUAUAUCACAUUAGAUAUUAUAUUAUUUAAGUAUUUAUAAUACAGAUGAAUAGUUAAUUAGAUUAAAAGGUUAGGAAGGGAAAGAUUCCAAACUCCAUUAUUGAAAAAGGAAUGGUUUUCCCUUUUUGCUUUCACGUAGCUGGUUGGAAAAGUGGACAGUGCUCAGCUUAUUUGACAACAAAGUGUAUUAGUAAUAUGAUUCAAAUGGUUGAUUGAUGAUAUAGUUUAUUAAAACUCUUAUUACUUGAUGUAUAAGUGCAUGCAUAGAUGUUUAUUUAGGAUUUUAUGCAGAAGGGUUAAAAUGAAAAAUAACAAUGCUUCUUUUAUUAAUUAGAUUUGUUUAUCAUUAAUUAUAUUGCCUAAAACAUAGCAAUCGGUACAAUUAAUUUAUAUGUUAAAUUCAAUUAUUUGUAUCAAACACAUUUUAAUUGAAUAUCGAAACCUUGGGGGCUAUUUGAGUUGCAUAAUAUUUUAGAAUGUAUUGAAUCUGUUAAUACACAAUUCUUUAUUAAAAGACAACCCUAAGNCACAAUUCUUCAUUAAAAGAUGGCAACCCUAAGAUGAUAUUUAGUUGAGAUAAAAAUUUUGUGUUUUAUUUAUUUAUAUUUCUUAUUAUUUAACAUAUCUUUUAAUCAACAUAUGUAAUACACAAUAUUUAGUAUUUUAUACCCAAUAUUCUUAAAUUGACAGGUAGGUGGUAUGUGUAGCCUAGACAAAUGAUAAUUGGACAAAAAUGGUAAUGAACUUUAAUUAUGUUAAUUUUUCGUUAGGUAUCGUACCUUUAUUUAUUCCUAUUAUAACAUUCUACUAUCAAAAAAUUGUUGUUUACACUUUUAUAGCAAUAUAUAUUAAUUUUUCUCUUAAACCACUAAAUCAAUAACUGUUUCUCUCACUCCAGGAGGAAUAAUUGGUUCCAAAAUAAGCAUUGUAUUUUGAAAUGUGCUAUAGGUAGCAAUAUAUAUUACUUAACUAACAAAAUUAAUAAUUUCUUGUUUUCUUUAGAUAUGGAAGAAUCUAAAGUUGUGGGCACCAUUCUUGAAAUGUGGUUAGCUAACAAAACCUCAAUCUUUUAGGGCUUUACUUCAGGUAAUAAUAAUAUGAUUGAAAUUUUUUGUAUUUGUUUUCGUUUUUGUAAAUAUUUGAUUUGUGAAAUUUAAAUUGUGUUAUUUUCGUCCUCCUACAAAGCUGGAAAUAUCAAUGAAUAAACAACCUGUAAUCAACCAGAAUUAAGAUCUUCGGUCAAUCUCAUUUUGAAGCACAAUCACAAUCAAAGACUAGGCUACUUUAGAAUAGGAAUAAGAAACACCCAAAUUCAAAGUCAAAUGUAAACAACUGCUACAAAUAGAAGUCUAUAUAAUAUAUGUUUGAAAAUUAAAAAAUAAAUGUGGUGUAUGUUAAAUAACAAAAUUAUUCCAAGAUCAUAAGUGACUUAAAUAACAAAAUUAUUUCUAAAUCAUAAAUUAACAUUCAUAAUAAUAUAUUAUGAAUGUAGGUUAAACAUACUAAUAAAAAACAAUCAUCCCCAACAAAUGUUUGAAAAUUCUAAAACAAAACGUGAAAGUACUUAAUGAAAAGUAAAAUGCAUAAUCAUUGUCUAUAAAUCAUAAUCCAAUACCUAAUGAAACUUAAACUUAAAAUAAAAAGCCAACCACUUUUUUCCAACUUUACCUUCACAAUUUGGUUAAUGCGUCCUUCUGGCGAUAUUUUAGGAGUUUUUGAUGAUGAUAAAUGUUCGUUCAACUCCAGAUCAAACACUUCUUCCAGAUUUCUCUUCAAAACAGUUGGUAUAUUGAAACCCUUCAUGGGACUUGUUGCUGAGUUUUUAUCAACAGUGUAAGGUGUUAUGUUGUCGUCUGUCCUAGAAAUUGCAUCCUAAAAAAAUUUGUACUUAAUUAAUUUAUAAUCUGAACUUAUAUUUAUAAAAUAAUUAUAUGUUAUUAUAAAGUGUAUAUAACCUUCAAAAUCUUAUUAUCUUGUGAUUCAGAAUCAGCUUCACCAAUAUCAAAUGAUUGUGAAUUACCUACCUGCAUAAUAAAUAAUAAAAAAUAUGAACACAUAUAAUAAUAAUAAUAAUAAUAAUAAUAAUAAUAAUAAUAAUAAUAAUAAUAAUAAAAUAAUAGUAGUUAUAGUAAUACAUAGUAUAAUGAUAAUAAUAAUAAUAAUAAAUCUUUUUAUAAGAAUAGUAAAAAUAUUAAGCAUAAUAAUAAUAAAUAAAUUAAUGACCUGUGAAACGGUAAACUUAUUUUCGAGUUCUUCAAUCAAUUUUUCAUCAUCACUGACUCUACAUAUACUGUAUUGGUUGUUUUUUUCGAGACAUUGAAGGGACUGAUUGAUAUUUUAAAAGCCAACUUCAAACCUUUCAAUGCAUUUAUCUCUCCGGGAUAAAGUUGAGUACUAAAACCAAGCUACAAUAAAAAAAAAAGUAAAAAAAAAUUAGUUAAACUAAAUAUAUUAAGUAGAUGUAUCAUUUAAUUUUAAUCAAGGAAGACGACCUUGACUGUUUUUUUAAACAGAUCAUGGGCUGAUUUUUUCAAAAGAUACGUUCCAUCUCUUUCAAACAUGGUUAAGGUAAGAGUACCAGUAUUGUCUUGCACACGUAUCGGAAUCUUAUAUCUAUAAAAAAAGGAAAAUCCAAAAUAUAUUUAUUACAAUAUAAAAUAUAAUAUAGGUUUUAAUGAUUCAGGAGGAAAAUAAUAACCUCGGAAUAACCGUAGUUUUGUUUUUUGUGCAAUCCUUAUUAUGACAUUCAUAACCGGUUAAUCCUUCAUCAUCAACUUGAUCUUUUGGACCAGGAGGCCGAAUUGCUUUGUAGUUGCAAUUUGUACAUGCCAAAUAAUGCCAUGGUUCAUUUUGUAAAAUUCCCUUUAUAGUGCCCAUGAUAAUGAAAGUAUUUUUCUGCAUAUUAAUUUUAUUUUGAUUAUGCAAUAUACAUAACAAAAAAGUAGGUUUAUAAAUAUUAUAAAAUAUAUAAAAACCACACCUCCACAGGUUCUGAAACAUCAACAAUUGUCUUCAACUGAAACUUAACCAUGAAAUCAUCGUGUUCAGAAACUUAUUAGACUUCAUAAGUGUGAAUGUAUUUGUGGAUGAAUCAGGACGAUCAUCUCCAUCCAAAUUGUUUGUUAAAAAAAAAUUAACUAAUAUUAGUCACAUAAAAAUUAAUUGUAGAAAUUUGAAUGAAAUAAAGAAAAGUAAAUAAUAUUAAUCACAUAAAAGAUAAAUAUAGAAAUUAUAAUGAAAUAACACAAAUGACUAAUAUUAAUCACAUAUAACUAAUAUUAGUGACAUAAAAGUUAAUCGGAGAAAUUAGAAUUAUAUAACAUAAAAUACAUUUUCUUAAAAACAUUGAUUUCAUCAAUGUUUGUGUUAAUGAAUAGCUUCGACACGGAAAAAUAGGUGUUAACUGUGGGACGAUCUAUAAAAAAGAUUUUAAUAAGUGUUAAUUUAAUGAUUAAAAAAAUAAUUAAUAACAAAAUACUAUAGUAUACCUCUCCAAAUACUAAGUUUCGCAAAUUGAAUGAUAACGAUGAUACGAAGAUUGUGUGGAUUGUUAUCAAGAAACCCUUGCAUUUUGUAAGAAAAAUCACCCCACAAAUUGACACUUAGUUGGAAACCAUGCCAAAUAAAAGUUUUAAAUUAAAUGAAAUUAUAAUUAGAUAAUCUAAUAUCCAAAAAAAUAAAAUAAAAUAUAAAAUAACAAACUUUGCAUCUUGGAUUUGGAUGUUGAGUCUGUGUUUUUUGAUAUCAUCAUUGUCUCUCCCCAUCUCACCAAUUGCAACGACCAAUCCAAUAACAUCUAUGAACAUCAAAAAAGAUGAAUUAAAUUUUGUUAUGAUUUUAAAAAUAUGAUAUACUAUUCAAACCAUAAAAUUGACAAUAAUUAAUCUAUAACAAAUUGCAACUAAUCGAUAGCGGUGUUUUCAGGAUGGGUCAAUGAGAUAAUAGACUGGUAAUCAAUAAAUUCAAAACCAAACGCAGGUCCAGAAAAGUCAUGACACUCCGUAAGAACGAUGUUAUGGACAAAAGUAAGUUUAUGAUGUUGCCGAGUUAAAGUAAAACCACCCAUCCUUUGAGAUUCAAAGCUUGAACAUUGUAUGUAAAAUGCCAAGCCAUCUUUUAGAAUGUUUUUGAAUCGAUAGAUGUUUUUUCUUAAUACAUUUACUUGGAUCUUAGUACCCUAAAAGAAGUAUGAUAUAUAAAAUUAUCAUCAAAUCAUAUUAAACUUUGAAUGUGUAAUGAAUAUAUAGUGUGAAGUUGUAAAAUACCUGUUCAUCUAUUAAGAUUAAUUCAAUCGAGAAAAAUUCAUCCUUGUUAUACAAUGAAAAAAGGUUUCAUAGGUUUAUCACUUUAACUUUGAUAGUCAAAUCAUCUUUAAAUAUAUCUAAAUCCGAAAUCAAAGUAACAUUUGGCUGUGCCAUUUCUUUGCACAGAAAAAUCAACAUAUAUAAAAUGACACGGAUGGAAAAACAAAUGUAAAACAAGUUGAACUAAUUAUCAAAGAACAACCAAGCCGAUAACCUAAUGUAAAAUGACAGGAAAUCAAAAUACAGUAAAAAUAGUAAUGAAAUGAAAUUCAAAAUAAUGAAUAUACAGAUCAAGUAAAAUCUAUAUCCAUACUCUUUUAGUUGUGUUAUACAAUUUGUUGCUGAAAAACCAUAAUCUUUUAGUUCUGUUAUACAAUUUAUCAAAAAAAGACAAAUUAUAUAUAAUUUUGUUAUAUAAUUUGUUGCUGAAUAAAAGUUGUCAAAAAAAAAAAGACAAAAAUUAUAUAUAAUUCCAUUAUAUAAUUUGUUGUUGAAUAAAAGUUGUCAUGGGACUAUUCACGUAAAAAUAACCAAUUCGUUUAUCCACUCAUAAAAUGCAUAGUUAUCAUGGUUUUCGUGUAGCAUUAGAGUAGAUAGCAAUUGCCAUGUGAAACAGUGAAAGCAAUGAAUGGAUUGAAUGAAAUGUAAAAUCAAAUUAUUGAAACAUAUUGUGAAAACAUAUAAUAAAAAAUAACAACUUUUAAAACCGUACCUUCAUUGCGUGCAAAUAUAGCAAGAAUGACAGUCAAUUAAUUGAUGUAAACAUAUGUUCAAGAAACAAAGGCAAAGAAACGAAUUACAUUCUAAACGAAUUACUAUUCUGCAACUAGAUUACGGCAUCACUCUUCUAGGAUUGUAGAGUAUUGUGUUGGAUCCUAGACUCAAUGUUUCAUUUGGGUGUCACAUCGAGGAUCCUGAUCAACUUGACUUGAAUUUUCUCGCAUUUUGUAUAUGUCAAAGUAUGACAACUAUGGUCUUCCCAAAUCCCAUCGAACAAGUUUUCCACAUGAAGAUGAUAUUUCACGAUUCGAUCGGGGAACAAGAGAUCAUGCUUUACUUCCUCCACCUCCUCCAAUUAUUCUCCCAAACCCACAAGUUCAAAGGCUUGAAAAGUUCAAGCUCACUCAAGCCCUUUUGGCAAGUAAACAUGGGAAACCUAUGUGUGUACACGUCUUAGAGAUGAAGUCACACAUUGAUAGGUUAAGGAUGUUGGGUGUCGAGAUUUUAGGUAAGUUGGCUGUUGACUGGGUUCUUCAGUCGCUUCCUGAAUCAUAUAGUGAGUUCGUUAGAGAGUACUAUAUGAUGGAUCAUGACGUGACCCUCAUUGAUUUGACCUAUUUGCUUAUAGCUGCUGAAUCAGCAAUGAUUUGGCAAGUUAGUCGAGCAAAUUUGUCCGGUGAAUCAAAAUCCCAAACUUCAAUGGACAUUGAAAAUGGUGACAUUGGAGAACCAGAAAAAGUAGAUUCUGAGAUUGUUUCUUGUGCCAUUCCAAAAGAGUCCAUUUGCUUAUAUUGCCAAGAAAAGGAGCAUUGGAGACGAAGCUGCUCUAUUUACCUAAGAGAUCUAAGAUAUGGGAGAGUCAAAACAUAUGGCUCUACUUUAUGUGAAAUCCAUUAACUAACUCUUUUAAGUUCCUAUUCUAGAUUCUUGAUACAUGAUGUGAUAAGAUUACAUUUUGAUGUUUUGUAGGAUCGAAGAAAAGAAAGGAAGCUUAAGGGAAGAAGUGAAGCUGAAUCUAAUCGUGAAGAAAUGGAUUUCGAUCGCAUUGCUUGAAGAUUAGAUUCUUAAGCUACUACUUGGAGUUAAAAUAGAUUGCUUAGGAAUAUGUAACAACAUAGUUUUUCAGUUAAAUUGCAUUGUAAGGACAAAUUUUUCCGCAAUAAAAUAAAUUUUGAUUUUUAUAUUAUUUAUUUAUCCUUGCAAUGGCGUAUAUGAAAAAUUGAUGUUUGCAAGUUUCUAUUAUUAGCAAUAAUGGAUUUGAUUCUUAAUUAUGUUAUUUGUGGAAAUGUCAAAAGUUUACCAAAUAGGGAGAGUUUCUCAUCGCCCAAGUUUCAAUUGGACAGAAACUUGGAAUCAUGCAAUGUGUAUUGUAUGAUGAAUGAAAAACUUUCACAUUUGGGAAACUUAGACUAAUUCUUUGACAAAGUGUCAAUUGAAGGACUAGGAGAUCGAGUACACUAGGUCGUACGUUGAUCAAGUCUACCACAAGAGUGACAAAGAUAUUCGUCAUGAUUUACUAAAGUUUAGUAAAUAUGGUUAUACUUAUAAGAUUGAGUAUAAUUCUGAGUUAACUGAAAUAGUUUCAAUCAAUAGCAGAACGAAUAAGAAGAAUCAAGAAGGCAGAAAGAUAAAAGUUUCUCCAUUCUAAGAAGAAGGGAGAGUACCUUUUAUUGUGUUUUAUGAUGAAGUCUUAAUGAUUAAGAACCAUAUCUCAAUUGAUCCUCUAAGUGAGUCUUAGUGCAUUUGCAUGUCUAAGAAGAGGAAUCGAGAAUUGUAGAAAUGGUUAAAUCAAAGAGUCAAUCAUACUUCGUUCCAAUAUCAAGUCUUAGAGUCAUACUCCAAGAUUGUGACAUUGAGUGACAAGUCUUAAGUAGGUUUAUAACACUCAUCAAAUGUGGAAUUUGGAAAAGUUUUCUUAUUCUUGCACAUUAGAAAUUGGUAAGUUGUGAUGUCUUGGAUAAGACAAAGACCAACUAGGACCAAUUUGUGAAGUGUUUUGUCUUGAUAAGAACUACACUAACUCUUGAAUAUUUGCUUUGUCAAGAAAUGUUUCUUGACAAGAGAAUCUUAUAUGUCAAGGAGUCAGUGGGAGUCUUAAUGGUCUUGAAAGGUUUCAAGAACAAAUCAAGAAUAUACCUUAUCGAUCAUCACUAGCACACGACUUGAGGUUUGCAACCUAUCGUGCUGACAUUAUUUUGUUUUUGUGCCAUUCCAAUUGAGUUAAUUGCGUAUGUGAGUUCUAUGAGUUCUCAUUUGAAUGAAGGCAAGCACCUUGAUCAAUGAAAAGUACAUUGAUAUGAAUGGGUGAGCUACUUAACUACUUGGAAGACAUGGUGGGCACUCGUGUUACCAUAAGGCAAGAAAUCAAGAUUAAGAAAGUUCAGUCCAUAUGAGUUUGGAUUUGUCGCAAACCUUGGUUUUGGCAAAUUCACAUGGAUAGGAACUCAUACACCAUAAAAUCUAAGUGUCAUAAGAUUCCCUCCUUCAUGAAAAUGACUGUGAGGAAAUGCUUUCACUAAGAGAGAUUUUAAGAAGAUAGCAAUUGUGAAAAUUGUAUUCUCAAAUUCGAUUAUGGUUACGGCAUCCCUUUCCAUAGUUCGAAUUGUGAGAUUUGGCAAUUAGUUUGAACAUUUGGAACUUAGUAACAUAAGUUCUGAAUUGUUUAAACACACAUAUGAGCUAUCUAAGGCAAAGGUGUAUAAGUUUAAGAAGCUUAGAUAAAGGCUUAUCGAAGCAUCUGGUAUUAGAAAUAUGAAUUUCAGAAAUUCAAUAGGCAUUGUUUUCUGAAAGUUCAUUUGUUUUCUGAAUACAUGUCAAAGCUAGUGGGAGCAUAAGUGUUAUGCUUAUAUGAUAAUAAUCAUCAUGAUAGUGGGAGCAUAAGUGUUAUGCUUGUAUGAUUAUUAUGGCAAGUAUUGCAAGUUAGCAAUAUUAAUUAUAGAAAAACAAAGAUUCAAUUUGCAAAGUUGCAUGGGUUGAAAAGUUGUUUUGCUAUAAUUAAGGGAGAGAAUAUUAUACUUCGUUUCAAAAUCUAAAGCUUAGAUUGAGAAAUUUUAAUAUUUUCAGUCAAAGGAUACAUUGUGUGUUCUUAAAAUUCGAUUAUGAUUACGGCAUCCCUCUUCAUAGUUCGAAUUGUGAGAACAUGACACAUAAAAUAUUAUGGCAGAAGAUUGGUAAAGUAUCAUAUCUUUAUGUAAGACAUUAUGCAUCGUGUCCCAUACGCUUCGGGUAUAGGAUCGAUUGCAAGUGCUAUAAUAUUUGACCAUUCUAAAAUUUUCCAAAUGUCUAGCGCAUUUAGAGGGAAAAAGGACUAGAAUCGGUUUUGACUAAAAUAAUUAAACAACUAUCAAAGGACGAUCCAAAGUUCGCUGAGGAUUGGUCGCUUGUGAGUAGUUGGAAGUAUGGUAUUGGAUGGACCAUAUCGACAUUAUUAUGAAUAGAUAAGAUUCUAUUUAGAAUGAGUUGUCAAUUGACAAAUAUGGAAAUGUUUCCAUAUUGGGAGUUGGAUAUUGAGAAUCUAUGUCUAGAUUAGAAACUUUUAUGCAAGAAGGAUGUUCAAAGGAAUGUACUUUGAGUGAGAGAAAUCAUAUCUAUAGAAUUGUUUCUGAUAGAGAUUGGCCAAGUCUUGAUGAUUUUGAGCUAUGACUUUACGAAAGAAUCAUUGCAUAAAAUGUUAGAAUCUAGCAUAAGUAACAAGAAUUUGAUAUUCUUAUACUUAUGAUAAGGAUUGUGUCACAACUAGAAAUUUUUGUGUCUUGUAAUCACUAUACUCAAGUAAGAUGUUGAAUCAAAAACUUAAGAGCAUGUAUGAUGCUUACUUUAUGACAACAAAAUUUCAAUCCAAUACACCAUACAAGUACUACAAAUAGUCAACAAGUAGUUGGAAACCCUAGAAGUUCUUGUUUAGGUCCAUUUUGGACUAGGAAUUCCUUAUUGGACUCAACGGACCAAUAAGCUUCCAAUUUUGACUAUCAUGGGCUUAGAACCUUUAAAUGGGCUCUAAUUGGACCCACGUUCAUUUAUUUCAACAUUUUGGGCCAUAUUGGGCCUAGAAUGAAAUAAAUUAAAUAUUAUGAACCAUAAUUAAUUUAAACUAGCCCAACAAAGUAUAAAAAUCACACUUAUAUCUUACAAUCAUCAAACCUAACUCUAAUAUUGGGCUUAGGGGCAUUAAAGCCCAAUACUCUCUUUUUCUUUCCAAAUUUCGGCCCAAGACAAGCCCAAGAGGAAGAAGUUGACUAUUACCAUAACACCUCGCUUUUACAUGGGGGAUAUCCAUGUUUUACACUCCAAACAUCCAUACAAUCUCAUCUUUCCAUGCAAACCCCUCUCUUCUUCUCUUUUCUCUCUCAUUUUCGGCCGAAAACACACACACACAUCACAAAAAUCUAUUCCAAUCUCUCUAAGUCAUGAAGAGCAUUCAUCCCUCCUCCUUCAAAAAUUUCGAGAAUCAAGAGCUUCACAAGGAGAAUUCUUCACUAAAAUCAUUAUCUAGGUAAGUUAAUGCUUGGAUCCAUACUUUAGACUUCUUCUUAUAUCCAAAAAUCUCUUCUUAACUCUCAUGAAAUCAUAAACUUGUGUAUUAGAACCCCUCAAACUCGAGACCUUCAAGAAAAGGGUGCUAAGGCCAAAAAUCACCUCAUUUCUUUCCAUUUCUCCUCCAAAACCGAAACAACACCCUAAGGUGAGCUUCAUACCCCCUAUUUUUCUGUUUUAUAAGUUUUGUGGGGGGGGGUGGGGAAUACAAGUCAAAGUGUAGAUCUAUGUGUAUUUGUAUGCCUUGUAUGAUUUCUAUGCUUAUAUGUGUGUUUUUGUGUGAUUAUGAUGUUGGAUCUAGUCAAAAGCCCCUAAAAAUCGAGAUUUACUUUGUGUUAUACGUUAUUAGCAUAAAUUUUAUUACUACAUACAAUUUAUUUCAAGAAAAAUAACCAAGUUGUAGGAUAACAUCUUCUUUGGGCUAAAAACUCAUUUUUGGGCUCAAAAUGUUAAAAAUAUAAAAUUAAAGGGCCCAAAAUGACAAAACACGAAUUCUGAUGGGUGUAAUGAGUCAAAACAGUUUUGAUAAUGUAUUUUCUGGAAAUAUACUCUUUUAAAGGAUUAAAAUGUAAAAUUUUAAGCAUAAGAAUGUAAAUUUACAAAAAGAAAAGGGGCUGUAGACAGAAAAACUUCAAUGUUUUAAAUCAAUAAAUCCGUUGCGAUAAAACACUGACACCGUGACUACCGAGAAAUCACAAUACACAAUCAACACCAAAAAUCGUUAUCAAACGAAUUCAUUCGGUCUCGAAUCAAUAACAAACCUGAAACUACUAACACGACGACAACUCGAUACAUACACGGAAAAUUCGGGAAUUCAAUACACACGUGGGAAUGCACAGACGUCGAUACACCAUCUUUGGGCCCAAAAGUGUCAAAUCUUGCUUGUUGGGCCUAGCUAGCCCAAUGACCUGAUCUUUAGGCCCGAAGACAACAACCUUACGAGUUGUUGGGUCUUACAUGAUCCAACACAGCGUAAAAGGACUUUCAAUGGCUUUUAUACUAUUGGUCCCCAAGGGUCCUUUGGUACUACUAGUAAAGUCGAGAAUUCACCAAAUGCGAGUCGGGCCAAGGGCUCUUCGCAUUCACUAUAGCCUCGACCGACUAAUGGGAUUAUUAAGGUCUUCGUGCCCUCUUUUCUCUUCGGUCGUGGGGCUACACGAAGUCAGGGCGUUGGGUUACGUGAAUAGUACGGGCGAGGCCUAAGGGAUCGUUAGUAUAGUUGUAAACUGGUCGUUUGUGUAACGCGUGUUUAUAACAAUUCACCAUGCGCAAUAACCCAGUGUCGCCUGGAAUCAAUGACAACUGGAAUCAAUGACUUCACAUACCGCGAUGGUACAACAACUAUACGGAAUUCAAAGUGUUAGGAAAACAUCGGGUUUUCCUAGGGUUAUUCAAUACACACAUUUACGAGAUGUACACCAAGUUUAAUAAAUUCUUUUUACAAUUAUAGAAACAAACAAGCAUACUUAUGGAUCUUCACAAACUUUUUCAUAAACUUUUUUCAGAAAAUAUCGGAUUUUCUGGUAGUUUUCAAAACAAUACAAAACAUUGCUUUUCAAACACCGCUUAUGAACUCACCAACAUUUCAUAUGUUGACGUUUUUCAAAAUACUUGUAUUCUCAGGUAACAGGUAAAGCAAGGGGAAAAAUGUACUCAGUGAUGGUGGCUUGCAGAUUGUUUAUCUAUGAUCGAACAAUUUAUUUUUUGGAAUGUAAUGUUAAAACAAUGUACUUAGUGUAAACUCUACCAGUUGUACUAUCUCAACGCAUGGUAAUGAAUGAUGUUACGUUUCAUAUAUACUCAAUGUUAUGGUAUUCAAUUACGUCACGACAGCCCUCAGACGUUUCCGCCGUCUGGUUCGGGGGUGUGACAGAUUGGGAGUUGUGAAAUGAGUAUGACUGGAAAUGUGUUCAUUUGAUCUAUUUCACAAAGUAAGGACCGUAGGUAAACAUUGUGUGCAUGCUGAGAGCAUAGGACAAGUGUAGUAAUAAUUCAAGUAAGAAGUUGAUUACCCGAAACGACAAAUAAUGAGUAAUCGAUAUGGUGAUUAAAUAAAAUGUUACCCAGAGUUUGGGGUUAUAUGGGAUUAGUAUUAUUCUUGUGUUUCACUUUGUAUGUUUUGACUUCCUGAAUAAUUAAAUUGGUUCAGAACAAUCAAAAUUAUUCGAAUGGACCACAGUCGUUCAUAUGUUGGAAGUAGGUAUGAAUGAAGACUGUCGUGAAUUGGUGUGUGGAUUGUCUAAAGUGUAUUAGAGAUAAGCAAAAUUUUGCUGCAACGUUCAUGAGUGCUUAUGAAUAUGAUUUGAGCAUUGGAUUAAACCCACGCUCACUUGGAUCACUUCAUGGAUUUUAUCACGAGUGAUUGAUGAGAUGAUAAUAUCUUAUAUUCUUGAAACCGAGAUGUGUGAGUUGUAUCUUGCAAGUCGGUUACACAUUGAUAAUAUGUAAACGCAGCAGUAACUUGGUGUCAUAAAACAUAUUGUUGUGUGUGAUUCGGUAAGUGAGUGCAAGCAAGCAUUGAAUCAAAGUUUAUCCGUUCCUUUUAUCCAAAGUGGGAUGAAAGCGAUAUCUGUGGGCCCCUCGAUGAUUUAGUGAUGACAUCCUAAGCGCUUGGCCAAGCCGGGACUAAUUUAAUGUAUUCAAUUGUAGUCUGUUGUCAGUCGUCAUAAAUUAGAAAUUGGAAAACAACAUAUAGACAUAGAGAAUGAUUUAAAUCCAUGUCUCAUUCUAUACAAUAUCUAGAAUGGAGGAAUAUAUGAUCCCUUAUCUAAAGGACGCAUAUCUGAUAAGAUAAGAGUUGACAACGGCUUUUGAAAGCUACGAUUACAGAGAUCUGAAGUCAUACGCAGAAUAGUUAUUAGACUUAUCCAAGUGGGAGACUGUUAGAUUAAUGUCUAAGUCCAUAACUAUUUUGCUAUGUACUUGACCCGAUGGUACAUGGUCCUUUUGGGUUGCCUUCACCAAAGCAACUUGAUAGGAUGGAUUAUGGAGAGAGAAAAUUAAUUAUGAUUUAUUAAUAUAUUAUGAGAAUAAUAUAUUAAAGGAGAAAUCAUAUUGUUUAAUUAAUUUAGUCAAUAAUUAAUUAAGAAUUAGUUUUGUGGCUAAAAGACAUUAAUUAAACUUAAGGGACUAGAACUAUCAAUUGUAUAAUAGUUUAAUAUUGGGAUAAUAAACUCCAUAUUAGAGGGGUAGACGAAUUCUAUGGGGAAACCCAUUAGAAAUCGUCCUAGGCCUCUAAGGAGGGAGUUCAUGGGUUUCUUAGGGCCUAAGCAGUCAAAUUAGGGUUUCCUUGUUAGAUAACCCUAAUAGCCACACUAUUUAAAGGACCCUUGAGACUCAAAAACCUGGUGAACUAAUUGAUUAGGGUUUCCAGCCGUUUUUGGGUGUCUCCUCUCUUCUCAUUCUUCAUCCUCUUGCUCUUGGUGUUUGUGAGCCAUUAGAGGAGUGACACUUGUGACUCUAAGCUUUCUAAAGCCAUUACAAAGGAGGAUUUGAGAUUGUUAUUGCUACAUAACAAUCAAGGUAAGAUCUAAACCCCAAUCUUAUGUUAAUAUGAUUAAUUGUAUGCUAGAUCUAGGGUUUAUAGCUUUGGAUAUUCAAUUGCAUGUUCAUUAGAUAAACUAGAUCCAAAAGCUAUUAGGGUUUACAUGUACACCAUAGGAAUGAUGUUUUACUCAUAACCCAUCAGUAUUUUCUUAUUCAGAUCACGAAACUUCUCUAUAUCACCGGUCAUGUGAUUGCUUGCACCUGUGUCGAGAUACCAUAACAUCAACUAAUUUGAGUCCCCACCUUUAGUUUUCAGUUUUGGGUUCACCUUCUCUUCAUUUAGGAAUACUUCACCAACCUCUUCUUUAUCUUCAAGGGAGGAAAAUAGCAAUGCAGGUUCGUUGUCUUCCUGUAUCAAGUUGGUUUCAUGGCUCCUCUCCUUUCUUGGAUUCUUACACUCAGCUGCGUAGUGCCCGAAUUCCUGGCAGUUAUAGCAUUGUAUCCCACUUUUAUCUUGACUGCCAGAUGCUCCAUUACCUCCUUCUCGUUGGUGAUGUGAGCCACCUCUUCCUCGACCGCCACGACCACCACUAUUUUGACCUCUACCUCUGCCUCGACCUAGUGAGCCUCCAAAUCCUCCUCGAUUCGACUUAGAUUUGGAGUCACCUUCUCCCCUUUUCUUUGUUCUUUUGGACCACUCUUGAUGAGUCAAGAGCAGUUUUCGAUCAUCAAUUUCUCCAUGCCCUUUCAAUCUCUCUUCAUGAGCUUUCAAUCGGCCUAUUACUUCUUCCACAGUCAUUGUGUCCAAGUCCCCAAAUUGCUCAAGAGUUGAGGCAAUUUGAAGGAACUUUGAUGAUACUGCCCUGAGCAACUUCUUCACUACAUAGCCUUCUUCUACAGUUUCUCCCAGAGUGCGCAUGAUGCUCACUACAUUGGUUACCUUCACGGAAAAAUCGUCAACACUUUCUGUCUCUUUCAUGAUCAUGGCCUCAAACUCAGCUUUCAAGGUCUGGACUCUUGCAGUCUUCACUCUAUCUGCCCCUACAAACAUCGUUCGCAGGGCUUCCCAUGUUUCUUUGGCCGAUUUCUUCUUAAAUAGUGACAUUACAAACUCCUCAGGAAUCCCUUGGUAAAUGACCGCUAGUGCCAUCUUGUCCUUCUUUACCUCCACCACCGUGUUGGCUAUUCGCAGCUCAACAACAUCCCAUACACCAUGGGCUUGCAUGAACAUGCGCAUCUUGAUUUCCCAUGCCCCGUAAUUACUCCUAGAUAACAUUGGAUAGUGGAGGGUGAUUUACCCAUCUUUUUCACCAUUGUCAUUGCUUCCCGACAUCUCUUCACGAAAUUGAUACUUGGGCAUACACGAGGUUAGGCUCUGAUACCACUUUGUUGGUUUUGACAGGCUCUUCACAAGGUUCCUGCAGAAGAGAAGUAACAGGGGACAAAAGAAAUUUUACAGAGGGGUAAUUUAGGUAAAGGUUUUGUGAUGUAUUAUUCAACUAAAAGAGAUGAUUCCAACGUACACAAUGCCUAGGUAUUUAAACCAAUGAAAAAUUCAGAAAAACAGGGAAUACUAACUACUAGCUAGAGACCAGGUAAGACAUUCUUACAUGGCCUUGAUUUAUUCUUCCUAAACAAAAGAAACGUGCUUAAUAAUAAAACAACUUCUGAAUUACUUCAACAGAGACGGCCCGGAUGGUGGCGUGCUGGUUAUGACGGUAGGGCCAGAAAAUGAAAUCGGUCGAAUACUUGAACUGAAGCUCUCUUCUGGUGGGUUUUUGUUGGGCAUCACCAGUCAUCCUCGUUUUACCGGGGCCCAUGGCCGAUGUUCAGUUGGUGGCCGCACCCUGACGCCGACGAUGGGGGUGAUAAUCGAUGGAGCAUUCAGAGGCAGCAAUUUCCAAGGUUAGAUAGAAGGGAUGCCGAUGUCGAUGCGUUCAGGGAGAGACAUCGGGAUUUGGAGGUUACAUAGAAGGGAUGCCGAUGCGUUCAGGGAGGAGACGGGGGGUUUUGGAGAGGCGGUGGGAAGCAUCCAGAAUUCAAUGGAGGCGAUGAAGUGAAAACAGAAGGAAAACCGAGGCUAAGAGUCGGUGAAAUCAGCUGAGUCAACAGGAGAAACGAAGAACACCCAACACGUAGAGAGUUUCUGUGUACUUGACAGCACGUGUAAUCCACUAUCUCCAAAAAGAGAAAAGGGAAAACAAAAAAAGAAAUUAAGAGAAAAAAAAAGAGCCAAUGAAAUCAAUUUACAGCUCCCUAAAGGGGUUUAGAUUUAGUAUAUUAUAUGAUUAGGGUUUUUUUUUUUUUUUUAGGAAAAACGGUUACAUGUAUAAUAUAUCAAAACAAUACUAAACCGCUUGGUUUUUUCCUGAACAUUUCCGGUUUGGUUUCCGUUCUUUUUCAAAGCGGUUUUUUUACACCUCUAAUUUUCAUCUUGUUUUUAUAUGUUCCAAUACAGAACAUAUAAAGUUUUGUGGAUGUCUAAUUUCAUACAACACGGGGAAAAUAGCCACUCAUGGUGUUACUAGCAAAUUUAUUGAUAUCAGGGACUUCAAAACCUCUGCCAAAUUACAAUGAAUACCCUUUUUACAAAUUUGCAAUGAAUAAUUGAAUACCAUCACCUUCACAUAAAUCUAGUCUUUGAAGCUAUCAUAAAAUAAAAAAUAAAAAAAACAAAAAAAAUGUCUCCCAUGACGAUUGAGAAGUAAAGCCCCACAUGCUAUCCAAAAUCCAGUAGCAAAACCCAUCCCCCCACCAAUAUAAAACCAUCUUUGAACUUCAUCUAUGUCUUCCUCAUCACCCUCACUUUUACCAGCAGGAGGUGGUACUUUUGAUUUUUCAUCUACAGGGCAAUUCUUGGGAAGGGGAAGUCCACAUAGUCCUGUGUUUCCAUCAUAUCUUGAAGGGUUAAAGGACUGAAGUUGAGUGCUAAAUGGGAUUCUCCCCGACAAGUUAUUAAAUGACAAGUCUAGGUAAUUCAGUAAACUCAUAUGAGACAUGCUUGAUGGUAUCCGCCCUGAAAAACUGUUUCUAGAUAAAUCCAAAGUCAAAAGGUUGUUCAUCUCACCAAUUGUCGAUGGAAUUUCUCCAGAUAGUUUGUUCUUUGACAAGUUCAGGGCAAUCAAGUCAUAGAGAUUAGUAAUUUCAUACGGGAUAUUUCCUGUUAAGUCGUUGCUUGACAGGUCAAUGCUCUUUAACAAUUUCAAUGUGCUAAAGAAUUCUCGUUCAUCACCUUGCCACUGAAUUAUCGCAUGGUCAACAUAUGUCUCAAUUUCAUAAGAAUAAUUUACUGAAGUUUUAUAAAACUCUACACCUUGUAAGAAUUCUUGUUGAACCAUGCUUGUAAGAUUACCCAAACAUGAGGGGAUGAUUCCAUGGAGAUUGUUCAUUGACAAGUCUAGAAUUUGAAGAUUGGAUAAUUGACAUAACUGUAGUGGGAUGGUUCCAAAGAAGUUGUUUGAUUUUAGAAUAAGAACAUACAAACCUGAUAAGUUUUCCCCAAUCCAGAGAGGCACAUUACCAGAAAACUUGUUGGCCCCCAAAUUCAACGACUUUAAGCUGGUGCAAUUUUUUAAUGACAAAGGCAAUUCUCCAUAGAAGUUGUUCUUGGACAAAUAUAACACCUCAAGUUCUGUCAUAGAUCCAACAGAGGGAGGAAGUCUUCCAAAUAGAUUAUUGUGUCUGAGAUUAAGAACUUUUAGUCGUUUGAAAUGCCACAAACAAUCCGGGAGUUGUCCGAUAAAUGAGUUAUCAGAGAGGUCAAGAAAUAAUAACCCAUCAAAAAUUUGGCAUAUAAAUGCGAUUCCUCCAGAGAAAUUGUUUUUGGAAAGAUUUAAUGAUAACAAAGUGGAAGAAACAUUUGUUAUUGGACCAUAAAAGUUGUUUGAACUCAAAUCUAUCGCUGAAUAUUUGGCAAAAUUUGAUAAUAAAUCUGGUACUUUCCCGUUAAUGUUGUUGGAAGAGAGAUUUAGAUAAUCUAAUUGAUAAGGCCACAUGUCCCAAAACCCCAGAGGAGUUGUGUCUGAAAUACCAGCAUUGGAAAUAUCAAGACGGGUGAGACGUUUGAAUGUCUGAAUCCAUUUGGGGAAGCGAGGCCCUAACAGCUUGCAAGACCUCAUAUCAAUAAAAUGUAAGUAAGAAAGGCUUGACAAGUGAUAUGUGGAAGGAACUCUAAGAUUAUUAAAAGAAACGUCAAGAGUUUGAAGCCUGGGUAGCUCCCACAGUUUCUCACUUAUACUUCCAUUUAAGUGAUUAUGAGACAGGUCCAAGGACUUUAGGGAUGAAAACUUUUGGAUCUCAUCGGAAACUGACUCUGUAAAUUGGCUUCCAAUAGCAUACAACAGUUGUAAUGUAUGUGAUGUGCAUCCGGACAAGUUGUUGAGAAAAUCAGGAAAUUUGACCACUGCAGAGUUGUUAUUGAAGUACAAAGUUUCCAGACUACAGAGGUUACCAAGAUAUUUAGGUAUCCCAUCUAACAUGUUGCUAGAGAGAUAAAGAAAACGAAGCUUAUUGCUGGUUAAUGGUAGCAACCAACGAUACAUGGAUGAAGUGAGAUUGUUGUCACCGAGAUAAAGGGACUCAACAGAUGAAAAAGAGGAGUUGAGAAACAAAGAAUAUGGAUAUAUGAUCUUUGACAGCUCACAUCCCUCUAAAGAUAAAUAUGAGAGGUUCCGGAGACUCAGAAUUACAUCUACCCAGUAAUUUUGUUUGGCUAGGGAAAUCCCAUCCAUUCUUAGCCACUCCAAAUGUGAGAGAUGCGACAACCACUCUAUGUUUUCAACUCUGUACCUUCCAACGGAUCCAAGGUUAAGGUAUUGCAAGUUGGUGAGGUUUCCAAACUCUGGAGGAAUGGUUCCAUAAAAAGAAUUAUCGGAAAGGCCAAGGUGCCUUAAUUCGGUCAAGGAACCAAUGGACCCGGGAAUGGUUCCAUUAAGAUGAUUGUAGGAAAGAUCAAGAUACCUUAAUCGAGUCAAUGAACCAAUUGACCUGGGAAUGGUUCCAUUCAACAAAGAAUUGUAGGAAAGAUCAAGAUGAUUCAAGCAAGUUAAGUUAAGAAACGUAUGGCUAAUCUCACCUCCAAGAUCAAAAUGACUGAUAUCAAGCCCUGUGACAUGACCUGUUUGGUUGCUGCAGGUGACUCCUCUCCAUUUGCAGCAGUCAUGAUUGUCAGCUCUCCAUGAAGCUAGAAUGCCUCGGCGAUCAUAAAGGGGAGCUUUGAAAAGAAGGAGAGCAAGUCUCUCCUUUUCCAGACACUUGUUCAUAUUAGCACCAUUUCUAUCAUCUCCUCCUUCUUCUCCCCCUGCUACCAAUUGGCUGGCAGUUGUAGUCGUGAGUAGCAAGAGAAUCGAGAUGAUUAUAAAAACACAAAGAUUCAUAAUGUAAAUGGAAAAUCUUGGUGAUUUUUGGAUUGUAUUGAUGCUUAAUUGCUUAUAUGAACUGCCCCCAUCAGGGUUUAUAUAGUCUUGAUGUGAAAAUCAUUGCUUAGUAAGUGUGUGGCCUCAAAUUGCAGGCCUACUUGUGUGGGGCAUACAAUACUUAAUUUGGUUGAAACUGGAACCAAGCUAUAAGACAAAUGAAAGAUGACGCGUUAAAAUAAAUUGCUUCAAAAUUUUGAUUUUUGUAGACAUAUAUGAAUGAAACCAAGUUUAUCCAUGCAUUACUUAAUUGUGGUCUUUUUCAUUGAUAAAAAUGAUAUUACCAUGCUACCCUGAUUGAUACUCACUCGAUUAAAAACAUUAGAUUACAAUCAAUACACUUAGAUGAUUGGAGACUUAAUCAAGAAAACGCCAAUAGUUCAUGGCCAAAAUAGUGACAUUAAACCUUAUAUAAAUAUCAAAAUCACACAACUUAAAUAGUAGACAAAGUAGCUGCCUUGGAAAAAAAAUGUUAUUUUUAUACUGAGAGGAGUUUCCCUAUAAGACCAGAUCUUUUCAGCUGCCCUAUGUGGACCAAAUGAUAUUCAUUGUGAUUCUUUGUCAACGUUUUUGGUCAACAGAAGCUUAAAUGCUUAACCAUCUUCAACCAUCUUAACAACUUCAAUCUCAAACAAGUUUUCAUUUUCUUGAAUCUAAAUCUAGCCACACAACGUCUGAACCCAAAAAAAGAUAAUUUUUUAUUUUCUAUUCACCAUAGCAAUAGCAAAUAAAUAUAUACAAAAUAAUCACACAAAGUGAAAAAUCCAAAAUUUUCUAUAAUACCAGCAACCAACCUUUAUGCGUCACUCUUUUACUUCGCAUCAUCAUAUGAUUGUAAUAAUUUAAGAGUAAAUUACGUUUUUGGUCCUUGGCUAUAGCUGAUCUUUUCAGCUUUGGUCCCCAAAUGUUUUGUAUUGUAAAUUUGGCCUUUAUUUGAAGUUUUUAUAGCGUUUUUGUUCCUAUAGCAAGUAAAAGAUGACUAUUUUGGGAUCAAAAUUGCAAAAAUCAGUUAUACUCUGGGACCAAUAUAGUAUUUUACUUUGAACAUUGACAAAGAACAUUAGAAGAACCUCUAAUAAGGAGCAAAUUGCAAGAGAAAACUGUCUGGUGUAUACUUAGGGACCAAAAAUGUUACUCUAAUUCUAAACAUUCUACUCUCCUAGCACAUAUUGAAUAAAGAUUUCAUAGUAAGUUUGGAACAUUAAUAAAUAAUAAGUAAUAUAUUUUUCCAUCUUUUAGGAGAAUUGGAAAAUAAUGCAAGUUCAUAUGGUAUAUAUUCUCAGCUGUUUCUUUCUCAUAAACUUGUUCGUCUGUAGUCAUCUGUAGUCAUCCAGGGGCCAUGUGCUCCAAAUACGAAAGACAACUCAAUAACAAAAACUAAAAAAACCUAACUUAUCCAUAAUUCAGCCUUUAGUUUUUGUAGUAUUUACAUUGGCUUCUUUCUGGAUGAAUACGUCUAUUUGCGGUGUUUUUAUCUGUUAUGAAGAAAAAAUAUAUAGAAUAAAUUACAAUUUUGGCCCGUGAUUAUAGUUGAUAUUUUUUUCAUAUUCGGUCUCAAAAAGGUUUAUGUUGCAAUUUUGGUCCGUGUUCCAAAAUAAAAUGACUAUAUUUCAAAUUGGGUACGAAACAUAGUUGUUUUACUUGGAACAUGGACCAAAAAUGUUACAAAAACCUCAAAUAAGGACCAAAAUUAUAAAAAACAACUACAGUCAUGGAACAAAAAAUGUUAUUUACUCAAAAUUAUAUAUACGAGACAUAGAAGUUUUCUUUUUGCAAAAAAAAUUGAGCAUCUGAAAUAUGUUACCUUCUGUUUUCCUAAAUUAAGCUCCUGCAAAUUAAAUAUCACACAUUAAAGUUGGCCUAAUUCUUGAAAAAAAAAUAUUACUUCAUUUACUAUUUAUUUCAUAAAAUCUACAAACUGCCAUCAUAUGGCUGUUUGAUUGAGCAGGUCUCUAGUUUUGCAACUUUGUUUUCUGAACAAUCACUAUUAGAAAAAUGUUUUCCUUGACAGACAAUGUCUAUCGUAAAUGCCUAUACAUGACAAAUAUUUGUCUGUCAUUGAAAGCCAUGUCGUAAAGAAAAAUGACAAACAUUUGGUUUGUUAAAAUAUUUACGACAAACCUUUAUGACCGACAAUCAAGACAUACAUACACGACAUGCGUUUUCGACAUACAUUUAUGACUGACUUUGUAUGUCAUAAUUCGUAACAUUUUUGUAAAUUACCGAGAGACAUAUACGACUUGAAAUAAUUAAGAUAUUCUGUAUGUCAUGAUUUUGACAUAGUUUUACAACAUACUUUGUAUGUCAUGGUUUUCCAUUAUAUAUAUUUCAAAUUUGUAACAAAUCUAAAUUUAAUUAAAUUACACAUUUAAUGUCUAAUAAGUAAAAUAAAAUAUCAUACUUACACAAAGAUAAUUCAUUACACGAACUAUAUUGCCAAAUUCAAAAGUAUAUUUCAAAUUCAUCAAAAAAAUAAUUGUCAAAUACAUAUCACCGAUUAAAUAAAGGUUGUGACAUAAGUAGCACAUUCUUCACGGACCUUAUCAUUCUUGAAGUUUGUAUAUUCCUUCUUCCUCCAAAUCCGAGACAACCUAAUAUAUUAGCAAAAAAAAAAAAACAAUUAAACAAUUAUAUAUGUGAAAAUUCUACAACACUUCAAAUAACUAAUACAUUUACUAACAUAGUUUACAUGCACCUAAUGGCCACUUUAAACCCAAAAACGAAAUAGAAAUUAAGAUAGAUAAGUGUAAAAGAAGCUUAAAUGUAAGAAAUAGAAAAGUACCAUAUGGUUAAGGAAGCUUAAAUACAUGAAAUGACAACUUACUUUCUACUUCUUUAUGAUAAAGGAAACUUAAAUGAAAAAAAUAGCAAAGUACAUUGCUAUUUCCUACACUUGCAGUCAUAAAUGAACUUGUGUAGUAAAAAAAGUAAAUUAUGUUCUUUCAGUAAAAUCAAUUAAAGUAUGCUGCUAUUUCUUGCAUUUUUAACGAAAAACAGCUAAAUGCACGAAAUCGCAACUUGCUUCUACUUAUUUUUGGUGAAGGAAGCUUAAAUGCAAGAAAUAGCAAAGUAUAUUGCUAAUUCUUUCCCUUGGGAUAGAAAAAGGACUUGUGUAAUAAAAAAAUUAUGUCUUUUUUUUUUCCUAAGUAAAAUCAACUAAAGUAUGUUGUUAUUUCUUGCCUUUUAAUCAAAAAAUAUCUAAAUGCAAGAAAUAGCAAGUUACUUCUACUUAUUUAUGGAAAAGAACCUUAAAAAUAAAAAGUAGAAAAGUACACUACCAUUUCUUCCACUUGUGACAAAAAUGGUUUAUGUAAUAAAAAGAGAUGUUUUAUUACUAAGCCAAAUCAAUUAACCUGUCGAGUUAAAAUCGAGAUAAAAAAAUUUAAAAAAAAAAACAUAUGAGAAAAUCAUUGAAUAUUUACAUGUCGGGUUAAAAUAGAAAAGUACGGCAUACAUGUUGUUGUAGCCUAUGUAUUUAAGUAUCAAUCUAUAGAAAAUAUAUUUUAAAUGAUUAGUAUUAUUUAUGGCAAAUUAAAGAUUAAAAAAGUGUAACGACGUAAUUUUUCAACCAAUUUUUUUUUUCAUUUUUAAAACACAUAAAACUCAUAUAUUAUAUUUCAUAAAAAUCAUAAGUGUCUCAAAGUAAACAUAAAUCCAUAACAAAGUCAAAUCCCAGAAUCCUCAACAUAAUCUCGAACAGGUGUACAAUCACACAGGUGCCUUCCCACGAUCCUCGGAAGUACCUGAAACACAUAACACAUAACACAUAACACGGUAAGCAUAAAGCUUAGUGUGUUCCCCAAAAUACCACAUACAACACAUUAGCCACUCGAGGCUAUAACUAUGUAAGACCCUCCGGUCAAUGUGUCUCAGUGGGACCCUCCAGUCCCACAACUCUGAUGGACCCUCCGGUCCUAACUCUGUGGACCCUCCGUCCCUAAAUCUGUAAACUCUAAAUACACAUAGCAUAAAUCACACAAACAAAAUGCAGUAAUAUAACAGUACUCAAAUAAACACAUAGGACCCUCUGGUUACAUAUAAAUACCACUCUAGGUAAAGUAUAGUGAGAAGAUUCCCCUCGUAAGCUAGUAAGUAAAAGUCUCAUGCUCGAAAUCCUCGAUCUAUCUUCUGCCUAUCAUAAGGAUAAUAUCUCUAAUUAAUACUCUCUUCAUUCUCAAAUGUGCCAAACAUUGAUCUCUCUUACACUGUAGCCUUAAAAAUGGGUAAAAGACCAUUUUACCCCUUCCUGACCUCCAUCACUCAUUUGACCAACCCUAAAGUUAACCAAAGCCAAUUCUAGUCAACAACCCAAAUUGACCAGACUCGCCUAGUGCGCCCAUGCGACUCAUCGAGUCGCACCGAUUCUUGACAAUCUUAUGAAGGUCCAGCCCGUCGAAUUAACCCCUAACUCUUCGAGCUUUCGCCUGAUCCAGCUAAUCGGGACAACCCUAAUCUUCUCGCUGAGUCAGCUCAUCAACUUGGUGAUUCCAUUCAGACUCAACUUGCAUUCAGACGACUUUAAGGCAAGAUACUUUCCCAAACUCCAGAUCCAUACUCUCAGGGCUCAUUUAUAUCGUAAAGUCAUAGACUUUACGUCCAUGCAUGGCAUUUUGGGCAUGAAAUGCCAAGAACACGAUCUAACUGGGUUUUUCACUCAUAAAUUCCGUCAAGGCUAAAUAAAGCAUGAACCUUUAGAUGCUAGGGACCUCCUAAGGUCCAGAUCUGGAGUUCAAGCCUCCUCAUGAACCCUAAAUCCUCAAAGUCCUGAAAUAUAAAGAAAAGAAGCCCUAAUCUUCAAAAUGAGAGAUCUACUCAAACAAAAGAGAAAGGUUCGAACUUGAUACCUCUAACGGAAGCUCUUGGACGUAUAAGCAAUAGAUCUAACAGCCGCUUCACAAUCCUUGCUUGGAAUCCUCCUUUCCUCUAACAAAAUGCACCCACAAAUCUCGACUAAGGCUUAAAACUCUCUCAAAACUCAAGGGGGCGAUUAGGGUUUCUUCUCAAUGAGGUGUGGCCACAAAUGAGGCUAUAAGUGCCUUUAAAUAGACCACAAGCCCAAGAAAUUAAGGUUUCCUUCAGCAACGCUGACUCGACGAGUCGCCUUACAGACUCGUCGAGUCCAUUAAUUAAUCCACGUCACCAGACGCGACUCUACUAGACGAGUUAAGGCACCAACUCUUCGAGUCACUCCACAAAUCUCAAAUUAAAUGAUAAUAUAAUUACUUGGGAAUCCGGAUGUUACAAUUCCCCCCCACUAGAAUCAGACUUUGUGACAACCCGAAAUUUCCAUUCGGUCAACCCUAAAAGUCAACCACUUCGUAUCAUAAGUCAAUGUCAUUAUGUAACAACCUGAAAUUUCCGUAUCAUUUCUUGUAACUCUUUCGUAGUACAAUUCACGCAACCAAACGUCGUUUCCAAAUUCGAUUUCCGAUCUUUCGUUUAAUUAAGUCAUUAACUGGUAUGUAUUUAUAAUGACUUAAUGGGUGUCUUAAUAUAUUUAGAAAUCAUUUUAGCACCCAACUUUAGUGAUCGGAAUAUUUCUAGAAUUUACCGUAUCGGGUUACGGCAACCUAAUCGGGUACGACCAAAAGCCUCGUCUAACGCCGGUAUCGGGUAGAAUUUCACCGUGUCCAAAACUUAAACACUAUAUAAUGUGUCUUAAGCCUCCAUUUCAAGCCUUUGGCCAUUUUCUCAUAGAACUCUCACAACCUCUCUCCUCAUCCAUAAUCAAAGGUCCAAAACAAAGAUUUAAGGCUUCCAAUCAAAGAGGUAACACUCCUAACUUGUUAUUCAACCUCUUAAGCCUUCAAAUUAAUGUUUAAAUUAUAUUUUGGGACCAAGAACAUGAGUUUACGGCCAAGGAUCAUGCUUGGACCGUAAACUCCUCAACAUGGGGUUUUUGAGCCAAUUUACCCUUCCAAAUCAUAGUUGGGACUUAGAUAUGACUUUAAGGCUUGCUAAUUUGGGACUUGGAACACAUUAAACAUGAAUUAUAUGGGACAAACAAGAGUUUACGUCCAAGGCAUGUGCUUGGGCCGUAAACUCCAUUAAAUUGGGGAUUUAGUGCCUUAAAUCAUGUCCAAAUGCCUUGAAACUCAACCAAUGGCCUUGUGGUAAAAUCUAUAUGCAUUUAAAUAUAGUUUAAGGGUUUGAAGCAUAUCAAAAAUGUCAUUUAUAGGAGUUUACGGCCUAGGAACAUACCCUUGGCCGUAAACUCAUAAAACCUUGUUAAUGAUGCAUCAAAUACACUCUAAUGGUUAGCAUAAAUUUCUAGAAUCACAUGUGAUUGUUUUUAAGCAUCAAAAACUAACUUUUCAUGAGUAUAAGAGAGUUUACGGCCAUAUAACAUGCCUCUAGGCCGUAAACUCCUAAAAGUAUGUUUAAUGGUGUUCUAAAUUCAUAACAAGGCUUGGAAAAUUAACUAGAAUCACAUAUGAUUGUCCUUUGUAGCUUAAAUCCAUUUUUCUUGGCCAUGGGUGAGUUUACGGCCGUAAACUCUUAUGGUGUGGCCGUAAACUCCCUUUUAAGUGUUAUAAUUCCAUUCAAUCCAUUCCAAGGCAUUUUAGAAAUCCAUUCCAACAAUCCCCAUGUCCAUUUAAGCCAUUAAACACUCAAAACCACACCAACAUGAGUUUACGGCCGUAAACUCAUGUGUGAGUNGGCAUUUUUAGAUAUCCAUUCUAGCAAUCCCCAUGUCCAUUUAAGCCCUUAAACCCUCAAAAUCACACCAACAUGAGUUUACGGCCGUAAACUCAUGUGUGGGUGUGUUUUGUGGUUGUAAACUCUUUAAAAUGUUUACUCUUGGGGAGUAAACUCAAGUCCCAAGUCCCUAGUGCCAUUACACAUCCGAAGAUGUCACCCGGGUCACUCCAAACGCUCGUUUUGAAGUGUUUAACCUCGUUGGAGUGUAAUGUUCCAUAUGAUUAGUGAAUGUAUCUCUAAUUGAAUAUAUAUGGACAUUAUUUCAUUUUACAUAUGGACAUCGCGAGUAAUCAAACCCCGAACCAACGUCUAGUAUCCGAAACUUACACAUUUUCGAGUCCGGUGAGUUCAUACCCCUACCCUUUUUCACUGUUUUCACUGUUUUCAAGGGGGGCACACAAGCAAAGUACAAGAGAAUUCUUGUACUCAAAACAUGUUUUCAAAUGUGUGAUUCAUAUUCCAUAUGCUUUUAUUACUGAUUACCACAACUGAUAACCAUUUGAACAUGCAGAUCACGUAACAUUUAUUUGUGAAAUAGGUAUUUAAACUGUUAUGUUUUACAUAUAUUUCACAAAUGGUUUUCCACAAUUUAUCAGUUAAAAGCAUGAAAUUAGACAUUUGAAUAUAAUACCUGUACACUGUUUUGUCCUCGGUAACACUCCACACACAUACACGAGUGGAGGACUAUCAUAUUAUUACUAGUAAAUUUGUUAAUCCUGUAUGAUUGGAGACACGUCCUCGGCGAACACUCCACAGAGAUACGCGAGUGGAGGACUACACCCAUAACCAGAAUCUCUGGUAUUUAGAGAGCGUGACUUGAGUGUAUAGAUCUAUACGGGGCUGACUACCCCACACUUGGCUGCUAGCAACAGCCGAACCGAAAUGGUUCAAGGGUGACGAAAGUCAUAAGUAUGUGGACUACUUAUUGCCACAUGUUGACUACUUAUUGCCACAGGUUUAGUCUAUCGUAUGGUUAUGGAACUCGCAAUUAGGAUAACAGAGAUUUACUUAUAGUAAUAAUAAACCACUUAUACAUCUUUUACAUCUUUUACAUCUUUCACGUACAGUAAUCAACAUUCAGGAAAGUAUGGGACUUUCCUGGGGAAAACAUGGAACCUAACCACAUUUACAUCUUUUACAUCUUUUACAUCACUCACAUUGGAAACCAACAUGCAGGAAAGCAUGGGGCUUUCCUGGGUAACACUUACAUAACUAGAAAGAGUAACAAACUGGAUAACAUUACAUCUUUUACAAUUAGUAAUAUACAAUAAGGAAAGUAUGGGACUUUCCUGGGAAUACACGAUAAGUAAACAGAACAGUUUAACAAGUCGGAUAACCAACUAUACAUUUUCACAUGAGCAGACAUGUUUUCAGUGUACAAACUUACUAUACUUUACUUUUGUGAAACAAUAACCAACUUUUAAGAUAAUACGGGAUUUUCUUGGUAUACAUAACAUUUCAGAAACAGAAAGGAAACUUGAAACAUUUUCACAAACAAAAACCGCUUAUGAACUCACCAGCUUUAUGCUGAUUUUUAAACCGCUUGUGUUCUCAAGUCAGCGUUAGAACAGGUACCCGAAGAUCCCUUUUUGAUCAGAAGACAGAGUACAUGAAGACCCGUUUCAUUUUGUUUAUAUAUACUAUGUAUCACAACUGUACAAACUUUACUUUUGAAACAACUGUAAAACUUUAUUAUGUAAUGUAAUGGUUGUUUUACUUUACUUACUAUGUGCAUUGGAUUUGAUACUCAACGUGGAGUCAACCCCGGAAAUGUUUUCGCCUUCGGUUUUUGGGGUGUGACAGAUUGGUAUCAGAGCCCUUGUUUAUAGUGAAUGAAGUAUACCAAACCUUACAUGGUAUAAAACUAUAAACACUAAAGGGCCUAAGUGCUCUGAAUUAAAAGGAUCUUCAAACUACAAGUAUUUUCAAAAGUAUACAAGUAUACCGAACCGUCGUCAUCCAUAACCACAAGUAGAACAGAACAUAAGUAAUUGGGUGUUGUGUACUAUGGUUAAACCUGGGCAGUUAUGUAGUCGUGUCUAGGGUCAAUAUAGCCUGGCCAACUAUAUUCAUUCGAGACACGACCAACAUGUGCUUGGGAGUGACUGUGGUAUGCGGCAUGCCUAAAAAUUACACUAAUAUCCCAAACAUCGAAUCAUUGUCGUAAACAAUUCAUGAAAUACUAUGGGAGUAUUUCUCGAUCCCAAUCCUCUGAAGAAAUCCUUAUUCGAGUGGCUUUCUGUGAUUAUUCUUAGCGAUAAAUUAUCUGUUUCGAUAACUCUUUCCUAUUUUAUCGCUUAUUCGGAUCAUAUAACUGCCAUAUCUAGCGAUUCAAUAUAGAGGACUUACCAUCCUCUCUUUCUUGAUCUUAUUAGAUCAAGAUGCCUCCCAGAAAGAGACCCAGCUCAAAGAACAACAACAAUCCUUCUUCGCCGCCACCUCCUCCCCAAUUUGACCUAGCGUCACUCCAGACGGUCAUGACAGCUGCAAUGGUGGCAGCCAUGUCACAAAUGAACCCUAGUGGUUCAGGAGGUGGUCCCCAAUCUCAAAACCCCGACGUUAGCCAGGGACACCAAAGAGGGGGUUCCUAUAAGGAUUUCAUGAACGCAAAACCAACAUCCUUCAAUGGCGCUGGAGGUUUCAUUUCCUUAUCCCGAUGGUUCGAGAAAAUCGAGUCCAUCUUUGAAAUCUGUGCUUGCGCGGAAUCUGAUAAGGUUAAGUUCGCGGCCUGUACCUUCGUUGACAAAGCCCUGACUUGGUGGAAUGGCCGAGUCAAAUCUCUAACCUUACCCGUAGCCAAUGCCAUGGGCUGGGAAGCCAUGAAAGAACUCCUUAUAGCCGAGUACUGCCCCUGUGGUGAAAUGCAGAAACUAGAACACGAGCUCUGGAACCUGAAGAUGAAAGGUUCCGACAUUGUUGCAUACACUUCCUGAUUUGAUGAUCUUGCACUUCUCUGCCCGGGAUUAGUCACUCCUGAAAACAAGAAGAUCGAAAGGUUCGUUUGGGGGUUAUCCCAACUGACAAAGAGUCAUGUUUUGGCUGCUCGUCCGGAUACCUAUGAUAGUGCCAAGACUUUAGCUCAAACUUUGAUUGAUCACAGCGACGACGUUAAGGAAAUCACUACCACCUCUGAGCCGACUCAAAGGAGUGGCAAAAAGAGAAAAUUCUGGAAGAAGAAGAAGGGUCAAUCUUCUCAAGGAUCUUCCAAGAAACAGCAGACGAUAGCAGUCCAUGCUGCUACUACCCCUGUUGCUGCUGCUUCUGUUGUGGGAUCCACAACUCCAACUCCUACCAGUAAAUAUGCUGGUAACCUUCCUCUGUGUGACAAGUGUAAAUACCAUCAUCAUCCUGGUCCCUGCCGAGAACUAUCUUGUACCAACUGUGGUAAGAAAGGGCACACAGUUCGAUUCUGCAAAACUCCUACCCAAUCAGCCAACCAAUCAUCUGGAGCAGGUGUUAGUCAAGCCUGCUGCAAUUGUGGAGAAGUUGGGCACUUUAAAAGGAACUGUCCCAAGAAGUCAACUGCUGAUAACAAUGGAAGGAUUCUAACCAUGGGACGGGAGGAAGCAGUCGCUGAUCCCACUAUUGUUUCGGGUACGUUCCAUCUCGACAACUCAUAUGCUAGUAUUCUUUUCGAUUCGGGUGCUGAAAGGAGUUUUGUUAGUCAUGCAUUCAAACAUAAUCUAAAACGUAAUCCCCAACCACUAACUAAAACGUUUACCGUCGAGAUGGCUAACAGUGAGAAAGAAAGCGCUAACGAUGUAUUCAUAGGCUAUACACUUACCUUGAAUGAUCACUCAAUUCCUAUAGAUCUCAUGCCCGUUUCCAUUAAGAGCUUCGAAGUUAUCAUUGGCAUGGAUUGGUUGAGUCCCAAUCAUGCUGAUAUCCUUUGUUACGAAAAAGCCAUCCGUAUCAAUCUUCCUUCGAAUCAAACUCUCGUAAUCUAUGGUGAUAAACCCAAUUCCAAUCUUCAUAUCAUUUCCUGCAUCAAAGCUCGAAAGCUCCUUCGAAAGGAGUGCAUUGCAUUCUUAGCCCAUGUGAUCAACGGGAAACAAGAAGUUAGAGACCUCGCGAGCGUCCCCAAAGUCUGUUACUUUCCUGAUGUAUUUCCCGAAGAGCUUCCAGGAAUUCCUCCCGAACGUCAGGUCGAGUUCCGUAUUGACCUAAUUCCUGGAGCUACCCCCGUAGCAAAGUCUCCAUAUCGCUUAGCUCCAGCAGAAAUGCAGGAGUUAUCCAGUCAACUCAACGAGUUGCUCAGUAAAGGAUUCAUUAGACCGAGUUCCUCACCCUGGGGAGCUCCGGUACUGUUUGUCAAGAAGAAAGAUGGAUCCUUUCGUAUGUGUAUCGACUACCGCGAACUGAACAAGUUGACCGUUAAGAACCGAUAUCCUCUUCCACGAAUUGAUGACCUCUUCGAUCAACUCCAGGGAGCCAGCUACUUUUCAAAGAUAGACCUUCGGUCAGGGUACCAUCAGUUACGAGUCCAGGAAAAUGAUGUUUCCAAAACAGCUUUUAGGACUCGGUAUGGACACUACGAGUUCGUAGUGAUGCCCUUCGGUCUAACCAACGCACCGGCUGUGUUCAUGGACCUGAUGAACCGGGUGUGCCGUCCCUUCUUAGACAAAUUUGUCAUCGUGUUCAUUGAUGACAUCCUUGUCUACUCCCGAAACGAAGAAGACCACAAACAACACUUGAGGUUAGUGUUGGAGACCCUUAAAUCCGAAAAGCUAUAUGCGAAAUUUUCCAAAUGUGAAUUCUGGAUACGAAAGGUAACUUUCCUCGGUCACAUGGUAAGCGAGGAGGGUAUUCAUGUAGAUCCUUCCAAGAUUAAACCGAUAGAGAAUUGGUCGGCACCGAAGACACCCACAGAAAUUCGUCAAUUCUUGGGUCUCGCCGGCUACUAUCGAAGAUUCAUUUAGAAUUUCUCCAAAAUUGCCAAACCUUUAACCACUCUAACACAGAAAAGUUUACCAUUUUGUUGGAGUGAUAAACAAGAAACUGCAUUCCAAACGUUGAAGAAAGCCCUAUGCAGCGCGCCUGUUCUGUCUCUGCCCGAAGGGACAGAGGACUUCGUUGUCUACCGCGAUGCGUCUAAUCAAGGUUUAGGCUGUGUGCUUAUGCAAAGAGGAAAGGUGAUUGCCUAUGCCUCAAGACAGCUGAAAGCACACGAGGUCAACUAUACCACACAUGACUUGGAACUAGGAGCCGUAGUCUUUGCAUUGAAGAUUUGGAGACAUUAUCUUUACGGAACCAAGUGCACGAUCUUCACUGAUCACAAGAGCCUGCAGCACAUAUUUGAUCAGAAAGACUUAAACAUGAGGCAACGGCGAUGGGUAGAAUUACUCAGUGAUUAUGAGUGUGAAAUCCAUUACCAACCCGGCAAGGCCAAUGUGGUAGCAGGUGCCCUUAGCCGAAAGGAUAGUGCAGGCCACAAAGUGAAGAACUAGACGAUGACCAUCCAUUCCAACCUACCCAUGCAAAUCCGAGAAGCUCAGUUAACAGCCCUCAAAUCCGAGAACGUGUCGAAUGAAGCCUUGAGAGGAAUGGAAAAGAAACUUGAGAUCAGAGGUGACGAAGUUCACUAUUUCAUGAAUCGUAUCUGGAUUCCCAAAUCCAGAGGAUUCAGGGAAAUAGUCAUGGAGGAAGCGCACAGAACCAAAUACUCUGUUCACCCAGGUUCUGACAAGAUGUACCUGGAUCUCAAGAAACAAUAUUGGUGGCCAAACAUGAAAGCUGAGAUAGCUACUUUCGUGGGCAAGUGUCUGUCUUGCGCCAAAGUUAAAGUUGAACACCAGAAACCCUCAGGUCUGCUCCAACAGCCCGAGAUCCCCGAGUGGAAAUGGGAGAUGAUUACCAUGGACUUCAUCACCAAACUGCCCAAGUGGUCUAGUGGGUACAAUACCAUUUGGGUAAUUGUUGAUCGUUUGACAAAAUCCGCUCACUUCAUUCUAAUCAAAGAAUCAUACAAGAUGGAAAGACUCGCGCGAAUUUACAUCCAGGAGGUAGUACGUCUACACAGCGUACCUGUAUCCAUUAUCUCUGAUCGAGAUAGCAGGUUUACCUCUAGAUUCUGGCAAUCCCUUCAGAAAGCCCUUGGAACCAAACUAGAUAUGAGCACGGCGUAUCAUCCUCAGACCGAUGGACAGAGUGAGAGAACAAUCCAAACCCUGGAGGACAUGCUUAGGGCAUGUGUCAUUGACUUUGGAAAGUCAUGGGACACACAUCUAUCUUUGAUCGAAUUCUCGUACAACAACAGUUACCACACCAGCAUUAGGGCUGCUCCGUUUGAGGCCCUAUACGGUCGUAAGUGCAGAUCCCCUCUGUGCUGGGCCGAGGUGGGUGAUACACAAUUAGCCAGGAGUCGAGUCCCCGACAGUGCUCUCACUGGUCCUGAAAUCAUCCGCGAAACCACCGAAAAGACCAUUCAAAUCCGUAACCGAUUGAAAGCUACACGAGAUCGCCAAAAGAGUUACGCUGAUAAUCGUCGGAAACCACUAGAAUUCCUGGUUGGAGACCGUGUACUGUUGAAGGUCUCGCCCUGGAAAGGCACUGUACGCUUUGGUAAGCGUGGGAAACUUAAUCCAAGGUACAUUGGACCCUUUGAGAUUCUCUCCAGGAUCGGUCUAGUUGCCUAUAAACUUCAUUUACCUCAUGAACUCAGUAACAUUCAUCCUGUCUUCCAUGUUUCAAAUCUCAAAAAGUGCCUAUCCGAUGAAACCCUAACGAUUCCCAUAGACGAGAUCGAAAUCAAUAAAAACCUCAACUUUGUGGAGGAACCGAUCGAAAUCAUGGAUCGAGAAGUCAAACGUACAAAACAAAGUCGCAUCCCAUUAGUGAAGGUUCGCUGGAAUGCCAAGCGGGGACUGGAAUUCACUUGGGAACGGGAAGAUUCAAUGAAACAGAAAUAUCCACAACUCUUUCCAGAUCCAUGAUGUGUAUCUUGUCUUGUGUUUUAAACUUUGAAUUUCGGGACGAAAUUCCCUUUAACGGGGGGAUAAUGUAACAACCCAAAAUUUCCGUAUAAAUUAUUGUAACUCUUUUGUAGUCCAACUCGCGCAACCAAUCGUCAUUCCAAAUUCGAUUUCCGAUCUUCCGUUUAAUUAAGUCAUUAACUGGUACGUAUUUAAAAUGACUUAAUGGGUGUCUUAAUACAUUUAGAAAUCAUUUUAACACCCAACUUUAGUGAUCGGAAUAUUUCUAGAAUUUACCGUAUCAGGUUACGGCAACCUAAUCGGGUACGACCAAAAGCCUCGUCUAAUGCCGGUAUCGGGUAGAAUUCCACCGUGUCCAAAACUUAAACACUAUAUAAUGUGUCUUAAGCCUCCAGUUGAAGCCUUUGGCCAUUUUCUCAUAGAACUCUCACAACCUCUCUCCUCAUCCAUAAUCAAAGGUCCAAAACAAAGAUUUAAGGCUUCCAAUCAAAGAGGUAACACUCCUAACUUGUUAUUCAACCUCUUAAGCCUUCAAAUUAAUGUUUAAAUUAUGUUUUGGGACCAAGAACAUGAGUUUACGGCCAAGGAUCAUGCUUGGGCCGUAAACUCCUCAACAUGGGGUUUUUGAGCCAAUUUACCCUUCCAAAUCAUAGUUGGGACUUAGAUAUGACUUUAAGGCUUGCUAAUUUGGGACUUAGAACACAUUAAACAUGAAUUAUAUGGGACAAACAAGAGUUUACGGCCAAGGCAUGUACUUGGGCCGUAAACUCCAUUAAAUUGGGGAUUUAGUGCCUUAAAUCAUGUCCAAAUGCCUUGAAACUCAACCAAUGGCCUUGUGGUAAAAUCUAGAUGCAUUUAAAAAUAGUUUAAGGGUUUGAAACAUAUCAAAAAUGUCAUUUAUAGGAGUUUACGGCCUAGGAACAUACCCUUGGCCGUAAACUCAUAAAACCUUGUUAAUGAUGCAUCAAAUACACUCUAAUGGUUAGCAUAAAUUUCUAGAAUCACAUGUGAUUGUUUUUAAGCAUCAAAAACUAACUUUUCAUGAGUAUAAGAGAGUUUACGGCCAUAGAACAUGCCUCUAGGCCGUAAACUCCUAAAAGUAUGUUUAAUGGUGUUCUAAAUUCAUAACAAGGCUUGGAAAAUUAACUAGAAUCACAUAUGAUUGUCCUUUGUAGCUUAAAUCCAUUUUUCUUGGCCAUGGGUGAGUUUACGGCCAUAAAAUCUUAUGGUGUGGCCGUAAACUCCCUUUUAAGUGUUAUAAUUCCAUUAAAUCCAUUCCAAGGCAUUUUAGAAAUCCAUUCCAACAAUCCCCAUGUCCAUUUAAGCCAUUAAACACUCAAAACCAAACCAACAUGAGUUUACGGCCGUAAACUCAUGUGUGAGUGUGUUAUGUGGCUGUAAACUCUUUAAAAUGUUUACUCUUGGGGAGUAAACUCAAGUCCCAAGUCUCUAGUGCCAUUACACGUCUGAAGAUGUCACCCGGGUCACUCCAAACGCUCGUUUUGAGGUGUUUAACCUCGUUGGAGUGUAAUGUUCCAUAUGAUUAGUGAAUGUAUCCCUAAUUGAAUAUAUAUGGACAUUAUUUCAUUUUACAUAGGGACAUCGCGAGUAAUCAAACCCCGAACCAACGUCUAGUAUCCGAAACUUACGCAUUUCCGAGUCCGGUGAGUUCAUACCCCUACCCUUUUUCACUGUUUUCACUGUUUUCAUGUGGGGAACACAAGCAAAGUACAAGAGAAUUCAUGUACUCAAAACAUGUUUUCAAAUGUGUGAUUCAUAUUCCAUAUGCUUUUAUUACUGAUUACCACAACUGAUAACCAUUUGAACAUGCAGAUCACGUAACAUUUAUUUGUGAAAUAGGUCUUUAAACUGUUAUGUUUUACAUGUAUUUCACAAAUGGUUUUCCACAAUUUAUCAGUUAAAAGCAUGACAUUAGACAUUUGAAUAUAAUACCUGUACACUGUUUUGUCCUCGGUAACACUCCACAUAUAUAUGCGAGUGGAGGACUAUCACAUUAUUACUAGUAAAUUUGUUAAUCCUGUAUGAUUGGAGACACGUCCUCGGCGAACACUCCACAGAGAUACGCGAGUGGAGGACUACACCCGUAACCAGAAUCUCUGGUAUUUAGAGAGCGUGACUUGAGUGUAUAGAUCUAUACGGGGCUGACUACCCCACACCUGGCUGCUAGCUACAGCCGAACCGAAAUGGUUCAAGGGUGACGAAAGUCAUAAGUAUGUGGACUACUUAUUGCCACAUGUUGACUACUUAUUGCCACAGGUUUUAGUCUAUUGUAUGGUUAUGGAACUCGCAAUUAGGAUAACAGAGAUUUACUUAUAGUAAUAAUGAAUCACUUUAUACAUCUUUUACAUCUUUUACAUCUUUCACAACACUGUAACUAACAUUCAGGAAAGUACGGGACUUUCCUGGGGAAAACAUGGNNNNNNNNNNNNNNNNNNNNNNNNNNNNNNNNNNNNNNNNNNNNNNNNNNNNNNNNNNNNNNNNNNNNNNNNNNNNNNNNNNNNNNNNNNNNNNNNNNNNNNNNNNNNNNNNNNNNNNNNNNNNNNNNNNNNNNNNNNNNNNNNNNNNNNNNNNNNNNNNNNNNNNNNNNNNNNNNNNNNNNNNNNNNNNNNNNNNNNNNNNNNNNNNNNNNNNNNNNNNNNNNNNNNNNNNNNNNNNNNNNNNNNNNNNNNNNNNNNNNNNNNNNNNNNNNNNNNNNNNNNNNNNNNNNNNNNNNNNNNNNNNNNNNNNNNNNNNNNNNNNNNNNNNNNNNNNNNNNNNNNNNNNNNNNNNNNNNNNNNNNNNNNNNNNNNNNNNNNNNNNNNNNNNNNNNNNNNNNNNNNNNNNNNNNNNNNNNNNNNNNNNNNNNNNNNNNNNNNNNNNNNNNNNNNNNNNNNNNNNNNNNNNNNNNNNNNNNNNNNNNNNNNNNNNNNNNNNNNNNNNNNNNNNNNNNNNNNNNNNNNNNNNNNNNNNNNNNNNNNNNNNNNNNNNNNNNNNNNNNNNNNNNNNNNNNNNNNNNNNNNNNNNNNNNNNNNNNNNNNNNNNNNNNNNNNNNNNNNNNNNNNNNNNNNNNNNNNNNNNNNNNNNNNNNNNNNNNNNNNNNNNNNNNNNNNNNNNNNNNNNNNNNNNNNNNNNNNNNNNNNNNNNNNNNNNNNNNNNNNNNNNNNNNNNNNNNNNNNNNNNNNNNNNNNNNNNNNNNNNNNNNNNNNNNNNNNNNNNNNNNNNNNNNNNNNNNNNNNNNNNNNNNNNNNNNNNNNNNNNNNNNNNNNNNNNNNNNNNNNNNNNNNNNNNNNNNNNNNNNNNNNNNNNNNNNNNNNNNNNNNNNNNNNNNNNNNNNNNNNNNNNNNNNNNNNNNNNNNNNNNNNNNNNNNNNNNNNNNNNNNNNNNNNNNNNNNNNNNNNNNNNNNNNNNNNNNNNNNNNNNNNNNNNNNNNNNNNNNNNNNNNNNNNNNNNNNNNNNNNNNNNNNNNNNNNNNNNNNNNNNNNNNNNNNNNNNNNNNNNNNNNNNNNNNNNNNNNNNNNNNNNNNNNNNNNNNNNNNNNNNNNNNNNNNNNNNNNNNNNNNNNNNNNNNNNNNNNNNNNNNNNNNNNNNNNNNNNNNNNNNNNNNNNNNNNNNNNNNNNNNNNNNNNNNNNNNNNNNNNNNNNNNNNNNNNNNNNNNNNNNNNNNNNNNNNNNNNNNNNNNNNNNNNNNNNNNNNNNNNNNNNNNNNNNNNNNNNNNNNNNNNNNNNNNNNNNNNNNNNNNNNNNNNNNNNNNNNNNNNNNNNNNNNNNNNNNNNNNNNNNNNNNNNNNNNNNNNNNNNNNNNNNNNNNNNNNNNNNNNNNNNNNNNNNNNNNNNNNNNNNNNNNNNNNNNNNNNNNNNNNNNNNNNNNNNNNNNNNNNNNNNNNNNNNNNNNNNNNNNNNNNNNNNNNNNNNNNNNNNNNNNNNNNNNNNNNNNNNNNNNNNNNNNNNNNNNNNNNNNNNNNNNNNNNNNNNNNNNNNNNNNNNNNNNNNNNNNNNNNNNNNNNNNNNNNNNNNNNNNNNNNNNNNNNNNNNNNNNNNNNNNNNNNNNNNNNNNNNNNNNNNNNNNNNNNNNNNNNNNNNNNNNNNNNNNNNNNUAAACUCAUGAGUUUAAGGUAGUAAACUCAUGAGAAAUGGUCCUUAGACCAUAAACUCCAUUUAGGAGUGUUUUGAUGCCACACAACACUUCCUAAGGCAAAUUUGUGAAGUAGGAAUGCUUGGAAUAGCCUAGAAGACUUCAAAUCACCAAAUGGUCAAAAGGUUAGGAGUUUACGACCGUAAACUCAAGAGUUUACGACAAUAAACUCAAGGGGUGUUGAUCAUAAUGGAGUAAACUCAUUUUAAGAGUGUUCCUUGAACCCCAAACACACUAGCUUUUCCCUACAACACUUAGAUGCAACCCUUGAGACUUAUAANAAAGUGUUUGUCAUGCCUUAGAGUGUCUUAACUUUGUUUAUUAGUUGUUUAAAGACUAAUUGUGUAUAUACAUAUAUCCUUUUAUGUUAUUAGGAUCUUUGUGCGUGUCUAAGUCUUCACUUAACACCAAGCACUUAUCCGACACUUCCUUCCGAUCCACUUACUAUAGGUGAGUUCAUACCCGUUAAUCAAUGUUUUAAACUGUUUUUAAAUGUUUUAUGGGGGGGGGGGAUACAAGUAGAACCAUGCUACUUAUUAUAUCAAUCACAUGUGAUUAAUAAGCAACAUUCAAAUGAUUGGCUACUCAUUAGCCGUUUUACCAAACAGUUUCCUUCAAAUGUUUUUCAUAAACACUUUAUGUGUUUAAAACUCCCUAUUACACUGUACAUUUUACUCUGUAUAUUACAUUUCAAACUUACUUUCAAUUGUGUUUCAAACAAAUGUUUCUUUAUACUAAACCGUUUUAUCAAACCCAUGCCUUCAAAACCGUUUUAUAGAUUGACAUCAAGUCGAUCUUUUCUUAGAAAAUGAUUAUGCUCAAAGGUUUUACAAAAAUUAUUUUAUGUUUUAUUAUUAUAAAUUGCAUGCCUAUAUAUGUAUAGUUAUAUAAGAAAUGUUGAAAGGACAUAGGAAGGCUAUCCACCCUAUUUCCUUUUCCUCGAUUUGGAUGUGGUCUGGUGGGAUAUCGGGUACCCGUACGAAGGUCGUUUAAAUAUUAAUUAUAUAUCAUGUGUACAUAUAUAGUCAUAAAAGUCCUUCCAGUUCAUCAAUUGCCCUUGGGUAGCAAGGGUAUACAUCCAUGUUCAUACGUGCCAGUUAGAUUACUAGUAAACUACCAUAGGGGUAGUUUAGGAAAAUACUAGAACAAUACUAGAACUAUUACUAAAACGCAAUAACAUACAAUGAGUCAAUUCAUUCAUGAGUCAAUACUUGCUAGAACACUACAGUACUUUACUAUACUUGUUAGAUAGAGAGAACAUACAUUACAGCUAGAGCAUUUCAGUACAUUACUAUACUAUUACGUAGAUAAGUUUACAUGGUCACACUUACAUGAGUACAAUUACAUGAUCACACUUACACGAGUACACUUACAUAUACAUAGAACAUAUGUCACUAGGUGCUAUAGCAUGGACCCAGUUCAGGAUCUAACUAUACUGAUGAAUCACAACGCAAUUGUGAUAGUUAUAUCGAGUAUACAUGAUCAUAGUAAUGUGGAUGCUCACGGCUUGUAGAUAUGCAGGGGUCGUGGGUAGGUCCCAAAAUCCCUUUGAUAGGGGAGCGUAUAGCCUGGGAUCUAGACAUCACAUUAUACCUUAUCCCUCAAAUAAGGUAGCUGAGUACCGAUGUAGUUAUUUAUUACAAAUGCUACAAUACUUACAAGAUUACCCUAGACUUAAGGUAAUUGGUACGGUUGUAGUUCGACACUAUACCAUAGUACUAUUUCAUUUUCCCAUUACAUUCACUUCGUGAACAUUCACACGACGCACGGUAAUGUGGAAACUAUAUUUUUGGUUAAUGAUAGUCAUACUUGGGAAAAUACAUACUUUUACAAGAGACACACACACAGGCACUAGAUGGCUUGGUAGAAGGCUACAUUCAGAGCAGUUAGGUCUUGGUAUAAGACUACAUAGAGAGCAGUCAGGCCUUGGUAGAAGGCUACAUUCAGAGUAGUUAGGUCUUGGUAGAAGACUACAUUCAGAGCAGUUAGGUCUUGGUAGAAGACUACAUUCAGAGCAGUUAGGUCUUGGUAGAAGACACCUUCAUAUAAUAGUAGAAAUCAUAGGGAUUUCUAGGGUUUUUCAAACAUUUAAAGUUGAUUUACAAACAUUUUCAUACUUACAGUUCAUAUACACUUUCAAUACUUACAAUUUAUAUACAUACAAAUUCUUACGUACAAAUUCAUGCAUACAAAUACUUACUUACAAAUUAAGACACUAAAAUACUUAUGAUCUCACCAGCUUUAAAGCCGAUACUCGCUUUCAUAAUUACUUGUAUCCUCAGGUCAUCUAUAGACAGGUACAGAUGCAAGGUUUAGAGAAGAUGGAGCUCGUUCAAGACUCAUCUUUCAUUUUGAUUUAUGCUUUAGUCUCUAUUAUAUUUUGACAGAACACACUUGUAUAAUAAUUAUUUUAUUAAUGCAAUGGAUGAUGUUGUUGCUUGUUUACUACUUUACAUUGUUGUGAUACUGUACAUGACGUCCUCCACCCCAAAACGUUUCCGCCAUUAUUGGUUUUGGGGUGUGACAGAUUGGUAUCAGAGCAUUGUUUAUAGUGAAUUAAGUAUAUCAACCCAUAAAAGAUAUACUAUCUAUAAAUACAUAAGGGAUUAAAAAUACUCUGACCAAGAGUUUAUACUUUAGAUAAUAAAAUAUUUAAUUAGUAUACGUGCCUGCAUUUAUACUAAAAUCGGUGUCACUAGAACAGUACAAAAGAAUUACAAUUAAUGGGCAACGCAAGUGGGCUUAGAGACAUAUGGUCAAAACUGGGAAGAUAUAGCCUGAUCACCUAUAUUAUCCGAGGGUUGACUUGCAUGUGCUUAAGUUUAGUUGUGUGGUUGCAACAAUGCAAAAAUCUUACCAACCCUACCACAAUGAGAACAGUAGAACAUAACAUUAAACUUAAAAUACUAUAGGAGUAUUUGGUAUUACUAUAAGUACUUUAUACUUGAGAACUAAAACAGGAUCUUCAUUACUAAGUUGAUAGUUGCUAAGUGGAUACACUAAGGCUAUAUCUAAUUAGGAUGUUAUAGACUUAGAAUCCGUGAAAGUUUUACUUUACCCCUAUUCUGUGUGAAUUUGGAGUUAAGGUCACUUAUUCGAAGGCCUAUCCUGUUUCGAUUUCAUAUAACCGGUAUGCACUUCACAAAUAGCAAUGUAACUAAAGAAGAUUUUCUAAAUAAUUAUCUAGAUAGUUCGUCUAAUGAUUAUUCUCUUACCCCAAUUCUCGCGUAGAUAACAUGGCUGGACUCCAUCCUCACGACAACCCGUACCUUCUGAAUGAGGUCAUUGCUGGAUGGUUUGAAGAAGAGCCAGAAAAUGAUCAUCCUAUCCCUGUGAAUGAUCACCAUGAUGAAGACCUUUCGGAUGGUGCUAAUUCCGAGCCCGAGGUUGAGGAUCUACCCCAGGCAGCUCCUGUUCCAAUUCCUAACCCUCGUCCGGCUUUUCAUGGCCCGACGCCUCCAUGGGUGGAAUGUUUGGAAACAUGGAGCGAAGGUCAAGAUCAACCCAUGUCGUUUAAUGGAGACCAAAGCUUCUACAACAUAAGUAAAGGGAGCUUAGCAGAUAGAGUUCUACCAAUUCUGAUCCAUAGAGUUGCCCGAAACGAGAUUCAGGGCAUGACAGCCCUACAACGUAUCGCGGAAGUUGAUACAAAUUAAGGAAUGCAUAUGCUUCGCACCAGUCGGCUUGAACAUGCUCGUGAGAGGUCUGAGAGAGACAAUGAGACCUUGCUGCAAGCAGUAGCUAAAACUCGAGCUGAAGUCAUAGAGCUCCGAGUACACCAGAGGGUGUACGAAAGAUACCUUCUUGAUAUGGAACGACAACUGGCUGAACUAAGAGUUCACCAGAGGGAUGACCGUCGCCAGGAGUAGAUGCUUUACUUUAUUUUUCCUGGUUAAAAUAAAUCGUUCUUCUAUCUAUGCCCGAUGUGGCAUUUUCUAUGAAACUUUCUGGUACUGUAAGUACUGUUGUUAGGUCUUUAUGCUGUCAGGAACUAUCUUCUUUGUUUAUGAUGUAAGACCUAUUACAAGGUCAUUUUCCCGAACUUUUACGUAAUGAAAAUCAAAAAUAUUGACAGUCGGCUAACUUCUGUUCCCUUUUUAGUCAAGUACUCUCAUCCUACUUUCCUUGGAGUCAAUCUGAAACAUGCUUUAGUCAAGUCAUUGGACUAUAGUAAUUUAACUCCGGAGACAUUUCCAUGUCUAUUUCAAUGGUUGGAUCAUGUUAUUCACCAACCAACGAUACCUCGGCUUGAACGACAAACGUCUUGAGACCAUUCUACAAACUCACUUCCAUUCCGUACUUGGACUGCAUCAUAUGGAUGUAGGUCAACCUUUCGAGAACAUACUCUUACUCCUUGAUUGAGCAAUCGAAGUACAUCUAGGUUCAACCAGAAUCGAUCACAAAAUCCUUAUCUUUUGUAUUACAUAACCAUGUCGUCAUCCGGAAGCAAUCAGUCGAACAACGAAACCUCCGCUUUUCCCAUGGAUGCAGCUACUUUCCAAACCGCAGUUACAACGACUGUGAUGGCUUCCGUGACAGCUGUCCUUGCGCACUGUAGCGCGAUCAGCACAAUCAAUACUGAUGAUAGGGUUGAAGUUUCCAAUCGUGGUAUCCAUCCAGGAAAUCGCCAAACAGUAACAGUCACAGGCUCGCCAAGCCGAAAGACAGAGAAAAAGAAACUAANGUCAAGCUCAGAAAGAACGCAAGAAAUCCCAAAAACUUGCCAUGCAACAGCAACAAGUGGAAACCACUGCCAUUCCCGUACCGAGCAGGCCAUACGAGGGAAAACUCCCGAAGUGUGAUAAGUGUAGUUUCCAUCAUCAUGGGGCCUGCCAUGAGAUGCAGUGUUGCAAUUGCCUAAAAAUAGGGCACCAUGCUCGUAAUUGUGGAGCACUGACACGACCCAUCACUCAAGUCCCUUUCAUCGGGACCAAACCUACACACGAGAGUAGUGAUAAAGCUGAGCGCUUUAGGAAGCAAUUUCCAAGGUGGAGUAAUGAGGAAGGCACUCGUGUCCACAUAACACUGGCUAAACACCUCACUUCCACCACCAAUGUUGGUGCUGUCCAGAUAUGUCACCAAUGCGGUGAAAUUGGACACUUCAAGAAAGAUUGCCCUAUAACAAAGAACUCUGGCGCAGACGGGAAGUUUCUCAAGAUCACAGCUGCAGGAGAACCCACUCCGGACCCUCGUUAAUGUAGUUUAGGCGUUUUGUUGUAACAGACUUAUAAACUAUUCAAAACUAGUGUAACUAGAGUCUUACCUUCUGCGAGAUCAUGUCUGUAUAUGGAUGCUCGUGCUGCAUAUACUUGUCUUUUGUAGUAUACCUUAUUCACAGCAAUAGCCUUGUAGUAAAACUAAAGUACUGUAACUCUACUCAUGGUUGCACGGUUGUGUUUUGUCUGUAAACGACUUAUGUUCAAAUCUAAUGUCUUUAAGUUUCUGUAUGAUUCCGACAUUAUCAUGCGACCCGAUUCAACUUGAUCCUCACAAAAACAGCUUCAUACAUACAUCUCUUUGUCAGUAAACGUCGUCUCAGCGAAACCGUCAUAUCAGAACACCAAAGUACUCUUGCAUGGAGUACCUCAUAGUUCUUUUCUUUUCCGAAGAAAUCCCUGAAGUACCACUCACGCAGUACGUCAAGUUCAAUCCAAGGAUUCAUGCGGAUGAUCUAUCACUGAGGAUUGUAUACAUAAGAGUGAUAUAUAAUCAAGGUUCUACAGGUUUAGAAUUAAUGAUUUCGCUUUAACUCAUUUCCUCGUUGGGAUGUGAGGGUAAAGAAGAAUCAGUUAUUCGACUACCUUUUCAAUCUUAAUUAUAUACGACUCAUAUAAACGAGAUUGUGAUUGUGAAACCAUGUAUGAAUUCUAAUAUGAACUUCAGGACGGAGAACUGCCUAAGUCUACGAGUAAUCACAUCGUCAUGUGAACAAACUUAGAACCCAGUAUGACUCCCAUAAACAGAUCGCCCUAUAGUCUAAACAUCUACGGAGAUACAAGAAAAGUACAGACGACUUAACGAACUACAAAGAAAUAGAAUUAGAAGACUAGGCUUCUGACCCUGGAGAACCCCGAUCUUAUUCUUCUAGAGAUCGACGGAUUGCAUCGUAUGUACCUCGGAUAUCGAGGACUCCGUCAAGAAUUUUCAUUACAAAUCGUUAUCUCUGCCUCACAUAGAUGAAAUGGUUGAGCAAACGCAAGGAAAGAAUUACUUUCAGAAAUGGACCUGAGAUCCGAAUAUCACCAGUUCGAGUGUUAAGGAAGGAUGUCCGGAAGACUAUCUUCCGAACUAGAUGUGGACACUUCGAAUUUGUAGUGAUACCCUUCGGAUAGGACCAAUACGCCCAUAGUUUUCAUGAGUUUAAUGAAUAGAGUUCGUCUUUCCUACUUGGAUCAGUUCGUCAUUCUCCAUGUAAUGACUUACUUAUCUAUCCUCGUAGUAAGAAGGAACCCAUGGAAACAUUACCUUCGGAGGAACUUACGCAAAGCUCUCUAAACACGAGUUUUGAAAUUGAAGGGUCAGAUUUCCCACGACGCACUAUUAGUGAUGUGGAAAAUUUUGAGCACUCUUCCAAUUUGUCAAAACCGUUGAGAAUUUGUCGACACCAGAGACGCUGACAGAAAUUCGCCACAUUCUAGGUCUUACAGACCUACUGUCAUAGUUCAUUCAGAACUCCUCGCAAAUUACAGAAACCCUUUCGACUUUGACCUAGCAAGGGGUGGCCCUUGAAUGGGAAGUUUAGUAAGAGAAAGAACCCUUGGAAGUUCCAAGUGAGAGACCAAGUUCUUCAGGAAAAGCUCACUUUGGGAAUGGCUUAAUACGCUUCGUAAAGCGUGGAAAGCUAAAUCCAAGAUUGAUAGGACCUCCGGGAUUCUUACCAAAAUCGGUCCUGUACCUCGCACAAACGAGACCUACUCCGCGAACUCAGUAACAUACAUUCUACUCUUCAAGUCUCGAUCGUGAAACCGUACUUUUCCGUUAGGAGUCUUGUAAGCCCACUCGUCGAGAUCCUCGCCUUCGUAUUAGAACCGCAGUGACCCUCGACCGAGAGGUCAAGCGGACGAAGCAACGCGAUCGCCCGUUAGUGAAGGUUCGUUGGGAUACCAACUGAGGAUCCGAUUUCACUUAAGAGCUCUAGAACCAAUCGAUUAGGAAGUUCCCUCCUCUCGACUCGAUUAUUCAUACCUACUUCCUUACCUAAAUUCUAAUUUCGGGAUGAAAUUCCCUUUAACAGGGGGACGAUGUGACAACCCGAAAUUUCCAUUCGGUCCAACCCUAAAAGUCAACCAUUUCGUAUCAUAAGUCAAUGUCAUUAUUUCUUAUUUUUAAGAAAUAUAAAAUUCGUUUGAUUAUUUUAAUAUUAUUUUUAAGCGAACGGGUGAAAGAAAGUGUUGUCUCGGUUUUUGAUUUUUGAAAACCGCAAACACUUCGCGUAUUAGAAACACCCGACCAAACUUUUAUUUUUGGGUUGAAAAAUCAUCCAAAAAUCGUGAACUCAUACCUAUGUAUGAGUUUACUCCCCAAAAACUAGUCAUUUGUGUUUACUCCCCAAAAGUCAAAAAGAGUAAACUCCAAAAUAUCCUCUCAAGUAUCAUCCAAGUUUUUAUUCUAGAUCUUCAAACUAGUAAGUGUUUCUAGCCUUUCAAGUUAGUAUAUCACUUAAUCUAGUGAUUUUACACCCUUUAAUCCAUCCAUUUUUAUGUUUUGAUUAGUUUUUCCAAAACACCAAGAACACCAAGAACACACACUAGUGUUCUUGGACUUAAAGUUCAUUUCAAGCUUCCACAAUGUAAGUACUUCUAUCCUAGAGUCAUUUUAAGCUAGCUAUACAUGUUUAUACCAAGGAAAAGUCCCAAGAACACCAAGAACAAGGUGUUCACGGUUUUGGGAGGCUCCCAAAACCGUAAACACCAAAUAUAGUGCCUUAGGGUGCUUUAGGGUGUUUAGAUGCUUCUUUAUGCCUUAAGAACUUGUAUAGAUCCACCCUUGAUGAGUUUAUCACCCAAAAGUACCAAAACCUUCCAUUUUUAUGUGUUUACAGUUUAGGGAUGUCCUUAAACCGUAAACACCCCAAAAGGUGUGAAAAUGUCCCAUAAAAGUCCCAUGGUUGUUCCUUACGGCUAAAUCUAACCUAGACUAGUGCCAUGAUUGAGCUAAGGACUUGAAAACCCCAAAUACCAUAAACUUAUGAGUUUAAGGUAGUAAACUCAUGAGAAAUGGUCCUUAGACCGUAAACUCCAUUUAGGAGUGUUUUGAUGCCACACAACACUUCCUAAGACUAAUUCAUGAAGUAGGAAUGCUUGGAAUAGCCUAGAAGACUUCAAAUCACCAAAUGGUCAAAAGGUUAGGAGUUUACGACCGUAAACUCAAGGGGUGUUGAUCCUUAGGGAGUAAACUCAUUUUAAGAGUGUUCCUUGAACCCCAAACACACUAGCCUUUCCUUACAACACUUAGAUGCACUCCUUAGCACUUAUAACACUUAUACAAAGUGUUUGUCAUGCCUUAGAGUGUCUUGACUUUGUUUAUUAGUUGUUUAAAGACUAAUUGUUAAUAUACAUAUAUCCUUAUAUGUUAUUAGGAUCUUUGUGCGUGUCUAAGUCUUCACUUGACACCAAGCACUUAUCCGACACUUCCUUCCGAUCCACUUACUACAGGUGAGUUCAUACCCCUUAAUCAAUGUUUUAAACUGUUUUUAAAUGUUUUAUGGGGGGGAUACAAGUAGAAUUAUGCUAAUUAUUAUAUCAAUCACAUGUGAUUAAUAAGCAGCAUUCAAAUGAUUGGCUACUCAUUAGCCGUUUUACCAAACAGUUUCCUUCAAAUGUUUUUCAUAAACACUUUAUGUGUUUAAAACUCCCUAUUACACUGUACAUUUUACUCUGUAUAUUACAUUUCAAACUUACUUUCAAUUGUGUUUCAAACAAAUGUUUCUUUAUACUAAACCGUUUUAUCAAACCCAUGCCUUCAAAACCGUUUUAUAGAUUGACAUCAAGUCGAUCUUUUCUUAGAAAAUGAUUAUGCUCAAAGGUUUUACAAAACUUAUUUUAUGUUUUAUUAUUAUAAAUUGCAUGCCUAUAUAUGUAUAGUUAUAUAAGAAAUGUUGAAAGGACAUAGGAAGGCUAUCCACCCUAUUUCCUUUUCCUCGAUUUGGAUGUGGUCUGGUGGGAUAUCGGGUACCCGUCCGAAGGUCGUUUAAAUAUUAAUUAUGUAUCAUGUGUACAUAUAUAGUCAUAAAAGUCCUUCCAGUUCAUCAAUUGCCCUUGGGUAGCAAGGGUAUACAUACAUGUUCAUACGUGCCAGUUAGAUUACUAGUAAACUACCAUAGGGGUAGUUUAGGAAAAUACUAGAACUAUUACUAAAACGCGAUAACAUACAAUGAGUCAAUUCAUUCAUGAGUCAAUACUUGCUAGAACACUACAGUACUUUACUAUACUUGUUAGAUAGAGAGAACAUACAUUACAGCUAGAGCAUUUCAGUACAUUACUAUACUAUUACGUAGAUAAGUUUACAUGGUCACACUUACAUGAGUACAAUUACAUGGUCACACUUACAUGAGUACAAUUACAUGAUCACACUUACACGAGUACACUUACAUAUACAUAGAACAGAUGUCACUAGGUGUUAUAGCAUGGACCCAGUUCCGGAUCUAACUAUACUGAUGAAUCACAACCCAAUUGUGAUAGUUAUAUCGAGUAUACAUGAUCAUAGUAAUGUGGAUGCUCACGGCUUGCAUAUAUGCAGGGGUCGUGGGUAGGUCCCAAAAUCCCUUUGAUAGGGGAGCGUAUAGCCUGGGAUCUAGACAUCACAUUAUACCUUAUCCCUCAAAUAAGGUAGCUGAGUACCGAUGUAGUUAUUUAUUACAAAUGCUACAGUACUUACAAGAUUACCCUAGACUUAAGGUAAUUGGUACGGUUGUAGUUCGACACUACACCAUAGUACUAUUUCAUUUUCCCAUUACAUUCACUUCGUGAACAUUCACACGACGCACGGUAAUGUGGAAACUAUAUUUUUGGUUAAUGAUAGUCAUACUUGGGAAAAUACAUACUCUUACAAGAGACACACACACAGGCACUAGAUGCCUUGGUAGAAGGCUACAUUCAGAGCAGUUAGGUCUUGGUAUAAGACUACAUAGAGAGCAGUUAGGCCUUGGUAGAAGGCUACAUUCAGAGCAGUUAGGUCUUGGUAGAAGACUACAUUCAGAGCAGUUAGGUCUUGGUAGAAGACACCUUCAUAUAAUAGUAGAAAUCAUAGGGAUUUCUAGGGUUUUUCAAACAUUUAAAGUUGAUUUACAAACAUUUUCAUACUUACAGUUCAUAUACACUUUCAAUACUUACAAUUUAUAUACAUACAAAUUCAUGCAUACAAAUACUUACUUACAAAUUAAGACACUAAAAUACUUAUGAUCUCACCAGCUUUAAAGCUGAUACUCGCUUUCAAAAUUACUUGUAUCCUCAGGUCAUCUAUAGACAGGUACAGAUGCAAGGUUUAGAGAAGAUGGAGCUCGUUCAAGACUCAUCUUUCAUUUUGAUUUAUGCUUUAGUGUCUAUUAUAUUUUGACAGAACACACUUGUAUAAUAAUUAUUUUAUUAAUGCAAUGGAUGAUGUUGUUGCUUGUUUACUACUUUACAUUGUUGUGAUACUGUACAUGACAUCCUCCGCCCCAGAACGUUUUCACCGUUCUUGGUUUUGGGGUGUGACAGACUUUGCCCUCGAAGUCAUGCUCAGCAAAUAACUCAGGAUGCUGCUCCCGCAUCUUUGACUCCGGCUCCCAAGUCAAAUCGGACCCUCUCUGAUGUUGCCACUGAACCUAAACCAGGGACACUUCCUUGUUUCUUAGAACCUUCACAUUUCGAUCCAAGAUCGCUAUCGGCCUCUCAAUAUAAUUUAGGCUCGCAUCUACCUGAAUGUCCUCUAGCGGUACCACUGUCGUAUCGUCGGCUACACACUUCCUCAACUGGGACACGUGGAAGGUGUUAUGGAUCUGACUCAACUCCGCAGGUAGCUCCAAAUGGCACGCUACCCAACCAAAUCUGGCGGUCACCUUAAAAGGACCGAUGUAUCGGGGUGCAAGCUUGCCCAGGUUCCUGAGUCGGAUCACCCCUUUCCAAGGGGAUACCUUUAGAAGGACAAAAUCUCCAACCUGAAACUUGAGAUCAGAUCGUUGCCUGUCUGUGUAACUCUUCUGGCAACUCUGGGCCAUUAGUAACCUCUGCCUGACUUGCUGAAUAUGCUCGGUCGUCUUGAGUACUAUCUCCGUGCUACCCAUCACUCGUUGUCCCACCUCUCCCAAACAGAUAGGAGUUUGACACCUUCUCCCAUAAAGGAGCUCGAAAAGAGGCAUACCAAUGUUGGAUUGGUGACUGUUAUUGUAAAAAAACUCAGCCAAGGGUAAGUAAGUGUCCCAACUUCCUCCGAAAUCCAUCACACAUGCACGCAUCAUGUCCUCCAGCGUCUGAAUCGUUCGCUUGCUCUGUCCUUCUAUCUGUGGGUGAUAGGUAGUAUUGAAAUGCAAGAGCGUGCCCAAAUCCUCAUGAAAUCCAAAACCUGGAAGUAAAACGCAUGUCUCGAUCCGACACUAUCGAGACCGGCACUCCAUGUCGCGCUACCACUUCUCUCACAUAGAUCUCGGCCAAUCUCUCCGCAGAAGAGCUCUCACUAAUAGCAAGGAAGUUAGCACUCUUCGUCAGUCGGUCCACAAUCACCCAAAUCGCGUCAACCCUUCGCGCAGUCUUCGACCACUUGGUGAUAAAGUCCAUUGAGAUCUGUUCCCACUUCCACUGGGGAAUCUCAAGAGGCUGCAAUGGACCAUGUGGACGUUGGUGCUCUGGCUUGACCCGAAGGCAGGUCAAGCACCUCUCAACUACCCAAGCAACAUCCUUCUUCAUACAUGGCCACCAAUAGUCUCUUUUUAGGUUUAAAUACAUACUAGUAGCCCCGGGGUGGAUCGAGAAGCUCGAUUUAUGCGCCUCUUCCAUCAUUAUACGUUGGGCUCCGCCCGUAUAGGGCACCCAAAUCCACCCUCAGGAAGUCAUAAAUCCUCGGCUAUCCGUCACAAACUCGAACACCUGCCCAAUCACCCUCUCCCUCUUGUGGUUCUCCGAUUUCACGGCCUCCGCCUGGGCCUCUCGAAUGGUAUCCAAGACCGGAGCUGUCAUUGUUAUCCUCAUACACACAUCUCAAAUUGGGGUACUCUCUGCUCUACGGCUCAGGGCAUCGGCUACUACGUUAGCCUUCCCCGGAUGAUACAGGAUCUCACAGUCAUAGUCUUUCACCACAUCCAACCAUCUCCUAUGCCGCAUAUUCAGGUUAGGUUGAUCCAUGAGAUACUUCAGGCUCUCGUGGUCCACGUAUAUGGUACACCGAACCCCAUACAAGUAGUGGCGCCAGAUCUUGAGGGCGAACACAACCGCCCCUAACUCCAGAUCGUGGGUGGGAUACCUUGUCUCAUGAGGGUUCAACUACCUCGAGCAUAUGAUAUCAUGUGAUCCCUCUGCAUCAACACUGCACCCAUCCUUGAGAUAGACGCAUCACAAUAAACCACAAAGUCCUACACUCCCUCCGGAAGAGCUAGUACACAAUCUCUAGCGAAGAGUCUCGAAUAAUGGAUACUCCCAACAAGAAUAGAGGAUAUGCUAUAAGUUUAUAUCAUAUCUCUUCAUGUUCUAAAGGAGUAAAGUAUUGGUCUUUUUUCCUACACAAGAGUAAAAAAAAAAAUCUUUAGUAUCCAUAAAAUAAUAACUUUUAUCUACUAACAAAGCAAAAACAAGAUUACUAACCAUUUUAGAAACUCCAGGUGAGAUUUCACAAAAUGCUUUAUGUCUUCUUUUAAAACAAGUGCAUCAGAUGAAAAGUACAUCAACUCCUGCAUCAACAAAAGCCGUAGAUCUCCAAAGAGCUUCUUGUAUAGCAAUGCCUGACAAGAAUAUGUUCUUGUUACAAUAACAAUGUCAUAACCACUCUCUUUCAAAGCAUCAACAAUUAUUUUUAUCUUCAUCACAAGUUCUACUCUAGAUACCACUUAACUGCCUUAUGUAUGACCACAAGCUUUUGAGGAUACCUUGCAGUUUCAACAUUAUCAGCAAUCUGCAGGACCUACAUAUGAAUCCUAUGAUAGUUGAUGUUAGGAAAUGAAUUUGAUCUUCGAGAAUUAUUUUAACAAAUCCUGCUCUGAAAUAUUUGGCAAGCUUUUAUAAUGGACAAUGCUUUUGUAAUGUCCUUGCUUCACAAUCUCUCCAUAAGAUAUUAGUCCAGUAUUAUCUAGCAGGCCUAAUCGAGCCAUCUGUAUUCCAAAACCUAGCGAGAGAACAAAUCAAAGGCAAAAUUACAGGAUUGAUCAGACGAGGUUGCACAUUAAUACCAAUUUCAACAUUCUAGCCAUCUCUCUCUAUUAGCUUCACAUCAAGGUCAUUGAAACAAGCAGGGGCUUAGUGAAUUCGAGGAGAAUCAAGUAGUUAUCGUAACUUCUUCGUCGGAGAAAAAUCUGAAGUGGCGUUGUUUAGGCUGUUUGUCUCCUCCAUAAGAACUUAUGGUGAUAGAAUUGGGUGCCGAUAUAGCCCUAGAAACUGGUGAAAUAGAAAUCGAUGAAAGGGAAGGAGUUUGAGGUUUUCAAUGGGAGGUAAUUAUAAGACAAAAUCGGGGGAGGGGGGCACAAAUUCCAAACUGUGGGAAGCGUGUUUGACCUAGAGGAGGUGAGAGAUACAUACGAUCUUGAGAGUUGUGGUGACGGGUGAGAAGAUGUAGACGGGCUGGAGGAGUAGGCGACACAAAUUGUGUUCGCCAUUGACGGUGGUGGUAACCGAUGUUGAUGGCAGAGAAGGGAGACGGAACCCUAGAUCACCCAUGUGUGUGUUUUGAACCAAAACAUUGAAAACAUAACGGUAUCUUUUUCCGUCAUUUUAGACACUAAUUCACAACAAACAUUGUUUAUUUCAUUAUUUUUUAUAAAAGAUAACAUUACGACGUACAAGCGUUAAUCCUGAACAUUUUACAUACAUAACUUUUUAAGAAAUAUCUUUUUGUCUGUCAUAAAAUUAGUGUAUGUCAUAAGUCUGUCAUUAAAAGUCUUUUCUAGUCGUGUCAAAGACUAUGUCACCGUACAUCCAAAGUAUGUCGAAACAUUUGCUAUCCUUUAGAAGUUAAAAAUAACAUUUUUCUAGUUUACUUAAAAAAAAGUAUUUAUCGGGCAUAAACCUUUCUUAGAAAUCCUCCAAAACCUUGUAUCGACAACAAAUUGAAGAACUGAUAGAUGGAAAAAACAUUUUUUUAAGGAAAAAAACGGUAUUAAAACCCCUGUCAAAUUUAUUGAUAUGGAUGUUGAACUUAAAACCCCCUCAAAUUACAUUAUAUACCGAAAUUAAAAGCCAAAAAUAAAAAAUUAGAUGAAAACUACAUCUGUCGAGCCUUUUGUAAAUUUGAUAUGAAUGCCACUAUCUUCACAUAAACCCUGUCUUUGAAGUUAUCAUAACAGUGAAAAAAAGCAUGUCUUCCACGACGGUUGACAAGUAAAGCACCACAUGCUAUCCAAAAUCCAGUAGCAAAACCGGUCCCCCCACCAAUAUAGAACCAUCCCCAAAUUUCAUCUCCACCUUCCCCAUCACCCACACUUUCACCAACGACAGGUGGCACUUUUAAAUCUUCAUCCUCAGGACAUUUUUUGUUAAGAGGAGGUCCACAUAGUCCUACAUUUCCAUCGUAUCUUGAAGGUUCAAAGGACUGGAGCUGUGUGCUAGAUGGGAUUCUCCCUGUCAAGUUAUUAAAUGACAUGUCUAGGUAAUUCAGUAAGCUCAUCCGAGACAUGCUUGAUGGUAUCUGCCCUGAAAAAUUGUUUCUAGAUAAAUCCAAAGUCAAAAGAUUUUUCAUCUCACCAAUUUUCUGUGGAAUAUCUCCAAAUAGAUCGUUGUUUGACAAGUUUAGAGAAAUCAAGUCAUGAAGAUUGGUAAUUUCGUAUGGGAUUUGUCCUGCUAAAUUGUUGCUUGAAAGGUCAAUGCUCUUCACCAAUUUUAGAGUGUUAAAGAAUUCCCGUUCAUCUCCUUGCCACCUAAUCAUCGCAUUGUCAACAUAUGUCGUCCAAACAUAUGUUUGACCUCCUUCAGUUCUAUAUACCUUUAUAUCUUGUGAGAAUCCUUGUAGAACCAUGCUCGUAAGAUUACUCAAAUACGAGGGUAUGGUUCCAUAGAGAUUGUUCAUUGACAAGUCUAGAAUUUGAAGAUUUGCUAAUUGACAUAAUUUUGAAGGGAUGGUUCCAAUGAAGUUGUUUGAUCUUAGGAUAAGAACAUACAAUCCUGUUAAGUUUUCCCCAAUCCAGACAGGCACAUUACCAGAGAACUUGUUGGCUCCCAAAUUCAACGAGUUUAAACUCGUGCAAUUCUUUAAUGACAAAGGCAAUUCGCCAGAUAAUUCAUUCUUGUAUAAAUGCAAUACCUUGAGAUUGAUCAGAUAUUCAACAGAGGGAGGAAGCCUUCCAAAGAGAUUGUUGUGCCCCAGAUUAACAAUUUUUAGUUGUUUGAAAUGCCACAAACAGUCGGGGAGUUGUCCAGUUAAUGAGUUAUGAGAGAGGUCAAGAAAUGACAAGAACCCACCAACAAUCUGGCAUAUAAACGAGAUUCCCCCAGAAAACUUGUUUCUGGAAAGAUCUAAUGAUGCCAAAGUGGAAGCAACAUUUGGUAUUGGACCAUGAAAGUUGUUGGAACUCAAAUCUAUCACAGAAAGGUUGGCAAAAUUUGAUAAUAAAUCUGGUACUUUCCCACUAAUGUUGUUGGAAGAGAGAUUCAGAUAUUCUAAUUGAGAAGGCCAUGUGGCCCAAAACUCGAGAGGAGUUGUGUCUGAAAUUUCAGUAUUGGAAAGAUCAAGACUGGUAAGAUUUUUGAGUGUAUGAAUCCAUUUUGGGAAGUGAGGCCCUAUCUUACAAGACAUCAGACCAAUAACCUUUACAUAAGAAAGGCUUGACAAGUGAUAUGUGGAAGGAACUGUAAGAUUAUUAGAAGAAAGAUCAAGAAUUUGGAGCCUGGGUAGUUCCCACAGUUUCUCACUUAUACUUCCAUUUAACUGAUUAUCAGAUAGGUACAGAGAUUCUAGGGAUGCAAACUUCUGGAUCUCAUCGGACAGUGACCCUGUAAAUUGGCUACCUCGAGUAAUCAACAUUUGUAAGGUCAAGGACGUGCAUCCAGACAAGUUGUUGAGAAAAUCAGGAAAUUUGACAACAGCAGAGUUGUUAACGAUGUACAAACGUUCCAAACUACAGAGGUUCCCAAGGUAUUUGGGUAUCCCAUCUAACAUAUUGCCAGAGAGAAGAAGAGAACUAAGCUUAUUGCUGGUUAAUGGAAGCAACCAGCGAUACAUGGAUGAGUUCAGAUUGUUGUUUGUAAGAAAAAGGUAUUCAAUAGAUGAAGAAGAGUUGUGAAAAGAAGAAUAUGGAUACAUGACCUGUGACAGCUCACAUCCAUCUAAACUUAAACUCAACAGUUUUGGGAGACUCGAAAUUACACCUACCCAAUUAUUUGCAUUCGCAAGGGAAAUCCCAUCCAUUCUCAGAUCCUCCAAAUGAGAGAGAUGAGACAACCACUCCAUGUUUUCAACUCUACAACUUCCAACAGAAUCAAGAUAAAGGUAUUGCAAGUUGGUGAGGUUUCCAAAGUGUGAAGGAAUGGUUCCAUAAAGAGAGUUACUGGAAAAGGAAAGGUGCCUUAACUGGGUCAAGUAACCAAUGGACCUGGGAAUAGCUCCAUGAAAGGAAUUGUAGGAAAGGGAAAGGUACCUUAAUCGAGUCAAAGAACCAAUGAAAGUGGGAAUGGUUCCAUGAAAUGAAUUGUCAGAAAGAUCAAGAAGAUUCAAGUAGGUUAAGUUAACCAAGGAAUGGCUAAUCUCACCUCCAAGACCACCCUGUGAAAAGAAGUUGUUGAGUUCAAGCUUUGUGACGUGACCAGUUUGGUUGUUGCACUCGACUCCACUCCAUUUACAGCAGUCAUAUUGGUCAGAUCUCCAUGUAGAGAGAGUAUCAGAGGGGUCGUGAAGGGGAGCUUUGAAAAGAAGGAGAGCAUCUCUCUCCUUAUCCAAACACUUUUUCAUAUUUCUAUCAUCUCCUUCCAAUUGGCUGGCAGUUGCAUUCACAAGGAGGAGCAACAGAAGUGAGAAAAUUAUAAAAACACAAGGAUUCAUAAUUUAAUUAAAAAUGAAAAUCUUGGUGAUUUUUGGUUUGUAAUGAUGCCUGCCUAUAUGAACUGCACCCGUGAGUGUUUAUAUAUAUAGUCUCGAAUGUGAGCAUAACUGAUUCUAAACGGGUGGCCUUGAAUUAAUUAUGUCGGGGAUACAAUAUUUAAUUCCCAUGAAAUUAGAACCAAACUAUAAGAAAAAAUCAAAGAUGAAGAUUUGAAAUAAAUGUCCCAAAUUAGUCGUUCAAAGACUUGCAAGUCUUGACAAUUUGCAUAUAUUAUCUAUAUCUUAUCCGAUUUCAUGAUAUAUUCAAAGACUUUAAAGUGAUGUUUACCAUAACCUUUAUUAAAUACAAACAUAUAAGAAUGUAAACGCAAACAUUGAACUGACCACCAAAUUAACAACAACUAUUUAAUAAAUCUCGUAUUCCCAUUCCGUUGUUAAACAAUUUAUGUUUAUGCUAUCCUAAGAGUAUUUUUAUGAAAUCAAUUAGAAAAGUUUUAGCAGAAACAUAUAUCUAAUUUAUCAUAUCAAUUAAUUCAAAAUUUUCGAACAGAAACAUAAACCCAGUAUUCAACAGAAACGAAAAAAAAUUCAAACAAAAUCAAAAGAAACGUUAUUCAACAGAAAAAAUAGAGAACAGGGAUGAAGAGGAGAAAUGCGUUGAGUAUUAGUGACGGAAAACCAAGAAGAUGACAACGGUAGCUAGGCGGCGUCUUCGACGACAGUGGGGAGGUAAAAAAGCAAAAAAUUUAUGGAUAUUUUUUAGCAAUAUAUUAUAUUAUAUGGACUUGUUCGCGAAAACAUUAUUAUAUUUAUUUAUUGGUUAUGUAUAUAUCAACCUGAAAGAUAUUUUUAUAUUUUUAUCAUACAAUAACCAUUUAUAUUGCUAAAAAAUAUCCAUAAAUUUAUGUGAUUAUUUUUUUCCCACAUUAAUAAAAAAUAACCUCAUAAUUUAAGUUAUUAUUCCCUAAUUGCAGUACUUGACAUCAGAUCAGUGAUAAUUAAUGUUUUGCAAAAACGACAGUUUUGAACCCUAAUCCAAGUUUGAACCUUGAGUUUAUUAUGCUUGGAAAAUAUAAAAUCUAUUCAUAAUUACAAAAGAGUUUCUAAAAAUAAAAUAUUUAUAAAUUUCUAUUUGUAAUCACUAACCUCUCUAGUCUCUAAAGACUUUGAGUGUGUUCUUGGUGAACGUGUAUGUGAGGUGACGUUAAGCAAGAAUUGAAGAUAAAACAAAGAGUUUGUUUGUAAUCUCCAACAUAAGAAAACAAGGUAUUACAUCAAAGUUGAAUAUUAUGAGCAAACUCAAGAACCUUAAGUUUAAGGUUUGGACAAAUGAUGACUUUGUUCUUAAAUAAUCAUUCAUUGAUCAUGCAUCAGCCUAUCAUUAAGUGGGAUUGGUGGUUAAUUAAAGAACUAUCAUAGAUUUAAAAAUGAUACAAGUAUUUGAUGCAUAACAUGAAAAGUAUAAGUUGUAUAGUCUGGUAAUAUAGAAUUUCAAAUCAUGUUUAUGAGUAAUUAAAAUGUCAUUAGUAGAGACUGGGAAACUAAUCAUGUAUUAGUAUGAGUUUGAAGUUGGUUUUAGUAGUGAUGUAUAGCUUAUAUUGUUACCCUGCAUGAAAAGCAUGAUCGGGGAUUAUAAAGCAAAGGUUUCGUGCAUGAUCGGGGAUUAUAAAGCAAAGGUUUCGUACUACUGUAACACCUAGCUUUUUUUAUAAAAUACAUAACAAAUUACUAAAAUCGUCCUUAUGGUUUGAUUAAAAUUGCAUUUUUGGUUCUUAACUUUUUUUUUUUUUUUUUUUUUUUUUUUUUUGCAUUCGGACUGUUCUCAAAAUAUGAUUUUAUUGCGUUUUUCGUCUCUAUCCGGCCUGAAAAGACUAUACUUCCCUCUCUAAUUUAUUUUUUACUUGUUUCUAUUAUUAGUUUUAUAUUUUUUUAAUAAAAAAAUAGAAUGGGCCCACACUCAACUCUUCGUCUUCUCACAUGUUCAACCAUCUUUCACUUUACUACCAUUCACUACCAAUACUAUGCCAUUACUCACCCACUAAGACUCAUUAUCACCAUCUCCAGCGAGACUAGAAAUCCGACAAGACCAGAACGCCGACGAACAUCACACAUCAUCACCCACCACAUGUCACCCACCUCCACCAUCUCUCCCCGUAAAUCGGUAAAUCCUCAUCAAUAAAUCGGUAAACCACUCACCUCCACCAUUUAACCCCCUAAAUUCUUCGGCGAGUCCAUAACGACGACCAACACCACACUCACCCUUACUGUGCUUUUUCCAUAUCUUUCCUCCAUUGGACUACAGAUAAAGAUCUUAAAUAAAAAAUCAGAGAUCUACAACACAAGAUCUUGAACUCAAAUCAAAAUUGGAGAUCUGCAAUAUAAGGUCUGGAACUCAAAUCGAAGAUCUUCAUUGUACCUGUAUCAUAAAUCUCCCAACACCAUCAUCUUCUUAUUAAAAUUGGAGCCACCACCACCACUGUGUUACUGAAAUGGGUGAUUUUCUGAAAUAGAAGGCACCACCACCAUCGCCUUACGUAAACCAAGCCAGAACCAUCAACGCUUCUGAAAAUCAUCUUUCAUUUAUAAGAUAUCAUCAAAUUUUUUCUUUCAUCAUUGACUUGAGGUUGGGGUUUACGUUUUGGGUUUUGAUUUCUAUAUUUGGUUUUGAUUUCAUUUUAUGUUCUCAUUUAACAAUUUCGGGAGUUGACUUUGGUUAGAUUUUGAUUUCGGGAUUAGACGUUGGUCUAGUUUUGAUUUCUCGGAUUUGAUAUUGGGUUGUCACAUGAUGAAAUUGAUGAUGUGGGCGAUGGUGGUGUCAGAAUAGGUGUAUGGUGGUCGUGUCAGAAUCGUUGAGUGGUAGUUGUCAGCAACUGUGGUGGUUGUCGAUGAACGGUGAAUGAAGGUGGUUGUGGUGUAAGUAGGAGUAUGAGUGGGUCCCAAUAAAUCACUUAAUUGAUUUUCAUAAAUCAAUUAAUAAUAAACAAAUAAUAAAAAAAAAUAAAUAGAAAAUACAAAGGGCGAUAUAGUUUUUUUUAUCUCUACAAGGGACAAAAAACGCAAUAAAAUCAUAACUUAGGGACGGUCCGAGUGCCAAAAAAAUAAUACUUAGGGACCAACAAUAGUUUUUACCAACCAUAUGGACUAUUUUAGUAAUUUGUUCUAAAAUAAAAUAUUAUAGUUUUAAAACACUUUAUGGCAUUAAACCAUAUUUAUUAAAAUAUUGCCCCGAAAGUUUUCAUUACAAAACAAAUUGUAAUACUUUAAACCGGGUAUUACAACUGAUACAACCAAAGCCAUAGUAAAUAAAUAAUUAGACAUACUCAUAGAAACUAUGUCCAAUUUCUAUCCUUCAAAGCUCAUUUUAUCGGUGCAAACAAAAUCUUAUACAUUUCAUAUCGGACUUGGAAUACAUGGCAUUUAACAAAACAUAUGUAAGACAAUAAUGUCUCGUAAGUCAUAUGGGGUUAGACCCAAAAUAUUUACAAUAUAGGUAAAAAUUACCACUUUUCAUAUCUUGAAAACACUUUCAUAACUUGUAAACUUUUUUAUAGCCUGAAAAUACUUUUAUAACUUGUAAACUCUUUUAGAGCUUGAAAAUACUUUUAUAAGUUGUAAACUCUUUUAUAUCUUGAAAAUACUUUCAUAAAUUGUAAAAUCUUUUAUAGCUUGAAAAACAUUGAGACUAUACAAUGCAUGUCCUCACUCAAUGCAAACUUGUGGGACUUCACAAAUCUUUUAUCUUUUUUUAACUCAUGGAUAUGUGUUGAAUAUGGUGUCGAAAAGGACAUAAGUUGUGAGAAUAUGUCGAAUCUGGCUUAUCAUGAUAGAUGAAGAAAUCAAUCUACCAUGAUAUAUGAUUUGAAGUACGAGAGGUAUUAUCCGAGUAGUAUCUUGCUAAUCCCUUCCGUUAUGGCUCGCUUUCUAUUCAUUUUACUCAUUUACUAUGCAAUUUACUAUUAUGAUGCACGAUUACACUUUUCUUGCCAAGAGUUGAUCACACAUGAUGCUACGCUUUAAACUUAAUCAUAACAAUUUGGAUAGUAAUAACAUUUUCAUAUAAAACAUAUAAUCAUAUAAAACAUAUACCGGUAGGGGGGCAAGCUGAGACGUCGCCUAGGGCCCAACUUCCAAUCUGUUAGUAUCUAUAUAUAAAUUACAUUGUCAAAACCAUUAAACAAACAAGUUACAGGCUACUUGGUAAGGCGCUUCACAUCUUUAUAAUCAACCUUGGUUCAAUUUUAGCCUGGAACAUAAUUGAUUACUUUUUGCUAAAUUUAAUGUUUCUAAUAUUACAAUGAAUUUUAAAAUGAUAAUACAUAGAGCUUGUUCAACAAAACUAGCAGGUAGCGGGUAGCAUUUGCUUUUGGAGUGUUUUGUUGAAAGCUCCCAAACAAGGCUUUUUUUUUUUUACUCCAUGUAGCUUUUGAUUUUGGAGCGUUUUGUUUAGGAUAAAAGCUAAACGCUCCUGUCGCCAAACAAGGCUUUUUUUACUAGCGUUUUCCUAAAAGCUAGAAGCCAAAAGCUCCCAAACGGUGCAUGUCGAACACACCCAUAAUUUGUAGCCACCUUGGUAAGAACCUAUGAAAUAUGCACACAAAUNACUCAACAACCUCAACUAUUUAUUUGUGAUUCUAUAUAUAUAUAUAUAUAUAUAUAUAUAUAUAUAUAUAUAUAUAUAUAUAUUAAACUAACUUAAUUUAUACUUAUACAAACAUAUUUAAAACAAUAAUAAACAUUGUGUACAAGUUACAUUUUGUUGGAACUGAUUUAUACAUAAACCUAUUUUUAUAAAGAAAAGAAUAACUCAGAAAACAAAUUACAAUAUUUGAGUUUAAUUUAUUAAUUUGUUUUCUAUAAUAAAAAUAAUGUGUAGUUCAAUUAGUCAAAAAAGUUAAAUACCUUGCUCGUUAACAACAAUAUUAUACUUAACUUAGCUCAAAUUUAAAAGUGAGUUUUUGAUAUAUUCAGGGGCACUUUAUUUAGUUUUUCUCCCAGGCCCCAAAUAUGUAUGGACCAACUUUGGUCAAAACAUAAAUCAUAAAGCUUGUAAAAUACUUUUUUCCUUACAAUACAUUUUGAUAUGUGCAUAUUUUUAAUCAUGUAUAUCGUGCAUAUUUAUAAUAGUUUUAGCUACAAUUAUGCUUAUUUUGGGACAUAAGGUACUUAUUAUGUUUAAAAUAUGUUUUGUAGUAGCAAAAACAUGCUCGGGAUGAAAAGGAAAAAAAACGAGGAGCUAGAAGCAGGAAAAUUUGGGCUAAGUUAAAAAGAAGACAAAGAAUGCAUGAAUUCUGAAGCCCACGGCAUGGUCACUAUAUUCCAUGCCGUGGUAAAUGGAAGAAUCACGAUCAAUCAUCUGACUUGGAGAAUAUGAGAUUUAAGAGAAGACCACAAUGUGGUGCCUAUUCACCACGCUAGUGAUCAAGUUUAUGGAAACUAUAUAUAUUCAAACAUUAGAUCGAAUGUAGAAACUUCUGGCUGAUUUUCUGAGAGGGAUUGUGACUAAAACCCUCUUGAAAACCUUAGGAAAAUCAGGACUCAAUUGGAGCUCAAGAGUUGAAGAGAUCCAGAAGAAAUCAACAUAGAUCUAUUAAGUUUGCUAGCAUUACUCAUGUCUAAUCUUAAUUACAUUGAUUUAGUGUGCUUUUCUGUUGUGAUGAAAGGCUAAAAACCUUAUAAUUCUGUUUGGUGAAGAUGAACACAAAUCUUAUGUGUUGAUUUCAAUUUAUGGAUGUUUUACAUUGAUUUUACUUGUGUUUGAUAAUAAAAACCCUAACAUGUUUUAGUUCUAGUAUGUGAAUGCCUUGCUAUGAGUUUAGUGUAGAUGAACUCAAAUCUUAUGUGUUGAUUUCAAUUUACGGAUGUUUUACAUUGAUUUUACUUAUAUUUGAUAAUAAAAACCUUAACAUGUUUUAGUUCUAGUAUGUGAAUGCCUUGCUAUGAGUUUAGUGUAGUAGAUGAUCAUUCUAUUUGCAUGAACUUGUUUACCUAGUGAUUUAUGAUCAUUAAAUUGCUAUAGCUAGGAUUAAUCACAUCUUAGAUAAGGUAAUUAAAGCUAGUAACUUUAAUUGUGUUAGAGAGCAUAAUAUAUCUUAAAUUGUGCUUGCUUGCUUAACUUGAUCAUAGCAAAGUAACUAUUAGAUUUAUCAUUCAUAGUCCAAUUUGUGCUUAUAUCGAUUUUGUGUUUAACCUAUGCUUGAUCAUUACAUGGUAAUUCAUAAAUUGGUACAUCUAGGUAUUUGAUCAUAAUAACUAGUAAAUUAACGAAUUGGUAUAUCCAAAUAGCAUGUGUUUGCACCAUAAUCCAUUGACAAAACAUUGUGAAGUCUCAUCAGCUUAUGGUUUUUUAUGUUGAAUCAAUAACUACUUUUAUUAGAAGAAUCAGGAGAAGAAUGUUAUGAUACAUUUAAUACACUCUAGUGUUUUGGUGUACCCAUCGACAUAGAGUUUCCAAGCUCUCAUCAACAUUUGUUAUUAAAUGUAGAAUCAUAAAACUUUAAAAAAGAAAAUUGGCCAAGAAUGGAUUUAUGCAUGUGAUAGUCUACGGUACAUAGACUAACCAUUUGCACAUAUUUUCAAGAUCUCAUCAAUGUAUGGUACUUUACACUGAAUCAUUAAACUUUAAAGAAGAAAAUAGGGCGAUAAUGGAUUGGUGCGUGUGAUAGCCUACACUACAGUAGUGCAUAGACUAACCAUCGACACAAAAUUUUCAAGCUCUCAUCAGUGUAUGCUAUUUUACGCUGAACUAUGAAAAUUUUAAAGAAGAAAAUCAGGUCAAUAGUGGGUUGAUGUGUAUGAUAAACAACAAUACAUAGUUUAACCAUCAUCAUAGAAUUGUAAACUUUCAUCAGUAUGUGGUUUUCAUAGUGAGUUGUUAAGUUCUCGUAAGAAGAAGUUGAGAGAAAAGGAUGUUUCAGUCACACUGAAGUGAAAUCAACGUGAAUGAUAAAAUAGUUUAAACUCAUAAAAAAAAAGUGUUUUCAUCUUCCAUAUCAUAGAGUUAAGUUUCAGUCCAGAAUAUUCAAUUCACCAUCAAUUUGUUUAAUAUGGUACAAUACAAGAAUGAAAGAAGAUAAGAAAAAGAAAAACAACCAGGAUACUUUAAACAGAAAAUUUCAAGCUUUUGCAGAAUAAUCAUAAAAAUGAUGGCAGCAUUUUGCAAGAACAUCAUAAAAGUUUAUACGAAAAAUAUUUUGACUUGAAUACUUAUAAAAGAGUUUCCUUUUUCAAAGAUAUAUCUUAUUAGGAAUUAACUUUAAAAGAUAAGAAAUUAGCAUCUCAAACCAUAAAAAAAUACUACAAACAAGGGAAUAGACAAAAUUCUUAUCCAUUGAUGGGAUAAGAGAAUUGAUGAUACGGUCUUUGUAACCAUCGAGUUAAAAGUUUCUAAUAUGUGGGAGCUUCGAGAUGCCGAAAUCAACAGGGAGGUACUUGAGGUUUUAUUGAAGGUACUUGAGGUUUCAUUGGAUUAUGAGCCAAUAGAUGCACGUAAGAGUAAAUGUAAUAUCAGUGACUGCUUGUAACCAUGACAUAGGAUGGAGGGGUAGGAGAGCAUCGUCAAGAAGAAGAGGACAUGAUUCCAUCUUUCACUUCAUAUCCUCAUUCGCAUAAGAUGAAGGUGGCUGAGGUGACAUCAAGGGCAAUCAGGAAAUUCACCAAGCCUCUAGCUCUUUUAAUAUGGAGUCAAGUGACAAUUCUGAGUGUAAACAUCACCAUUCAUUACUUACGAAUUGAUAGUUGCAUCUGUUUCAAGAGUAAGAAGAUGAUUCAAUCUUGCAACUUCGGGGAUGUAAGAAUGAUAAGUGAUGCACAAGAAUGAAGAUACAUGAGAAAGAAAUUAGAGAGGCAAAGAGAUGAAAGCAAUGUAAUUACUAGAUAUAUAUAGAAAAGGAAGCAAGCAAUGUCAAGAAUUUUUCUAAAAAGAAAGAAAAAGAAUAAAAGCAUUUUGACUUUAUGUUUUUGUGUUUUAAUAAAAGCAUUAAGAAAAUAAGCAAAGAGAAAUUAAGUCAUUAACAACAUGCCAAGAUCAACAACCAAUUUGUUUAAAGUCUUCUCAUCUUGGGCCUUAGUGAAAAUAUUCUCCAAUUAAUCAACGGUAGGGAUGUAUAACAAGUCUACUUUGCCUUUUUGAACAAUUUCCCUGAUAAAAUGAUGGUGGAUAUCAAUGUGCUCUGUCUUUGAAUGUUGUAAUGAAUUUUGAAUCAUUUGGAUGGUACUUGUGUUAUCAAAGCAUAUGAGAGUCUUUGAGAAAGAAAAAACAUAGUCUAGGAGCUGAUUCUGAAUCUAAAGAAUCUGAGUAUAACAUCUUCAAGUGGCUAUGAUUUAGCUUUAGCGGUAGAGCAUGCCACUAAUGUAUGUUUCUUGCUGGACCAGCUCACAAGCCUAUUUCCUAGCAUUUGAGCUCCUCCAUGAUCACAGUCUAUAAAUCCCACUAGUUUGAACUUGGAGUCAUGAGGAUACCAUAACCCAAGAUUAGGUGUAUGUUUUAAGUAGUGAAAGAUCCUUUUUACAGCCAAGAGAUGGGACUCAUUUAGGGUAGCUUGAUAUCGAGCACACAAUAUCGUAGUAAACAUAGAAAUUAUCACUCCAUGAUACAAUGUUGCAUUCACAUGAGUGCCAACUUGAUCAUCAAAAAUAGACGUUGAUGGAGACAUUGGAGUUUUUGCCGGUUUAGAGUUAAUAAAACCAUAUCUCUUCAGCAAAUCUGAGAUGUAUUUUUCUUGGAAAAUUUAAGAUUCCAUCAGUGAGUUGCUUAACAUAAAAAGAAUGUUAGUUCACCCAUCAUGCUCAUUUCAAAAAUUUUGGCAAUACCAUUAGCAAACUCAGAACUCAGUUUCUCAUCUGUGGAUCCAAAAAUGAUGUUGUCGACAUACACUUGAGCAAGAAUAAUGUAAGAUCUAGUUGCUUGACGAACAAAGUGUUGCCGAUUGGUCCAUGUUUGAAUCCAUUCUCUAGAUGAUAACUAGCUAAAGUGUUAUACCAUGUCCUGGGAGCUUGUUUCAAGCCAUAGACGACUUUAUCUAGAAGAUACACAUGAUCAGGGAAUUCUUCACUUUCAAAUCCUAGAGGUUGUUUUAGAAAAACUUCGUCUUGAAUAUCCCCAUUGUAACAACCCAAAAUCCAGGUAAGCUUAUGACCACUUUUAUUUUGGAGAGUUGGCAUAUUAGUCCCUCAAAGUUGUAUGGUGGAUUAGUGAGUACGUUGGGCGUACUGAAGUGUACGCCGCGCGUACUCACACGCUUAAAUUGGACGCGGACUCGCCCGGGUACGCUGGGCGUACCCAGGGGUUACGCUGGGCGUAGCGAACCAAGAAGCAAACCCUAAUUCCUGGCUUUUGCACUAUAAAAGGAACAUGUAGUCCCUUGCCCUAGCCACCAUAUCUCCUUGAGUAAGUCCUUUGAGAGCUGAGAUUCGUGCUUUAGCUUGUGUGUGUGUUUUUGAGCUUGAAUUUAUCUUUUCAAGGUGAAAAAGGAGAAGAAGGAGCCAUUGUUGGAGCUAGAAGUUGAAGAACAAGUGUAGAUCUGAGUUCUACAGUGGUUGGAGAUCUUUUCUGAUGUAAAAAGCUCAAAGCUUUCCUUGUUCUUCAUAAGUUUUGCUUUUUGGACCACUUUUUGGGUUUUUGGUUCAAAGUUGGAGACUUUAUGUGCAAAGAGUCUCCAUAAGCUUAGAUCUGACCUUUUCUAGUGUAUAAUGUGUUGAGGAGUCAUAAAAAUCUAGUCUUGGAUGUGGAUCUUGUGUCAUGCAUGAGUUAUAGUCUCAUUAUGGAAAGAGGAAAGGUGUUUUGAGCACAAAGUGACCUUUACAACCAUGCAAAGGCUUAAAGGUUUCAACUUUAUGGAUUAAGUCACAUUAGAGGAGUUAGAUCUGAAGUUUGGAUGCAAGUCUUAACUAAUUAAGACCUGAAUGAGAUGGAUAAGGAAACUGGGCAUUACGCUUGGCGUAAUCCCAGUACGCAGCGUAAGCAGCUGCGCACCCCGUUUCUGUGAAGGCUCCGGGUGCUCCCAGCGUACACAUUUGGUACGCGCAGCGUAACCCGGGGGGUUGAAUUUUGUUGACUUUUAGGUUUUGGUCAAUUUUAGUGUAAUUGAGCCAAGUAAGGGGUAAAAUGGUCUUUUACCUUCCUGGGAGUGAUUAGAGGGAAUGGUCUAGCCUAGGGAAAUGUAUUGAUGUUGAGUGUUGUUUCAUAUGAUUAGGCGGAGGUUAGAUCUUAUCCCACGGAGUCCAAGAUUUCUGAGAUUUACGAGUUACCAAGCUACACCAGGUGAGUCUUCUCACUAUACGUUACCUAGAGUGGUAUUUAUGUGGACCGGAGGGUCUUAUGUGUUAUGUAUGAGAUUAUAUGAAUCUAUAUGCUAUGUGAUAUUUUCAUGUUAUGUGAUUGUAUAGACCGGACAGGAAGAUCCAAUGAUACAGACGGGACCAGAGGGUCUAACGAUUCAGACCGGGCCAGAGGGCCCAACGAGCUACGGGACUGGAGGGUCCCGCUGAGACACAUCAACCGGAGGGUCGUAUUGUAGCCUCAAGUGGCGUAUGUGUUGUAUGUGGUAUUUUGGGGAACUCACUAAGCAAUUAUGCUUACAGUUGUUGUGUUAUGUGUUUCAGGUACUAGCGAGGACCGUGGGAAGGCACCGAUGUGACUCGUACACACUAGAGUAGGGAUUUGUUUUUGUGAUCUUGGGAUAUGUUAUGUUUUGAUAACUAUGGUUGAAUACUUUUGAGAAUAUUUUGUAUAAAUUUGGUUGUUGAAAAAUGAAAAAUUGUUUUGAAAUUCACGUUGUUACAAGUUGGUAUCAGAGCCUUGGUUUGAGGGACUCGGAUGCACCUUUGGGCGUAUCUGAACUCAAACUGAGGAUUUGAGAAAUUUUCAACAAUAAAAACUAAAUUUUCUAAAAAAGAAAACAGUUUUGAAACAAACAGAGCAUAGCAGUGUGUACGGUCAACCAGCGCCCGAACGGUGAAUCCUCAAAAUACCCUUACAUUAUGUGUUAUGAGAUAUGCUAUGUUAUGUUAUGCAUGCUAGAGUAGGCUAGGUAAUCAUAUUAGGACUAGAGUGGCCUGAUUUGUGAUGCCUUAGCCUAGGAGAUUUCUGCUACUAUAAGAUGCCUUGAGAGCGAGUAGGUAGCAGUUCGGAGCUCUUGAGAGGUCUAUCGGAGGGUAGCCAAUGCAUAGUGAGAGUAGAGUACUUGCAAUCCGGGAUCCAAGGAGGAGGACUUGGGGUAAAUGCUGAUACGGUGUGGUCAGUAGUAUAGGGCUUGUACUACUGAAGACACCAGAUCAAUAAGCAGCCCAAGUAAGAAUCCUUUGGGUAUUGGAGGACGAGUAGGGUUGCGUUAUCGAGUGCGAGUAUGCUCGAUCGAAUCUCUAAUAUUUUAUGUUGUAUUUCAGAGGCAUCAUGGUUGGGACACGACACACACCUGAGAGCAGUUGGGUUAGUGACGAGGAGAUCCGUCGUUUGAUUCAUGAGGAGGUGGUUGUUGCCAUCCGGGCUGAGAUUCCGGAGAUGUUCGGGGACAUCAAGACCACACUGAUUGAGACCUUUGAUGAGCGGUAUGCAGCGGUGACUGAGGCUGCAGCUACUGCAGCUACUGCUGUUGUGGCUGCUGCCAGACCUCAGGGAGGUGACUCAUUGUUGUUUCGGGAGUUCAGCAACACGAAGCCACCAGAGUUCGAUGGGACGCAAGACCCGAUUGUUGCGAUGAGAUGGAUCUCUGACAUCGAGGGAUGUUUCUAUACGUGUUCUUUUCCAGAACACUUGAGGGUGCGGUUCGCUCUGAACCAGCUCCGCUUCGGAGCGAUGGAUUGGUGGAAGUUCAUGAUGGCGAGCUUCACUCUGGCAGAGAUUUCUGAGGUGACUUGGGAGAGGUUCACCGCCAUUUUUAGAGAUGAGUAUGUUCCCCCGGUGGAGAGGGAACGAUUGAUUCAGGAGUUCUUGACCCUCAAGCAGGGUACUGAUUCUGUUACAGUCAUUACCAGGAAGUUUCACAAGAGAGCGAUGUUUUGCCCUGAGCAGGUGUCUACUAAGCAGGCUCGCAUGAGCCGGUAUCUGAGUGUUCUGAGGAGAGAUAUUCGGGAGUUCGUGGCGAACUCGACUUACCGGACAUUUGCUGAGCUCCAGGCAAAUGCCCGAAAGAGGGAGAUUGAGUUGGAGACUCAGGCCAGGGAGGAGGCCGAGUCCCAAAGGAUGGAUCGGCGGUAGGCUCAGUCUCAGCCGACAGCCAAGUGGGCUAAGCCCGCUGAUUCGAGAUCUGGGGGCGCGAAGGGCCGCACUUGUGGGAAGUGCGGCAAGAGUCACAAGGGGUCGUGUCGGGCAGGAGUAUGCUACAAGUGCGGGAAGGAGGGGCAUAUCGCGAGGGAUUGCCCCAAGGGAUUUUUGGUUUGCUUCCGUUGCAACCAGACCGGCCAUCGGAAGGCCGAGUGCCCUCAGCUUUAGCAGGGAUCUAUGCCUGCGACCAGGACUACCGAGGUUUGGCCAGUGAAGGCCGAGGCGCCAAAGGCUCGUGGGAGGGCCUUUCAGUUGACAACGGAGAAGGUCCGUGCAGCACCCGACGUUGUGGCCGGUAUGUAUUCUUCUCUCUAUUUAUUUAAGUCUGAGAUAUUAUUCUUAUAUUAUGUUAUGCGUAGGUACUUUUCUUGUGAAUUCUGUACCUGCCUUAGUGCUAUUUGACUCGGGAGUGAGCCGAUCUUUUGUGUCAUUAGCCUUCAAUCACCAUAUUAGUAUUUGUCGAGAGGCCUUGAGUCGACCUCUGCGAGUUUCUAUAGCUAAUGAGCGAGCAGUUUAUGCCACAGAUGCGAUUCGAGGAUGUAUCAUUGAGAUCUUCGAUGUGGAGUUCCCGAUAGAUCUGGUCCCGAUUGCGAUGGGGGAUGUGUGUGUUAUAGUGGGCAUGGAUUGGUUGAGCCGUUUUGGAGUUGUGAUAGACUGUGAGCGUCAGUUGGUGACGAUAAGAGACCCUAGUGGGGGAGUACUUACGGUGUACGGAGAGAGUACCCGUCCUGAGUCAGCAUUUUGUUCAGCUGCUAGGGCGAGACAGAGUUUACAGCAGGGCUGUAUAGGAUUUGUGGCCUAUGUGAUGGACACGCGAGUGGCCACUGGGAGGCCAAGUUCGAUUGAUGAGGUCCCAACUGCGUGGGAUUCCCUGACGUUUUCCCCGAGGAGUUGUCGGGCGUGCCUCCCGAGAGGCAGGUGGAGUUUCGUAUCGACUUGGUGCCAGGGGCGACACCUAUUACCAAGGCACCCUAUCGCCUUGCGCCAUCCGAGAUGCAGGAGUUAUCCUCGCAGCUUCAGGAGCUGUUGGGAAAAGGGGUUUAUUAGACCGAGUAGCUCACCUUGGGGAGCGCCAAUCCUUUUUGUCAUGAAGAAGGACGGUUCACACCGGAUGUGUAUCAAUUACCGGGAGUUGAACAAGUUGACGGUCAAGAACCGUUAUCCAUUACCGAGGAUUGACUAUCUGUUUGAUCAGUUGCAGGGGGCGUCUUGGUUCUCCAAGAUAGACUUGAGGUCGAGAUAUCACCAGAUGAGGGUGCGGGAUGAGGACAUCCAGAAGACAGCGGUCAGAACUCGUUACGGACAUUACGAGUUCGUGGUGAUGCCAUUCGGGCUCACCAGUGCACCAGCAGCGUUCAUAGAUCUCAUGAACCGGUUGUGCAGGUCGAUGUUGGAUCGAUCGGUGAUUGUAUUCAUCGAUGAUAUCUUGGUAUAUUCGAAAUCCAGAGAGCAGCAUGAGGAGCAUUUGAGGGAAAUCCUCGGAGUUCUGAGAUCGAAGAGGCUUUACGCCAAAUUCUCCAAGUGUGAUUUUUGGUUACGGGAGGUCUAGUUCCUAGGGCAUCUCGUUAACCAGCAGGGGAUAUUGGUCGAUCCGGCCAAGAUUGAGGCUGUGAUGAGCUGGGAGGUGCCGAGGUCACCUACUGAGAUCAGGAGUUUCUUAGGGCUAGCAGGUUAUUAUCGGAGAUUUAUCAGGGAUUUCUCCAAGAUCACCGUGCCACUCACCAAGUUGACCCGGAAGGGUGUUACUUUUUCUUGGGGUCUGGAGCAGCAGACCUCAUUCGAGACACUUCGCCAGUGAUUAUGCGAAGCCCUGGUGUUGGCCCUUCCGGAGGGAAUGGAGGAUUUCGUGGUGUAUUGUGAUGCAUCAAUAUCAGGGUUGCGAGCAGUGCUUAUGCAGAGGUGGCAUGUGAUAGUAUAUGCAUCGAGACAGCUAAAGCCUCAUGAGUCGAGGUAUCCCACUCACGAUCUGGAAUUAGGGGCAGUAGUGUUCGCCCUCAAAAUAUGGCGGCACUAAUUUUAUGGGAUUCAGUGUACGAUAUUCAUGGACCACAAAAGCUUGAAGUAUUUAAUGGAUCAGCCCAAUCUGAACAUGCGCCAGAGGAGAUGGAUGGAUGUGGUGAAGGAUUACGACUGUGAGAUCCUGUACCACCCAGGCAAGGCUAAUGUUGUAGCUGAUGCCCUGAGCCGAAGGGCGGAGGGCGCCUCGAUAAGAGAUGUUUGCAUGAGAUUGAAAGUGAUGACUCUGGUAUGGGACACCAUUCGAGGGGCCCAGGCAGAGGCGGUGAGACCGGAGAACCGCAAGAGAGAGCGAGUGACUAGGUAGGUAUCAUAGUUUGUUACCGAUAGUCGAGGACUUAUGACCUUCCAGGGUCGGGUUUGGGUAUCGUUUGUGGGCGGAACGCAUACCGUCUUGAUGGAGGAGGUGCAUAGAUCGAAGUUCUCGAUCCACCCCGGGCCACUAAGAUGUAUUUGGACAUGAAGAAGGAGUAUUGGUGGUCCUGUAUGAAAAAGGGAUGUUGCAUGGUUCGUAUAGAGGUGCUUGACCUGUCGCAAGGUUAAGACCGAACACCAGCGCCCGCAUAGUAAGUUACAGCCGUUAGAGAUUCCCGAGUGGAAGUGGGAACAGAUUACCAUGGAUUUUAUCACCAAAUUGCCGAGGACUGCUAGGGGUGUUGAUGCAAUUUGGGUGAUUGUGGACAGGUUGACGAAGAGCGCUCAUUUCCUUGCCAUCAGUGAGAGCUCUUCUGCGGAGAGGCUGGCAGAAAUGUACAUGAAGGAGGUGGUAUCGCGGCAUGGAGUACCGAUCUCGAUUGUCUCAGAUCAAGAUGUGCGUUUCACUUCCAGAUUUUGGAAGAAAUUUCAUGAGGAAUUGGGUACGAGACUACAUUUUAGUACCGCGAACCACCCACAGACCGACGGGCAGAGCGAGCGGACGAUUCAGACGCUCGAGGACAUGCUUCGGGCAUGUGUAUUGGAUUUUGACGGGAGUUGGGAUACAUAUUUUCCCUUGGCUGAGUUUUCCUAUAACAACAUCCAUCACUCGAGCAUUGGUAUGCCACCUUUUGAGCUGUUGUAUGGAAGGAGGUGUCGUACCCCCAUUUGCUGGGGCGAGGUAGGGCAGCGUGUGAUGGGUAGUACAAAGAUAGUGCUUCAGACGACAGAUCAGAUACAACAGGUUAGACAGAGGUUGUUGACCACUCAGAGUCGCCAGAAAAGUUAUGCAGAUAGACGACAAUCUGAACUCGAGUUCCAGGUCGGUGAUUUCGUGCUCCUGAAGGUAUCUCCUUGGAAAGGAGUGAUCCGAUUCAGGAAGAGGGGCAAGCUGGUACCCGGUAUAUUGGGUCAUUUAGAGUGAUCGCGAGGGUGGUCAAGGUAGCGUAUCACUUGGAGCUACCUGCAGAGUUGGACCGGAUUCAUGAUACCUUCCACGUGUCGCAGCUGAGGAAGUGUAUUGCCGAUGAGUCGGCAGUGGUACCCUUAGAGGAUAUCCAGGUGGACGCAAGUCUAAAUUAUGCUGAGAAGCCGAUCGCAAUCUUGGAUCGGAGGAUCAAGGUUCUGAGGAACAAGGAAGUGCCCCUGGUUCAGGUCCAGUGGCAACAUCGGAGAGGAUCCGAGCUGACCUGGGAGCCAUUGUUGGGGAUGCGGGAGCAGCAUCCGGAGUUGUUCGCAACAUGAGACUUCGAGGGCGAAGUCUGGUUCUAGUGAGGGAGAAUUGUAACAGCCCGAAAUCCAGGUAAGCUUAAGACCCCUUUUAUUUUGGAGAGUUGGCAUAUUAGUCCCUCAAAGUUGUAUGGUGGAUUAGUGAUUACGCUGGGCGUACUGCAGUGUACGUCGCACGUACUCACGCGCUUAAAGUGGACACAGACUCGCCCGGGUACGCUGCGCGUACCCAGGGGUUACGCUGGGCGUAGCGAGCCCAGAUGCAAACCUUAAUUCCUGGCUUUUGCACUAUAAAAGGAACAUGUAGUCCCUUGCCCUAGCCACCAUAUCUCCUUGAGUAAGUCCUUUGAGAGCUGAGAUUCGUGCUUUAGCUUGUGUGUGUGUUUUUGAGCUUGAAUUUAUCUUUUCAAGGUGAAAAAGGAGAAGAAGGAGCCAUUGUUGGAGCUAGAAGUUGAAGAACAAGUGUAGAUCUGAGUUCUACAGUGGUUGGAGAUCUUUUCUGAUGUAAAAAGCUCAAAGCUUUCCUUGUUCUUCAUAAGUUUUGCUUUUUGGACCACUUUUUGGGUUUUUGGUUCAAAGUUGGAGACUUUAUGUGCAAAGAGUCUCCAUAAGCUUAGAUCUGACCUUUUCUAGUGUAUAAUGUGUUGAGGAGUCAUAAACAUCUAGUCUUGGAUGUGGAUCUUGUGUCAUGCAUGAGUUAUAGUCUCAUUAUGGAAAGAGGAAAGGUGUUUUGAGCACAAAGUGACCUUUACAACCAUGCAAAGGCUUAAAGGUUUCAACUUUAUGGAUUAAGUCACAUUAGAGGAGUUAGAUCUGAAGUUUGGAUGCAAGUCUUAACUAAUUAAGACCUGAAUGAGAUGGAUAAGGAAACUGGGCAUUACGCUUGGCGUAAUCCCAGUACGCGCGGCGUAAGCAGCUGCGCACCCCAUUUCUGUGAAGGCUCCGGGUACGCCCAGCGUAACCCGGGGGGUUGACUUUUAGGGUUUGGUCAAUUUUAGUGUAAUUGAGCCUCGAGUGGCGUAUGUGUUGUAUGUGGUAUUUUGGGGAACUCACUAAGCAAUUAUGCUUACAGUUGUUGUGUUAUGUGUUUCAGGUACUAGCGAGGACCGUGGGAAGGCGUCGGCGUGACUCGUACACACUAGAGGAGGGAUUUGUUUUUGUGAUCUUGGGAUAUGUUAUAUUUUGAUAACUAUGGUUGAAUACUUUUGAGAAUAUAUUUAUAUAAAUUUGGUUGUUGAAAAAUGAAAAUUUGUUUUGAAAAUCACGUUGUUACACCCAUGUAAGAAAGCAAUUUUUACAUCCAUCUAAUAGACCUUGAAGUUCUUGAUUGAAGCAAAAGCACGAAACACUCUAAUUUCCUUAAGUUGAGCAAUGGGAGCAAAGGUUUCAUCAUAGUCCAAACCUUCUAGCUGACAAAAUCUCCGUGCCACCAGUCUAGCCUUGUUUCUUACAACAAUCUCAUAUUUAUCCAUCUUGCUUCUGAAAACUGAACAAGUACUAAUGAUAGUUUUUUGUUAAGGCUCAGGGACAAAUGUCCGUACGUGAUGACGUUCAAACUCAUUCACUUCGUCUUAUAUGGACUUUCAUCAGAAUUUUGUUCACCCUUUAAUCCAUUAGGUUUUCCAGCCCAAAAACCAACUAUCACCCAUUUGACAGUUUAAGCCCCUAUAUUUAAUUAAUCUCUUUUGGCCACCAAAUUAAUUCCUAAUUAAUUUAUGACUAAUAUUAAUUUAAUAAUAUGAUUUUCCUUUUAAUAUAUUAAUCACACAAUAUAUUAAUAAAUCAUAAUUUCCUCUCUCUCUCUCUCUCUAUAAAUUACCUUGUAAAGUUGGUUUGGUGAAGGCAACCCAAAAGGACCAUACACAACCGGGUCAAGUUUAUACCAAAUAUAGUUUCGGGAUUAGACACUAAUCCAACAGUCUCCCACUUGGAUAAGUCUGAUAACUAUAUCUCACAUAUGACUUCAGGAUCCGAUUAGCAAUCGUAGCUCUUAUACGCUGUUGUCACCUCUGAUCAAAAUCCUAUCCUUUAGAUAACGGAUCGUAUAAUCCUCUGUUCUAGAUAUCAUGCUGACAAUCACAUGGAACUUAGUCAUACUUAUUAUUCAGCACAUUGUUCCUCGAUCUCCGAUUUGUUUGACAUGGAACUUAGUUGAACACAUCAACUUUUUCCUGACCGGGCCCAGCACAUAAGUCAAACCAAAUCAUCAAGUGGCCAGAUAUCGCUUUCAUCCUCUUGGAAUAAAAGGAAAAGAUAAACUUCGACUCAUAUGCUUUUAUUAUUCACUGGCUAACUCAUACACAACAAUACGUUCUAUAACAUCAAGUUACUGAUGCGUUUACCCAUUAUCAAUGCACAACCAACCAACAAAUAAUAACCAUAUCUCUAGGUUUAAACGUUAUAUGAUAUUAUCGUCUUGCGAUCAUUCGUGAUAAAUUCCAUGAAGUGAUACCAGCAAGCGCGGGUUUAUUCGAAUUCUCAAAUCAUAAUUCAUAAGCACUCAUGAGCUUUGCAGCAAACCUUUGCCAUGCCUAAAACCUUUUAGACAAUCUUCAAACAAAUUCAUGACAGUCUUCUUUCAUAUCUACUUCCAACAUAUGAGCGAUUGUGGACUGUUUGAAUAAUCUUAUUAUUCAGGAAGUCAAAACAUGCAAAAUUGAAACAAUAGAUAAAUAAUCAACACAAGAUAGUAGCUUUACUCAUAAACAAUACACCUUUAUUUAUUCAUCAAAUGUCAAGUACAAAUUAUCUAUUACACAUUUCCUAUUUAUCUAAUUUAAACUUAUAUCGUCCUUCAGCCCUAUGCUCCUCGCAUGCCGCAAGUGCUUAACCCUACUUAGUCCCUUUGUAAGGGGAUCUGCUGGGUUAUCUUCUGACGAUACCCUCUUCACCACGAGGGGUCCAGCUUCUACCCGAUGUCUAAUGAAGUGAUAUUUUCUGUCAAUAUGUCUGGAUCUGCCGUGAUCCCUUGGUUCCUUGGUCAAGGAAACCGCACCUUCAUUAUCACAGAAAAUCUCCAUAGGCUCCUUUAUGGAUGAAAAAACUCCAAGGUCUCCAAUGAAGUUAUUCAACCAUAUUGCCUCCUUUGAUGCUUCACUUGCCGCAAUGUAUUCUGAUUCACACAUUGAAUAAGCUAUCGUCUCUUUCUUGGAACUUUUCCAACUCACUGCCCCUCCGUUAAGGGUAAAGACCCAGCCAGACUGCGAGCGGUAAUUAUCCCGAUCCGUCUGAAAACUAGCGUCACUGUACCCUCGUACCCUUAAGUCAUCACUCCCACCGAGGACUAGAAACCAUUCCUUGGUCCUCCGAAGGUACUUAUGAAUAUUCUUAACUGCAGUCCAAAGAGCUCUACCGGGGUUUCCCUGAUAUCUGCUUACCAUGGUUAAAGCGAAGGCCACAUCAGGGCGAGUACAAGUCACAGCGUACAUGAUUGAGCCAACUGCGGAAGCGUAAGGUACUUGGCUUAUCUCUACUAUCUCUGCCUCUGUACUUGGUCUCUGAGUCUUAGCUUGGUAUUGCUUUGGAUUGGCAAUUCCCCUUUCUUGGAAUUUUCCUUCCUAAAACGUUUUAGUACCUUAUCCAAGUAUGUAUCCUGACUGAGUCCUAUCAGUCUCUUAUUCCUGUUUCUUACUAUCCUUAUUCCCACAAUAUACACAGCUUCUCCGAGGUCCUUCAUAGCGAAGCACUUCCCAUGCUAGGACUUGACUUCCUGCAAGGGUGGGAUGUUGUUUCCUAUGAGUAGUAUGUCAUCGACAUACAAUACGAGGAAGCUCACUAUACUCCCACUGGCUUUGACAUAUACACAUGACUCAUCUUCGCUUCACAGAAAACCAAAAUCUUUGACCUUCUCGUCGAAACAAAGAUUCCAUCUGCGAGACGCUUGCUUCAAUCCAUAGAUGGAUUUCUCAAGCUUGCACACUCUAUUGGGGUGCUUCGCAUCGACAAAAUCCUCUGGCUGUUUCAUGUAAACAUCCUCAGCUAACUUCCCAUUAAGGAAAUUAGUUUUAACGUCCAUCUGCGAUAUUUCAUAGUCAUGAAAUGCAGCUAUUGCGAGCAUCACCCUAAUUGUCACAACUAGCAUUUUUAGCUAGGAAAUUCUAUUCUCAUAUUAACAUCAUCCAUUGUAAGAGCAUGUACUCUAAGUGAAUACCAUACUCUAUCCUCAUUCAAAAUACACCUCAUAUGUUCAACUAAGGAUUGGAAACCUUAGUAAUCCCGGUCCAAGUUCCUUAUGAACUAAAAUUCUCCUAUUGGGCCUAGAAGCCCUAAGUGGGCUCUAUAUAGACCACAUUCAUAAAAAUUUAGCAAUUUGGGCCAUGUGGGCCUAAAAUAAUCCAUCUUACCUCUAAUGAGCCUUGUUGGGCCAUAAAAGAUUUCGUUUGUCCCAAUGGGGCCGAAAAUUUACCUUUGGGCUUCAUAAAUUCGAGUAUGGGCCCCAAGAUGAUUCCUUUCCUUUCUCCUUAGCCCAAAUCAGCCCAUGUUUUUUAAAAAAAAAAAAGAGAAAAGAAUGGAUAAAUGAAGACUAGACAUGCAUGUGACAACUCAUGUUUAACCACCAUGUAUCUAUGGUAGCAUCUCAUGUUUCAAGGCAAACUAUUACCUCACAAAUAACAAGGUUAUGAUCUCUCUCUCCUCUCUCUCCAUAUUCUCGGCCAACCCUCUCACCACCUUCAUUUUUCAUUCAAAAACUCUCUUAAACACUCUCAAAUACCUCUUCCAUCCUCCAUCAAAAAUCUCGAGUUGGUGUGUGCUUUCAAGAGGAUUCUCCACCAAAAAUCACCAUCCUAGGUAAGUUUUUACUUAUAUCCAUGGUUUAGCUUCUUGAUUUCUUCAAAAAUCUCCUCUUAACCCUCUCCAUUUCGUGAAUCAUACAUCCUAGAGCCAUCUAAGUUGUAAAGCUCCUCAAGAAGCUUGCUAGGGCCGAAAUCUUCUCUCAAAUCUUCAUCAAAAUCAAAUCCAAAUCUCAAGGUGAGCUUCAUACCCCCUAUUUUCUGUUUUUAUGAGUUUUGUGGUGGGGGGGGGGGAAUACGAGUGAAAGUGUAGAUCUAUAUGUGUUUUGUAUGCCUUGUAUGAUUUCCAUGCUUAUAUGUAUGCUUUUGUGUGUUAUAAUGUUGGAUCUAGCCAUAAAACCCCUCAAAACCGAGAUAUAUCUUAUGUUAAAUGAUUUUAGCAUCAAAUAUAUUUCUACAUACAAAGUGUUUCAAGAAAAAUAGCUAAGUGGUUUAGUAACAAUUUUCUUUGGGCUAAAAACACAAAUUUUGGGCCUAAAAUGUGAAAAAUACAAAAUUAAGGGCCCAAAUUGACAUAUCACGAAUUCUGAUGGAUGAAGUGUGUCAAAACAGUUUCAAUAAAACAAUUUCUGGAAAUAUACUCAUUUAGAGGAUUAAAAACAUAAAUUUCAAGCUUAAUGGGCUAAAAAUGACAAUUUCGGCCCAAUGAGGCCCAUUAUGCGAAUUUUUCUGUUUUGGAGGGCCAAAACUGUGAUUUUCUGUAAAACAGUGGACCAUAAGUGAUCCAAGUCCUUUUCAAAGGUUUAAAAUGCUUUUUAAAUUUAAAAAGGACCAAAGUUGCAAAAAUUUUACAAUUUGGGCCAAAAUUGUCAAAAUUGCGAAAAGAAGGGUUAUAACCGAGAAAACUGAAAUUUCAGGGACUUAAGCUGUUUUCUAUGAAAAAUAUGCUGGAAAAUAUUUAUUUCAAUAAUUUUUGGUGUUAAAAUGUCAAGAAAAUUGAUUUAAGGACCAAACCGGAAAGUAUUUAAAUAAAGGGUUGAAAAAGUAAAUUUUACAAACAAGGAGGGGCUGAAAACAGAAAAUUUUCAAGACUAAUUCAAUACAUGCAAUUUGACCAAAUAAUGGUACCACGACUAUCGACAAAAUACAAUACAUUACAACACCAAAAGUCGUUGUUAAACGAAUUGGUUCGGUCUCGAACCAAUAAAAAUCCGAAACUACUAACACGACGACACUAUGAUACUACAACACUACGAUUCAUACAAAUAACGAUUUGGAAUUCAUUAUACAUGCGAAUGUGCACAGACGUCUACGCACUAUCUUUGGGCCCCACAAGUGUAAAAUCUUGUUCGUUGAGCCUAGCUAGCCCAACGACCUGAUCUUAAGGCCCGAAGACUUCAAUCUUACGAAGUGUUGGGUUUUACCGAUCCGACACGACGUAACCGGACUUUCAAUGGCUUGUAGACUACUGGUCCCCAAGGGUCCUUUAGUGUCGCUAGUAGAGUCUGCCUUUUAUGCGAGGCGGGUCUGGGACCCCUCGUACCUUUUUAUCCCCAACCGGCUAAUGGAGUCAUCGAGGCCUUCGUGUCCUCUUUCUCUUCGGAUGUGGGACUACACGUAGUCAGGGCGGUUGGAUAACGUGAUUAGUACGGACGACGCCUACGGGAUCGUUAGUAUUGCUAUAGACUAGUCGUUUGUGUAACGCGUGUUUGUAGCAGAUAAUCAUGCUCAAAAAUAAUCCAAUGUCGCCUGGUAAUGAUAACUUCAUGCGUUGCAAUGGUUUCAAUGUAAAUUCAUGGAAUUCAAAGAAUUAGGAAAACAUCGGGUUUUCCUAGGGUUUUCAAUACAUACAGAUUCGAAAUACCUACAAUUUCAAUAAACAAUUUUUACAAGUAUAGAAAACAAACAAGCAUACCUAUGGAUCUUCACACCUUUUUGACUAUACUAUUUUCAGAAAAUAUCGGAUUUUCUGGUGGUUUUCAAACGAUACGAAACAUUGUUUUCAAAUACAACUUAUGAACUCACCAACAUUUCAUAUGUUGACGUUUUUCAAAAUGCUUGUAUUCUCAGGGAACCAGUGAAUCAAAGGAAAUCAUAUUCAGUGAUGGCUUGCAGUUUAUUUUUUUACCAAUCGAACAAUUUAUUUUGGGGAAUGUAAUGUUUAAACAAUGUACUUCAUGUAAACUUUACUGGUUGUACUAUAUUAAUGCAUGGUGACGAAUGUUGUUACGUUUCAUAUAUAUACAAUGUUAUGGUAUUCAAUUGAGUCACGACAGCCCCCGAACGUUUCCGCCGCCUGGUUUGGGGGUGUGACANNNNNNNNNNNNNNNNNNNNNNNNNNNNNNNNNNNNNNNNNNNNNNNNNNNNNNNNNNNNNNNNNNNNNNNNNNNNNNNNNNNNNNNNNNNNNNNNNNNNNNNNNNNNNNNNNNNNNNNNNNNNNNNNNNNNNNNNNNNNNNNNNNNNNNNNNNNNNNNNNNNNNNNNNNNNNNNNNNNNNNNNNNNNNNNNNNNNNNNNNNNNNNNNNNNNNNNNNNNNNNNNNNNNNNNNNNNNNNNNNNNCUAGGAACCUAAAAUCAUACCCCUUAAUCUCCAAGAAGGGAACCUCAACUGAAUCUAUGCAAUAGUCGUAGAGCUCUAGGAGUAAUUGGUAAGCUAUUUGUUUCUAGUAUUCAUAGCCCAUCGUGCAAUACGCUAUAGACGAGUAUCAUUAGCCAGGAAACCCUAUCUCCUUAGCCAAGGAAUAGUCGGGUGGCUCGACCCAGAGGAAGAACCCCAGGAGGGACAUGAAGUAGAACUCGCAGGUGAACCCGCUGAGUCAAUAGUGGACCUCGAAGAGGAAGAGCCGGAGGGCAAUGACGAUGACGACACGGAUGUAGAAUCCAAUGACAUCAAUCCUCCAUGUAAAUCCAGGGCACCGACUUAUAGUGUGGGCCCCGGUGACCCCAUGCCCCCUCGGGCACCCGAUAUUUGGGGAUAAAGUCACCAGUAGGGAAUACGACCACACCACGGUAAGAGCUGAGGUCUCUUUAAUUUUAGCCACAGAGGACCAGCUGACCAGGCCCUCCCAGUCGUGGUGCAACGCACUCGAGGUAUUGAUAACCAAGCUCAGGACAUCCCAAAUCGAACGAAACAAAUAUGGUUUGUUACUAAGAGGGACGAAAGGAAAACACGGGAGGUGAAUGGAGACUCUCGAGCGGGACAGUUAGUUGGGAGGCACACCUACGAGAUACCGAGCAACAAGUAGCUCGUCUCCGAGGUGCAUCCACUUCAUCAGCAUCACCACCAGACACUUCUCGCCACGACUAGGAUCAGCCUUUUCUAAUUUCCCCUACUAUCCGACAUGACUCUCUUUCGUGUACUAAGAUGGUACAUACCCCUGAAACGAUUAUGUGUUAUAUUUAUUUCAUAUUGCUGCAAAGACUCAAUUAUAUGCACAAGCGAACCCUCGGAACCACUAGAUACUUAAGGAUCUCGAAACUAAAACAACCCAUAUAACCUAAGGAUAGACGUAACAAUCGUGCCAAAUCAAUGAUUACCUAUUACCGCAAAUACAUCAUAGGGAUGUAGAUGGAGGCAGUAAGAAUUAUACAACAAGAUGCAAAAGAAAAAUUUAUAGAGUACAACCAGUAAUGACGAUCAUUACUUACGAUCUGGGUUAUCAAUGUGCAUCAGGAAAAUGCCAUCCCGCAAGAAUAACAAGCGCACCCGCGAGACACCACUCCUGCAGAUGGACUCUGCUACAUUUCAAGCUGCUGUAAUGGCAGCAGUAACCGCUGCUAUGGCACAGAUCAAUGCAAACAACCCUAAUGGAGGCAGGAAUAGCAUUGACAACUCCAGCCAAAGGAACAAACAUGGAAACCAACAAGUGACAACCUGUCAAGGAACUCCAAACCCCAAGCUUAAGAGCAGGAAGCUGAGGUCUGGAGGUAAGAGAAAGGGACAACACACUCAAGGGUUCUCAAGGGAGCAACGUGUUGUUGCUGUUCAUGCGACCACGACCACUAUUACACCAGCAACCAGGAGACCAUAUGCUGGAAACCUUCCAAAAUGCAACCAGUGCAAAUUCCAUCAUAAUGGAGCCUGCAGGGAGAUGCAUUGUAACAAAUGCAACCGAAAGAAUCACAUCGCCAAAUUCUGUAGAACUUAUCCAUGCCAGAAUCGUCAGCCAAAUGAAAACGACAACAAUCGCAACAACCCUAACAACAACACCAAUGAUGAGACCAGUCGCACCUGCUAUAGGUGUGGAGGAACUGGCCACAUCAGGCGCAAUUGCCCUAGGAAUAACGAUCGAGGAGCAGAAGGAUCAGAAAUGGUCCUGACCUUGGGUCAAGGCGAAGCAAUCCAAAACCCAACAAUUGUUACUGGUACGUUCCCACUUGACAACUCUUUUGCUUACCUCUUAUUCAAUGGUAAAUCCGAGUGAAGUUUUGGUUAGUAACAACUUCAAACACUUACUAAAACAACAUCCCCAAAGCUAAGCUAAGCCUUUUCAAUGGACAUGGCCAAAGGGGAAAAAUGAUUUAAUCUAGGGUACUCAUGUGGAGUACGCCUUAACACUAAACGACCAUUCAUUACAAAUAGAUUUCAUGCCAGUAAAUAUUAGGAGUUUUAAUGUGAUAAUCGUCAUGGUUGGGUAAGCCCCCACCGUGCUGAUACUAUGUGCCGCGAGAAGGCCGUUUGCCUUCACCUUCCUAAUCACGAAAACUCUAAUAAUCCAUGGUGAUAAACCUGGCGCUAAUCCUCUUCCUAUCUCGUGCAUCAAGGCACAGAAGUGCCUGCACCAGAAGAACUACGUUUUCCUCACUCAUGUUGUGGACAAGACCAAAGAAGAGGUAGGCAUACAGGGUAUUCCAGUAGCUUGUGAUUUUCCCAAAUGUGUUUCCUAAGGAACUUUCGGGAAUACCCCAGAGAGACGGGUUGAAUUUCGAAUCAACCUCAUAUCGGUAACCACAUCAAUUGCCAAUUCACCCUAUAGGUUGACUCCCGCCAAAAAUUCNUUCACCCUGGAGAGCUCUGGUCUCGUUCUUCAAGAAGACGGAUCCUUCAAAAGGCACAUCGAUUUUAGGAAAUUGAAUAAGCUCCCUAUAGAAAAUCGAUACCCACUUCCUCGGACUGACGAUCUAUUUGGCAAGCUCCAAGGAGCUAGUUGCUUCUCUAAAAAUAGAUCUAAGAACCGGUUAUCAUCAACUUCGAGUCCGAGAAGAGGACAUUCCAAAAACUGCCUUCCGAACUUGUCACGACCAUUUCAAAUUCAUUGUGAAACCCUUCGGUCUAACGAAUGCUCCCAUGGUUUUCAUGAGCCUUACGAACCAAGUUUCCCAACCAUUCUUAGUUAGCCCUUUCACUAUUUUCAUCAAUAACAUACUUAUCUGCUCACAAAGCGAGAACGAAACACUAUCAUCAUCUACGACCAGCCUAGAAAGCAUCAAGGCUGGGAAUGUCGCGAUGAAAGCACUACAUGGAUGGAUAAGACUCUCGAAGUCGAAAGACGAAGCUUUUUGUUAUAAGAGUUGAGUUGGGCGUUAUCUGGGUGAUCGUCGAUAGGUUAACCCAAUCUGCUCAUUUCCUGCCAAGACAGAAAUCAAACAAAAUGGAGGGAUUAGCUUGGAUCUAUAUCCAGGAAAUCGUGAGACUCCAUGAAAUAUCGGUAUCUACUAUCUCGGAUCGAGAUAACAGAUUUUCUUCAAGACUAUGGCAGUCAUUUCAGAGGGCUAUGGGAACAUAACUAGACAUAAGCGUUGCUUACCACCUUCAAACCAAUAGCCAAAGUGAACGAAAUAUUUGACCACUCAAAUUCAUGCUACAAGUCUAGGUGUGGGAAUUCAACAAGUCAGGGGAUACCCGGUUUCCCUUGACUAAAUUCUCAUACAAUAACAACUAUCGCACGAGCAUCAAGGAUGCUCCUUUCGAAAACUCAUUAUAGUCAUAAAUGUAUAUCACUCGGUGGUACUUUCAUGAGACCGGAAACCACUAACGAAACAACAGAAGAAGAUAAUCCAAAUCAAAGCUGGAUUUCAAUGCAUCGCGAGACCGACAGAAGAGCUAUUCUAAAAAGCAGCGUAAGCCAUUAGGAUGUCAAGUCGGGGAUCGCGUGUUAUCAAAAGAAUCUCCUUGGAAAGGGAUGAUUCGCUUUAGGAAACGAGAAAACUAAACCCACGAUACAUCGGACUGUUCGAGCUUCUUGCUAGGAUUGAAGACAUAUAGACUGUAGCUGCUUGUAGAGCUUAGCAACGUGAACCCUGUGUUCUGUGUCUUGAAUCUGAAAAGAUACAUAUCAUAUGAGUCUCUUAUCAUUCCUUUACGAGAAAUCAGAGUAAGCGAGGAUCACAUGUUCAUCAAAGAACCAGUCAAGGUAUUGAAUAGGGAAGUAGAACAUACAAAACAAAGCCCCAUUAUGAAUGCGAAGAUUCCAUGGAAUCCUAAGCUUGGACCGAAAUGCACAUGGGAAACGUGAAGAUCAGAUGAAGUGCCUAUUCUCUCAUUCACGAACCUAUCCUUAGAAAGAAUUUCGGGACGAAAUUCCCUCUAACGGGGGGAUGAUGUCACAACUAGCAUUUUUAGCUAGGAAAUUCUAUUCUCAUAUUAACAUCAUCCAUUGUAAGAGCAUGUACUCUAAGUGAAUACCAUACUCUAUCCUCAUUCAAAAUACACCUCAUAUGUUCAACUAAGGAUUGGAAACCUUAGUAAUCCCGGUCCAAGUUCCUUAUGAACUAAAAUUCUCCUAUUGGGCCUAGAAGCCCUAAGUGGGCUCUAUAUAGACCACAUUCAUAAAAAUUUAGCAAUUUGGGCCAUGUGGGCCUAAAAUAAUCCAUCUUACCUCUAAUGAGCCUUGUUGGGCCAUAAAAGAUUUCGUUUGUCCCAAUGGGGCCGAAAAUUUACCUUUGGGCUUCAUAAAUUCGAGUAUGGGCCCCAAGAUGAUUCCUUUCCUUUCUCCUUAGCCCAAAUCAGCCCAUGUUUAAUAAAAAAAAAAAGAGAAAAUAAUGGAUAAAUGAAGACUAGACAUGCAUGUGACAACUCAUGUUUAACCACCAUGUAUCUAUGGUAGCAUCUCAUGUUUCAAGGCAAACUAUUACCUCACAAAUAACAAGGUUAUGAUCUCUCUCUCCUCUCUCUCCAUAUUCUCGGCCAACCCUCUCACCACCUUCAUUUUUCAUUCAAAAACUCUCUUAAACACUCUCAAAUACCUCUUCCAUCCUCCAUCAAAAAUCUCGAGUUGGUGUGUGCUUUCAAGAGGAUUCUCCACCAAAAAUCACCAUCCUAGGUAAGUUUUUACUUAUAUCCAUGGUUUAGCUUCUUGAUUUCUUCAAAAUCUCCUCUUAACCCUUUCCAUUUCGUGAAUCAUACAUCCUAGAGCCAUCUAAGUUGUAAAGCUCCUCAAGAAGCUUGCUAGGGCCGAAAUCUUCUCUCAAAUCUUCAUCAAAAACCAAAUCCAAAUCUCAAGGUGAGCUUCAUACCCCCUAUUUUCUGUUUUUAUGAGUUUUGUGGGGGGGGGGAAUACAAGUGAAAGUGUAGAUCUAUAUGUGUUUUGUAUGCCUUGUAUGAUUUCCAUGCUUAUAUGUAUGCUUUUGUGUGUUAUAAUGUUGGAUCUAGCCAUAAUACCCCUCAAAACCGAGAUAUAUCUUGUGAAAAAUGAUUUUAGCUUCAAAUAUAUUUCUACAUACAAAGUGUUUCAAGAAAAAUGGCUAAGUGGUUUAGUAACAAUUUUCUUUGGGUUAAAAACACAAAUUUUGGGCCUAAAAUGUGAAAAAUACAAAAUUAAGGGUCCAAAUUGGCAUAUCACGAAUUCUGAUGGAUGAGGUGUGUCAAAACAGUUUCAAUAAAACAAUUUCUGGAAAUAUACUCAUUUAGAGGAUUAAAAACAUAAAUUUCAAGCUUAAUGGGCUAAAAAUGACAUUUUCGGCCCAAUGAGGCCCAUUAUGCGAGAUUUUCUGUUUUGGAGGGCCAAAACUGUAUUUUUCUGUAAAACAGUGGACUAUAAGUGUUCCAAGUCCUUUUCAAAGGUUUAAAAUGCUUUUUAAAUUUAAAAAGGACCAAAGUUGCAAAAAUUUUACAAUUUGGGCCAAAAUUGUCAAAGUUGCGAAAAAGAAGGGUUAUAACCGAGAAAACUGAAAUUUCAGGGACUUAAACUGUUUUCAUUGAAAAAUAUGCUGAAAAAUAUCAAUUUCAAUAAUUUUUGGUGUUAAAAUGUCAAGAAAAUUGAUUUAAGGACCAAACCGGAAAGUAUUUAAUUAAAGGGUUGAAAAAGUAAAUUUUACAAACAAUGAGGGGCUGAAAACAGAAAACUUUCAAGGCUAAUUCAAUACACGCAAUUUGAUCAAAUAAUGGCACCGCGACUAUCGACGAAAUACAAUACACUACAAUACCAAAAUCGUUGUGAAACGAAUUGGUUCGGUCUCGAACCAAUAAAAAUCCGAAACUACUAACACGACGACACUACGAUUCAUACAAAUAACGUUUGGGAAUUCAAUAUACAUGCGAGUGUGCACAGACGUCUACGCACCAUCUUUGGGCCCCAAAAGUGUAAAAUCUUGUUUGUUGGGCCUAGCUAGCCCAAUGACCUGAUCUUAAGGCCCGAAGACCUCUAUCUUACGAAGUGUUGGGUUUUACCGAUCUAACACAACGUAAAAGGACUUUCAAUGGCUUGUAUACUACUGGUCCCCAAGGGUCCUUUGGUAUUGCUAGUAAAGUCUACAUUUCAUGCGAGGCGGGUCUGGGACCCCUCGUACAUUUUUUUCUCCAACCGGUUAAUGGAGUCAUCGAGGUCUUCGUGUCCUCUUUCUCUUCGGAUGUGGGACUACACAUAGUCAGGGCGGUUGGAUAACGUGAUUAGUACGGACGAUGCCUACGGGAUCGUUAGUAUUGCUAUAGACGAGUCGUUUGUGUAACACGUGUUUGUAGCAGAUAAUCAUGCUCAAAAAUAAUCCACUGUAGUCUGGUAAUGAUAACUUCAUGCGUUGCAAUGGUUUCAAUGUAAAUUCAUGGAAUUCAAAGAAUUAGGAAAACAUCGGGUUUUCCUAGGGUUUUCAAUACAUACAGAUUCGAAAUACAUACAAUUUCAAUAAACAAUUUUUACAACUAUAGAAAACAAACAAACAUACCUAUGGAUCUUCACACCUUUUUGACUAUACUAUUUUCAGAAAAUAUCGGAUUUUCUGGUGGUUUUCAAACAAUACAAAACAUUGGAUUUCAAACACUACUUAUGAACUCACCAACAUUUCAUAUGUUGACGUUUUUCAAAAUGCUUGUAUUCUCAGGGAACCAGUGAAUCAAAGGAAAUCAUAUUCAGUGAUGGCUUGCAGUUUAUUUAUGUACGAAUAGAACAAUUUAUUUUGGGAAUGUAAUGUUUAAACAAUGUAUUUCAUGUAAACUCUACUGGUUGUACUAUAUUAAUGCAUGGUGACGAAUGUUGUUACGUUUCAUAUAUAUACAAUGUUAUGGUAUUCAAUUGAGUCACGACAGCCCCCGAACGUUUCCGCCGCCUGGUUUGGGGGUGUGACACUAAUAGACUUUAUUUUCGCGACUGGUGAAAAGGUCUCAUCAUAGUCAACCCCUGGAGUUUGUGUAAAUCCCUUCGCAACCAAUCGUGCUUUAUAAGUGUGUACUUUCCCAUCCAUGUCCGUCUUCUUCUUAAAGAUCCAUUUGCACCCGACCGUCUUACGACAUGGUACAUUAUCAAACAAAUUCCAAACUUGGUUGUCGUACAUAGACUGAAUCUCACUGUCCAUUGCUUCUUUCCAUUUAGCAGACUUCGGGCCUGCCAUGGCUUCCUUGUAGUUGCUAGGUUCAUCCAAAUUUACUAGUGUACUAUCACUAAUAAAUGUAUCCCCUUCAGUAGUAAUAUGGAAUCCAUAAAACUGGGGUGGAACACUAGCCCUACUUGAAUGUCUAAGAGGUAAUUACUCGUCAACAGGUUCAAUAGGAGAUUCCUACUCAGGUUGAUCGCCAGUGUUAGAGGUUCCUUCAUCACUCGACUCAUGAAGCUCUUCAAGAUCGAUUUUCCUCCCACUGUACCCUUGGCCUAUGAGUUCUCUCUCUAGGAGAACCCCUCUCCUUGCAACGAAGACAACAUUGUCACUCGGUCUAUAGAAGAGAUAUCCGAAGGAUGUUUGCGGGUAGCCGAUGAAAAUACAUCACUCAUUACGAGGUUUGAGCUUGUCGUGAGUCUCUCGUCUUACGAAAGCCUCGCAACCCCAAACCUUGAUAUGUGCCAACGAGGGAGCUUUCCCUGUCCACAUCUCGUGAGGUGUUUUGGCAACCUUCUUCAUGGGAACUAGGUUAAGGAUAUGGGUAGCAGUCUCUAAGGCAUACCCCCAUAAAGCUAUUAGUAACGAAGUCCGACUCAUCAUAGAAUGAACCAUGUCCAACAAGGUCCGAUUACAUCUCUCAGCCACACCGUUCAAUUGUGGCGUCCUAGGAGGCGUCAAUUGCGAAACAAUUCUACAUUCCUUUAGAUAGUCGUGAAACUCAAGACUUAGGUACUCUCCUCCUCGGUCUGACCGAAGCAUCUUGAUUUUCCUGCCCAGCUGAUUCUCCACUUCAUUCUUAAACUCUUUGAACUUUUCAAAGGUUUCUGACUUUUGCUUUAUUAAGUAUAUAUAUUCAUAUUUGCUAUAAUCAUCUGUAUAAGUCAUGUAGAAGCGGCAAGCAUCCCUUGUGGUGGAUCUAAAGGGCCCACAAACAUUUGUGUGUAUGAGAUCCAAUAGACCCUCACCCUUUGAACAAGUGCCAGUAAAGGGUGACUUGGUCAUCUUCCCAAGUAAACAAGACUCACAUGUGUCAUCGUCCCUAAGGUCGAAUGACUCCAACACUCCAUCCUUUUGGAGUUGGGCUAUUCAUUUCUUGUUGACAUGGCCAAGGCGACAAUGCCACAAGUAUGAUUUGUCCAAACUAUUGGACGAAUCAAUAUUCAACACAUCAUUUCCUAAGUUGUCCACAACAAACACAAAUUCAUAUAUUCCAUUACAAGGUAGUGCAUUAAAAUAGAAAACACCAUCAAGAUAAACAUUAAUAGAACCAAUUAUAUUGUCAAAUGAAUAUCAAAACCCUUGUCUAUAUAAUCCAUGAAAAGAAAUGAUGUUCCUUGCCAUGUCUGGCGAAUAGCAACAAUUAUUUAAAUCUAAACCUAACCCAUUACUCAACACUAAGGAAUAAACUCCGAUCUUAGUAACUGGUGACGAUCUUCUGUUUCCCAUGACCAAGUUUAUCGUUCCAUGCUCCACUUCCCUACCUUUUCUUAGGCCCUACAAAUCAGAACAAAUGUGGAAACCACAUCCAGUAUCAAGAACCCAUGAAGUAGCAAGUGAUGAGUUAUUAGAUUUAAUUGAAUACAUACCUGCGAAAGUGGGCUUUAUCUUCCCAUCCUUAAUAUCUUGCAAAUAUUUUGGGCAACUUCGUUUCCAGUGGCCCUUCUCAUGGCAGUAAAAGCACUCUACAUCCUUAGGGACAGAAGAUGGUUUAGCAGAACCAACUUUGGUCCCACUAGAAGAGGAACCAUCUUGGGACUUCCUAUUUUGGUGGCUCUUAGAAGGAGCCUUCCUCUUCUUACACUUUCCUUGCCCAAUUGCUAAUAUAGGGACCGAUUCAGUAGGAAUAGAUGCAAUAGAUUUAUCCUUUAGGUUGCUCUCAGCAGUUCUCAACAACCCUUGAAGCUUGCUCAAAGUGACCUCCUCUUUGUUCAUGUGGUAUGUCAUUCUGAAGUAUUUGUAGCACGAAGUCAAGGAGUGGAGGAUGAUGUUGAUAGCCAAAUCCUCAUCAAAGUUAACAAUUAACUUUAGAAGAUGAUCAACAUACCUCUGCAUCUUCUGCAAAUGCGAGGUUAGGGAUUCUCCACUCCCCAUCCUAGCGGUCAUCAUGUUAGUGAUGAUCUCAUAGCGCUCUUGCCUCAUGCUUUGGUGGUACCUAUCCAUUAAAUCUUGAUGUAUCUCGAAUGGAUACAUGUCCUCGUAGGACUUUUAGAGUUUUGCAUUCAUAGUCGCGAGCAUGAUGCAAUGAACCUUCGUAGUAUCACGCUCAUGUGCCUCAAAGGCAACAAUUUCUUCAGGAGUGGCAAUGUCUGGAUUGAUCUUUUCAAGCUUCUCGUCGAGGACAUACUCCUUGUCCUCGUAGCGAGUGAUCAUCCGAAUGUUUCGGAUCCACUCGUUGAAGUUGUUGCCAUUAAAGAUCACUUUCCCACACAAAUUCAUGAGUAAGAAUCACCAUUAGCCGCAGGAGCGUUGUUCUUGUUUGCGUUAGACAUCUGAAAAUAGAAAAGGACAAGUUUGAUUAGAAUGAAUCCCCAAUUAAUCACUAAAAUGAGAAAUUAGGGCUAGGAUCCAACAACAUUAUUUACAACUUAGAAAAGAGAUGUCGUAAUCUAAAAGCAAAUAAUCUGAAGGUAAGUGAAUGACGAUUCACUAAUUUUCCACCAUGAAAAACAAAAGAAGAUUAUGUUUUAAAUGUUUUAUGAAAAACUCCUAGAUCUUUGAGNUGGAUUUGAAAUUCCUAGAUUCUUUUGAGAUUCAUUGAACUUUUCAAUGGCAUGUUUCAAUCUCGAUGUGCCCUUCAAUUUUGUGACUAGGAUACCGAGGAUCACAAACAAGGUGUGAAUAACCAUGCGAAUCAACAUGGUGCACUCAAUGUCACUAUCACCUAAUCAAUAUGUCGGUUAGCCACACACAUUCCAUUGAUCUAUGAUAAACAUUGAGCCACCCUUCGCAACUAAUGUCAACCCCAAAUUAGUGUGUCGGUUAACCACACAUGCUGAACUAACGUUUGAUAAGGGUACGAAGCGUAAUUCCAUGGAAUAACGUCAUUUUCACAUUUUACCCUAAAGUAACUAAGAUUGGGAAUUUGAAAAACGUUUAGUUACUUGUAAUAUUCAUUAUACUUAUAAUGAGGAAUUAAAUGCCCUAUCAUAUCCGUUCGGCUAACGACCCUCCACCAAUCAAGGAAGCGGUGGCUGAGAGUGGACACCCAUUAAGCACCAUUUUAUAGGUAGCAACCUUAUACCCCCCUUAUAGACCGGCUUCAUGAAUGAGGCCUACUAGCGAUAAAAGUAGCUUAUUCUUAUACAUAUAUAUAUAUAUAUAUAUAUAUAUAUAUAUAUAUAUAUAUAUGUGUGUGUGUGUGUGUGUGUAUUAAUCUUAUAAUAAAUAAAGUAUAAGGUUUGAAUUUUAAACUUGUAAAAUUCUAAGGGUUUGAAAUUUAAAUAAUUCAAAAUUAAACUUUUAAUCAAAAAUUUAAAUUCCAAAACUUGAGGACAAGUUUUGAACUUUUCAAAACACAAAGGAUCAAAUAACAAAUAAUAUAAAUUAAACAAUUAAUUUUGUGAUUAUCUAUAUAUGACCUCAUCCAAUGUUAUUCAUAAGAUAAUUACCAAAUAAUUUAAACAAUCAACAUUUAUCAUAUAAAGAAACUAUUAUUCAAAUGAUUUAAAAUUAUCUUUUGUUUUGGUAAGGAUAAUCAUUUAAACACAAUAAAAUUCGGAUUUUAUCAUUAAAAAACAACUUUGGCAUUUAUCCAUCAGCAAAACAGCAAUAAAUCCCGAAAAUCUUUCUGUCUGACAGCUAAACUCCUCGAGUCCACCUUGGAACUCGUCGAGUUCAACCUGCUCGUCGAGUUUAUCAGGCAGUUUGCAAUAAAAAAACGAUUUUAAAGCUUGAACAAAUAAACUAGGCAUCAAUACAAUAGAAACCAAACCAGUCUCUGAUAACACUAAUGGGUUUUACACACAAGAACUUUCCUAUGUGCUCAUGCAAACCCUAAUGCUUGGAUCUAGGUUUCUCUAUUGUACAUGCAUUGUAUCCAAGACUUACAAACCCUAAUGUAGAAUACAUAUUUCGAAAAUAUCAAUAUAUACCAGAUCUAGAUGUUUACCUCUUCAAAAAUCUUGGAUCUUCUUCUUCUUGGAGCUUAGAGUCACAAGUGUAACUCCUCUAAUGGCUUACAAACACCACACAAGCAAGAAGUCAAUAUGAGAGAGGGAAGAGACGCUAAAAAUCGGCCCUAGGGUUUCCUUGGAAUCAAGUGGCCGAAAACUGCAUGUAGGGGUCUCUAUUUCAACUGUAGGUUUCUAGGGUUUUAGUCAAAAACCCUAAUGGACAGCUUAAUCACCAAGCAGCCCAUGGAAUCUUCUGGAAUAAGGCCUAUGGAUGAAAUUAUGAUUUUCAUCAUAAUUUCGUUCACCCUUUAAUCCAUUAGGUUUCCCAACCCAAAAACCAACUAUCACGCAUUUGACAGUUUAAGCCCCUAUAUUUAAUUAAUCUCUUUUGGCCACCAAAUUAAUUUAUGACUAAUAUUAAUUAAAUAAUAUGAUUUCCCUUUUAAUAUAUUAAUCACAUAAUAUAUUAAUAAAUCAUAAUUUCCUCUCUCUCCAUAAAUUACCUUGUCAAGUUGUUUUGGUGAAGGCAACCCAAAAGGACCAUGCACAACCGGUUCAAGUUCAUACCAAAUAUAGUUUCGGGCUUAGACACUAAUCCAACAAGUUAUCGAUUCAGUUGAUGAUGCAGAGGUAUGUUAGAAAUAGCAACAUACUUUGAUUUCUUCCUAUUACAUCAUUGUCCUUUAAAGUACAUUGCAUGUAUAAGAAACAUUGAAACUAUUUCUUACAUUCAGCCCAAUACAAUUUUUGUUUUUGUGUCAGGUGAAAGUGGGAGGAGAGGUGCAAAAUAAAGGGUAGGCAAUAGAAAGAAAUGAAAGUGGUGUUGUGUGAUGUUGUAAUAGAAAGAAAUGAAAAUGAGAUGCCAUAAUAAUCAAAUAAAUGAAAUUAUAUUGCUAUUUCUUACAUUUAGCCCAAUAACAUUAUACAUUUGGCUCAACCCUUCCUAACUAUACAAUUGAAACAACAAGAUUCUAAUAGAAAGAAAUCGAAGUAUAACGCUAUAAUAACAUAUAAAUGAAAGUACAUUGAUAUUGAUCGCAUUAAUCUUAACAACAUUAUAUAUGGUGGACAUUUGAAAGUGUUGACAAAGACAAUAACACAUUGUUUGAAGAAGUGAGGAUCAUGGUUUUAAAAUAAACAAGGUGGAGCAGUUGGAAAAAAAAAUCCUACACUCAAUGUGAAAAGCACUCCUUAAUGCCAUGAGAGGUUAAACUUUCUGCACAUAUAAUAUCUAUAUUACUUUGUAUCUGUCUGCAUUAGCCCAUUAUAAAUGUCAUAUAAUUUUUGUAUUAUUUUUUUGUUUGCAUUUUUUAGAAAUUUUGUAGCCUUUAUUAUAUUUUGAUUGGACAAUCGGGAACACCUAAGAGAUGUAUAUUUUUAGUGGCUUUUUUCUUAUACUAAAUGACAAAUGAAGGAAAGAUAGUAAUAAGAUAAUUCAAUUUGAAGGAGGGUUGGUAGUAAAGGAGUAAACAUUUGGUUCUGAUUGCAUAUUUUAGGGUAUAUUGCAAAAAUUAGCUAUAAUCAGGGAAUAAAAUGUUAAAAUAACCUCAAAUAAGGACCAAAAUUGUAAGAUGGAAAAAUAAGCUCUAAUCAUUGGUCUCUAUUCAAACUAAAGGAGUAACACAGGCCCUAUUCAAAGUAAAAUAUGUAUAGUUUUAAGACAAAAAUUGGAAAAAUCAGCUAUGAUCGGGGAUUAAAAUAGUCAUUUCACUUGGAAUAAUGACACAACAUGUUACAAUAACGGCCGAUACGUAUAGUUUUAGGGUACGCACUUUUGCGUAUCAUAAAUCACUGCGUGUCAUAGUUUGCGCGUCAUUAAAGGCCUAUAUUCUAAAAGUGAACCUCAAAUAAGGACCAAGAAUGCAAUGAUAAAAGCUUUCUGGGACCAAAAUUGAAAAAAUAUAUACUCAUGGAUCAAAAUAUAAUUAAAUCAUAAUCUUAUGUUUCUUUUCUUUAGCAGGGUGUUAAGAUAGAUGAUCCACAAGUGUUUAAUGGCCAAGAGGUGGAGGUUUGGUCGCGUGUUGUGUGGAAGCCAAAAUGGGUAGUUACAUUUCUGAUGUUAAAAGGAAAUCGAUGGAAACAACAACUAUGUUUUUCAAAAAUCUACUUUGGUCAUUAGAGGUCGUAUUGUUCUUAUUGAAGAUGUGUCACUUGAUGGAACUUAGUUAUCAGUUCACUUGAUGAUUUUGAGUUAUGUUAGAAAUAGCAAUGUACUUUCAUUUACCCCAACCUAACCUAUUUAAUGAGCAGGUUGAACCUGAGUUGAUUUAUUUAAAUUUCCAAAAAUAUACCCUUGAAAAUCAACUAAGCCUUCAAACACAAUUACAUAAAACUUAAAAACUCCGAUAAUUGUUCACGUUUGAAAAUAAUACAACGAUAAGUCUCUAGUAGAAACACAAAUCAAGUGUUUACAACCAUAAAAACAUUAUACACGUUUAAUCUUUAAAUGCUAGACAGCUCAACUUUCAAUAACGAUCACCAAUCCACAUUUUUUGAGUAAUAAAAAUAACAAAACUAUAAUAAUCAAUUAAAUAAUAAUACUAUAUAUAUAUAUAUAUAUAUAUAUAUAUAUAUAUAUAUAUAUAUAAGAUAAUAUAAAAAAAAUAUAAGNNNNNNNNNNNNNNNNNNNNNNNNAUAUAUAAGAUAAUAUUAAAAAAAUUUAAGCAGGUUCACUGGUUGUAAGCAGAUUGAGAAUUUUAACCCUAACAUAACCCAUUUAAUUAAAUAUAUUAGACGGGUUAAGCCGUUUAGUUAAACGUGUUAAAGAUCUCAACCAAACCAACUAAUUACCAACCCUAAAUAAAGGGUGGAUGAUUGAAAGUGUUGAUAAAAACAAAAGUGUGUUACCUAAAGAAAUGAAGAUUGGGGAUUUCAAAAUUAAUAUAAAUGGAGCAAUUGGAAACAUCUUAUAGUGAACCUAGGAAGCAUUCCUUGAAGGCAUGAGGUUAAACUUUUUGUAUAUUUGAUUCUAACCGACAAAAAUGCAAAAAUGGUCCCUAUGGUUUGUCAUUUUUUGUGGAUAUGGUCCAAACCUUUUAAAAAUUGGAUUUCUGGUCCUUAUUGAAAGGUUUGUUUGUGGAACAAGUCCCUGGGGUUAACAGCCGUUUGUUUGUGGCUGUUAAACCCCUCACGUGCAUUGCACACGAGGGCAUAAAUGUCAUUUUACUUGAGGGACCAUUUUUACAAUUCCUGAAAUAAUAUAUAAAGACUUCCCCAACGUUCUUCCCCAACGUUCAAGUUAUUCCCCAAACGUUGUUCUGCAACUUUCAAGUUGUUCUUCCUUCUCUCAUCUCAUGGACACCGAAGAACCCAGGCAGAUGUUUCUAUGCUUGCCCUCAAAAGGUAAAGAAAUUCGUUUGCACCCAUUUUGAUAUGUAAUCAAAUAACAUUUGUUAUUUUCCCCUUUUUGAAGGAUUCUGCUUGUCGCUUCAUCGGAUGGGUUGAUCCCCCUAUGUGUGAAAGGUCUAAAGUCAUUAUUCCUGGACUAUUGAGAAAUAUUAACCGAAUGCAAGCUUGGUGCACAGCUCUAAAGAUCAUGUUGCUGGCUAGAUGGGUGUUUUUUGUGAUUUUGUUCAUAAGGUCUGUUUAGGUUUAGGUAAUAGGUCAAUGGGGUGGGUUUUUAUUUGUUGAAGAUCGAUAAAAGUGUGGUUUUUUGGUGAAUUAAUGGUUUUUGGUACUUUGACCUAGGUUCUUUGUAGUUGUUUGUAAGGUCAAAGUAAGUUGUGUAUGUAGUAAAUGACUUCCUGGUAUAAAUAUGAAUUUUAUGGAAUUGCUUAUGUUGUUUGUAAGGUUCUUUGUAGUUUUUGUAAGGUGAAAGAAAGGUUAAUGUGAAUAAUUGACUAUAAUGGUUAUAAUAAACAACAAUAACAAAAAACCAUAAUAACCAAGGCUGCAAUUACAUAAUAGACUACAAGCAUAUAGUGCAAUUACAUUAUCCCAAAAUAUGCAACCAUAUAUAUAUGUUCUAAUACUUAUCAUACUAAUGAAAACCAAAAUAACCAUAAGUCAUAAGUUUUUUAACAUCAAAACACUUCCAAAAGUAGCAAAUAACAUCUGCCAAAACAAACACAACCUUGAUCUUCAACUUCCACGUAACUUCCACCUCCUUGACCUUUGCAUGUCCUUGAUUUGUGACCUUUGUUUUUGCAUUUUGCACAUGUUACACUGACAUAUUUCCUUGUUAAUUUCUGAACUCCAUCAGGACCCACUUUACAGCCUUCUUCCUGACAUACACCAUGAGUACCAGUCUGACUUUGACUCCCUCUUUGACUCUGACUCAAUUUUUCAUCCUCACUUUUCUUCCUCUUCUUUGUAGGCCUACCUGGUUGCUUAUGAUGUAUUGGAGGGAUAAGUGUGGUGGGACACAAACUUUUAGGCCACAUUAUUCUUCCUUUUAUGGGCUCUACCUUAUAGGAAUAUGCAUUCUUCCAUGUAUCCAACCAGUAUACCUUAUUGACCCACCUGUAAAUGUCACCAACAUCCUCUGAGUUCUUGGUCAUUUCAUAAAGGGUUGCAAUGGCAUGUUUACAUGGGAUGCCUAUUAGCUCCCACUUUCUGCAAGUACAUGUGUUGUUCCUAACAUCUACAACAUGUUGGUCUUGCCAUGCCCCAGUGACUUGGUAUUUCUCACCCCCAUUCCACCUAGCAAUGUAAUGUGAUGCAUGAGACUUGUUUACAUCCAAUAUGGUUGUUGCAGUGGGUGUUAAAGGCCCUUUUGCCUUAUCCAUCACGUUCAUAACAUUACAGAUUCUCUUCAUCAGGUAUUGUCUAGUAUACUCCAAACAACCUAUGAUUGGCUUAUCUCUUCCCUCUAUUAUCUUGCUGUUAAAUACCUCACAAAGGUUGUUUAACAGUAUAUCAGAGAUUGCUCUGCCUGUUAAAAAAAUUAACAUAUUGUUUUAAGUACAAGUACACAUUUAACAUAUAGUAAUUUAUGGUAAUUUAUGUACCUGUAAAAUGGCUUCUUGCCCAGUGUUUUGGAGGAAUCUUUCUAAGCCAUUCACAUGCCUCCUUGUCAUAGUUGCUAAAUUCUUUCAUGCAAUGUUCAAAUUCAGGUACAGUGGUUGCAGUUGCACAUCUCCAUAAAUGAUCCUUGUACUCUUUCAAUUUCCAUUUCACUCUCAUGUUCUGAUGUAUGUGCCUGAGACAAUACCUGUGCUCAGCACAUGGGAAUAGUUGGGCUAUUGCUGGUAUUAAACCCUAUAACAAUAACAAUAAUUAAGUAUUUAGUUUAUAUAAUAAUAAGUAAUUAAUAAUACAAGUUAGAAAGAGAUACCUUUUGUCGAUCUGUGAUAAAAGUAAAGUUAGAGUUUGAACCAAGAUCCAAGUCUUCUCCUAAACACUGCAAGAACCAUACCCAACUACUUUUGUUCUCUGUCUCAACAAUGGCAUAAGCAAGGGGGUAAAUACCAUUGUUAGAGUCCAACCCAACUGCUGUUAGAACCUGUCCAGGAAAUGGUCCUUUCAUAUGUGCACCAUCGAAACCCAAAAGAUCCCUGAGGCCAGCCUUAAAACCUUUUUUCAGGGGACCUAAGCAAAUGUAGAUUCUUUUAAACCUCCUCGUUGGGUUUGAUGGGUUUUGUUCACUGUAAACAUCAAUCUUGACAGUUGUGUCAACAUUGGUUGCUUGCAAUUCAAGGACAUAGUCCCUCAAGAUCUCAUAUUGUUUUGUAUAGUCACCCUCCACGAUCUUAGUUGCAAUAUCCUUGGCCCUGAAUACUUUGUCAAUAGAAACACCAACCUCGAAGUCCUUUUGAAGUUGUUCCUGCAAUGCUCGAAGAGGAAUCCUUGGAUUCGUGUCGAUUUGGUCCAUGAUUCUCUUGGAUAUAAAAGUAGCAGUGUAAGCUCUAAUCUUCCUACUUUGAAGGCAAGUAUGGUUGUCAUUUAAUGUCCUUACAAACCAGGGAGAUUCUGUGUUUGACCUAGAAGCAUGAAGGAACCAACUACAGUUUACUUUUUCUGAAUUUACCUCUUUGCCCUUGCUUUUAUUUUUGGUAUUAAGGCCCACCACCCCACUUGCAUUGAUGACAGGGACUACACCUCUACACAAUGCCCGAAGUCUAAGCUUGUCAUUCUUUUUAUAAUAUAAAUUCCUCCUAGUUUCUAGUGCGUGCAUGUCAAUUUUUUCUUUCAAUUCUUUCUUUGAUUUAAACUUUUGCCCAACAUAAAAACUGGCCUUAUGGAUAUUGCCAAGACUGCAUCUUUUCUCCUUAGCCAGAUUUUUAAGAACACAUCUUCUUUUCCUUUCAUCUUCUGACCCUUCAUCUAAAGAAUCCCAUCUAUCAUUGUCAAUGACUUCUAUGUCCUCAUGUUCAUCAUUUGUCCCAACCCCGUUAUGAAACCCAUCCAUUUGAACACAACCAUAAUCCUUAUCAAGAUUGAGGUUAAAGUCAGUCAUAUCCACCUCCACUUCUGAUACAUUGUUUUCAUCAUCAACAAGUUCAUCAUAUUGUUCUUCUGAUUGUUGCCCAAGAUCAUCACUGUCAGCAGACUUUUCAUGUUCAGACUGAUGGUCUUCAACAUUCUCAUCUUCUGGUGGUUGAUAAUGUUCUCCAUCAAAAGGAUCAAAGUGAUCAUGAGAAAAGUUCUCAUAAUGAAAGUCAUCAUAAUCAAAGUUAUCAUGGUCACCACCUUGAUCUUGUACCACAUCAUCCAUGUUAGCAUGCUCAACCUCUUGAUCUUGAACCACAUCAUCCAUGUUAGCAUGCUCACCAGCUUGAUCUUGUACCAUAUCAUCUAAUUUAGGAUUCUCACUACCUUGAUCUUGUACAACAUCAUCCAAUUUAGCAUGAUCACCACCUUGAUCUUCUACUACAUCAUCCAAUUCAACUAAACAAAGUUUUUUGGCACAAGAACUUUGACCAACUAUUGAGUUCACCCUUACAUUUCUUCUAUACUGUGGUGAAACUUCUGUAGGGACUUUGUCAUAGAGUAUCAAGGACAUAUACCCUGCCAACUGUGUUUGAUCAUCAGCUUCAUCUAUCAUUGGGGUUUUAUGCUUUGCUGGUAUUUGAGGUACAUUUGCUUCUUUUGGAAGAUCACCAUCACAGAGCUCCUUAAUAAUAACUUUUUGCUUUCCUUUUGGAGACAUAAAAUAGGUCAGCAAAUUAGUUUGUCCAUGUUCUGUAUACACUUCAAUGACCUUGUUAUCUCCAAUAUACUGAGCCAAAUUCAAGACAUCAUCAUCAUUCCCUAAAGCUCUGAGGCCAAAAUCCAAGUCUUCAUGAGGAAUCCUAAAAUGGUAAUAUAUUACUGGGGGUACAGAGUAACCUAGCUCAACCAUCAUUGCGUCUAGUUCAUGAACUGAGAACUCAUCAAUGUCUACUAAAUCAAUAUAUCUCACUUCACCUUUAACAUAUUUCGUGUUUGGAAGCUUCGUAAAAUUUCCACCAUGGUGUAGCUUUAUGCUGAACAUUGUUGGUACACGCUCUACAAGAUACAAAAAACAUUAAGUAACAAAUUAUCAGAUGUUUGCAUUUUUGGCUUAAUUCUUCAGAUCAUCAAGAAACCUAACAAAAUUUCGUAAACAGAGGAUAACUGAAACUAACCAUAUUCAUUUGUGAUGUCAUACGUCUCGCCUUUUGGCCUAAUCGCCCACAUUACGAACACCAUUUACAGUUGAAAAGCAANUUCAGUUGCUCAUUUAUUUCAGAAUCAUUGAUGCAGAAAACCGAUACUAAUUACGUUUUCCAUUGCGAAAUAUAAUGGAAGUGCCAAAGUAUGAUAUCUAAUGGAUUUACCAUUACACCAUUACUAAACAGGUUGUUCGUUUCAAACAAAAUUGAUUUGUAUCAAACUAACUUUUUUUCCAUAAUGGUCCGGUUCGGUUUCCAAUUUUUUUAGUGUACCUUUAAUUUUCAUUGUGUUUUUUAAUGCUACGAAUGUAUGAUUUUUUUAGGAUAUAUUAUUUCAUACAAAACAGGGGAAAUGGCCACCCAUGGUGCUGGUGGCAAAUAUAUUGAUAUGGGGGAUUUAAAAACUCCAACCAAAUUACAUUACAUUACAUACUGGAAAAUAAGAAAUCAAAAAUAAAAACUAGAUGACAAACUAUGUGUGUCUAGCCUUUUGCAAACUUGAAAUGAACACAACCACUUUCACAUAAACCCAAUCUUUGAAGCUGUCAUAAAAUUGAAAAAAUGCACGUCUCCCUCNUUUACAGUUGAAAAGCAAAAACAAGUAAACACCUUGGACCAAAUCUUGAUUAGGGUUUUUGCGUUAAAAACGAAUGACGAAGAAGAUGGAAGUGGAAGAGAUAACUAAAUAUUUUGUGAUUUUGUGUGUAAUAUGGUGCUAAGACGGUAACAAGCGGGUUUAUUUCAGGAAUUGUAAAAAUGGUCCCUCAAGUAAAAUGACAUUUAUGCCCUCGUAUGCAAUGCACGUGAGGGGUUUAACAGCCACAAACAAACGGCUGUUAACCCCAGGGACUUGUUCCACAAACAAACCUUUCAAUAAGGACCAGAAAUCCAAUUUUUAAAAGGUUUGGACCAUAUCCACGAAAAAUGACAAACCACAGGGACCAUUUUUGCAUUUUUGUCAUUCUAACCAUAUGGUGCUAAUAUGACGUUCAUGUGGACUUGCUCUUUUAUUUAAUUCUUAUUUUAUUAAAUGUUAAAUUUAUUUUAAUCUAAAAGAAUAAUUAAUAUGUAUAUUUUUAUUUAUUGAAAACCUUAGAGUGAUAUUAUGGGCAAAAAGUGCAAGCUCAAACGGUACCUAUUACAUUUUAUUCUCAACCUUUUCUUUCUAAAACAACUUGUUCAUCUAUAGUCAUCUUGGGGUCAUGUGUUGCAGAUACAAUAGAGGCCAUUUGUUGCAGAUACAAUAGAGAACUCAAUAAUAGAAAUGAUAAACUAGAGUAAAUUAAGCUUUCAAUUUCCAUUUAUAACUUUUCUUAUUGGGGUGNCUAAACAGGUUGUUCGUUUCAAACAAAAUUGAUUUGUAUCAAACUAUUUUUUUUCCACAAUGGUCCGGUUCGGUUUCCAAUUUUUUUAGUGUGCCUCUAAUUUUCAUUGUGUUUUUUUAUGCUAGAAUGUAUGAUUUUUUUAGGAUAUAUUAUUUCAUACAAAACAGGGAAAAUGGCCACCCAUGGUGUUGGUGGCAAAUAUAUUGAUAUGGGGGAUUUAAAAACUCCAACCAAAUUACAUUACAUUACAUACUGGAAAAUAAGAAAUCAAAAAUAAAAACUAGAUGACAAACUACGUGUGUCUAGCCUUUUGCAAACUUGAAACGAACACAACCACUUUCACAUAAACCCAAUCUUUGAAGCUGUCAUAAAAUUGAAAAAAUGCACGUCUCCCUCGACGGUUGAGAAGUAAAGCGCCACAUGCUAUCCAAAAUCCAGUAGCAAAACCAAUGCCCACACCAGUAUAAAACCAUCCCCAGAGUUCAUCAUUUGUGUCUUCCCCAUCACCCUCACCUUUACCAAUAAGAGGUGGUACUUUUGAUUCUUCAUCUAGAGGACAACUUUUGGUAAGAGGAGGUCCACAUAGACAUGCAUUUCCAUUGUAUCUUGAUGGUUGAAAGGAUUGGAGUUGAGUGCUGGUUGGGAUUCUUCCAGACAAGUUAUUAAAUGACAAAUCUAGGUCAUUCAAUAAACUCAUCUGAGACAUGCUUGAUGGUAUCCUCCCUGAUAAAUUGUUUCUGGAUAAAUCCACCGUUAGAAGCUUUUUCAUCUCACCAAUAUGCUGUGGAAUCUCUCCAGAUAGAGCAUUCAUUGAAAAAUUCAGGGCAAUCAAAUCUGAAAGAUUGGUAAUUUGAUAUGGGAUUUGUCCUGUUAAGUUGUUGCUUGACAGGUCAAUGCUCUUCACCAAUUUCAGAGUACUUAAGAAUUCAUGUUCACCUCCUUGCCACUGAAUCAUUGCAUGGUCAACAUAUAUCCCUGAUGCAUAUACAAUAUUGUUUAUACUUGUUUGAAAGUAUACAUCUUGUAAGACUCCUCCUUGGUGAACCAUGCUCGUAAGAUUACUCAAACAUGAGGGGAUGGUUCCAUGAAGAUUUCUCAUCGACAGGUCUACAAUUUGAAGAUUACCUAACUGACAUAACUGUAAAGGGAUGGUUCCAAUGAAGUUGUUUGAUUUUGAUAACAACANNNNNNNNNNNNNNNNNNNNNNNNNNNNNNNNNNNNNNNNNNAAACUUGUUGGCCCCCAAAUUCAACGAGAUUAAACCCGUGCAAUUUUUUAAGGACAAAGGCAAUUCUCCAGAGAAGUUGUUCUUGUAUAAAUACAACACCUGGAGUUGUAUCAAAGAUCCAACAGAGGGAGGAAUCCGUCCAAAGAGAUUGUUGUGUCCAAGAUUAAGAACUUGUAGUCCUUUGAAACGCCACAAACAGUCCGGGAGUUGUCCGAUUAAUGAGUUAUGAGAGAGGUCAAGAAAUGAUAAGAACCCAUCAACAAUUUGGCAUACAAAUGAGAUUCCCCCAGAAAAUUUGUUUCUGGAAAUAUUUAAUGAGAACAAGGUGGAAGGAACAUUCGGUAUUGGACCAUAAAAGUUGUUGGAACUCAAAUCUAUCUCUGAAUAUUUGGCAAAAUUUGAUGAUAAAUCUGGUACUUUCCCGCUAAUGUUGUUGGAAGAGAGAUUCAGAUAUUCUAAUUGAGAAGGCCACAUGUCCCAAAACUCCAGAGGAAUUGUGUCUGAAAUUCCAGUAUUGGAAAGAUCAAGACGGGUAAGAUUUUUGAGGUCUGAAUCCAUUUGGGGAAGCGAGGCCCUACCUUGCAAGAGCUCAGAUCAAGAUACUGAAAAUAAGAGAUGUUUGACAAGUGAUCUGGGGAAGGAACUGUAAGAUUAUUAGAAGAAAGGUAAAGAGUUCGGAGCCUGGGUAGUUCCCACAGUUUCUCACUUAUACUUCCAUUUAAGUGAUUAUGAGACAGGUCCAAAAGCUUUAGGGAUGAAAACUUUUGGAUCUCAUCGGACAAUGAUCCUAUAAAUUGGCUAUGAGAAGCAUCCAACCAUUGUAAUGAAAGGGAUGUGCAUCCAGACAAGUUGUUGAGAAAAUCAGGAAAUUUGACAGCAGCAGAGUUGUUGUAGAAGGAUAAAAUUUCCAGACUACAGAGGUUACCAAGAUAUUUGGGUAUCCCAUCUAACAUAUUGUCAUAGAGAUAAAGUCCAUUAAGCUUAUCGCUGGUUAAUGGGAGCAACCAACGAUACAUGGAUGAUGUGAGAUUGUUGUCACUGAGAUAAAGGGUAUGAAUAGAUGAAGAAGAAGAAGAGUUGAGAAAAGAAGAAUAUGGAUACAUGACCUGUGACAGCUCACAUCUCCCUAAACUUAAACUCAACAGUUCUGGGAGACUCGAAAUUACACCUACCCAAUUAUUUGCAUUCGCAAGGGAAAUCCCAUCCAUUCUCAGAUCCUCCAAAUGAGAGAGAUGAGACAACCACUCUACCUUUUCAACUCUACACCUUCCAGCAGAAUCAAGAUGAAGGUAUUGCAAGUUGGUGAGGUUUCCAAACUGUGAAGGAAUGGUUCCAUAAAGAGAGUUACUGGAAAGGGAAAGGUACCUUAACUGGGUCAAGUAACCAAUGGACCUGGGAAUAGCUCCAUGAAAAGAAUUGUAAGAAAGGGAAAGGUACCUUAAUCGAGUCAAAGAACCAAUGAAAGUGGGAAUGGUUCCAUUGAAAAAAUUGAAGGAAAGAUCAAGAUGAUUCAAGUAGGUUAAGUUAAGCAAGGAAUGGCUAAUCUCACCUCCAAGACCAUCCUGUGAAAAGAAGUUGUUGAGUUCAAGCUUUGUGACAUGACCAGUUUGGUUGCUGCACUCAACUCCACUCCAUUUACAGCAGUCAUGUUGGUCAGAUCUCCAUGUAGAGAGAGUAUCAUAAGUGUCGUGAAGGGGAGCUUUGAAGAGAAGGAGCGCAAGUCUCUCAUUAUCCAAACACUUUUUCAUAUUAACACCAUUUCUAUCAUCUCCUCCUUCUCCCACUGCUACCAAUUGGCUGGUAGUUGCAGUCACAAGGAGUACCAAGAAAAGUGAGAAAACUAUAGAAGCACAAAGAUUCAUAAUUUAAUUAAAAAUGAAAAUCUUGGUGAUUUUUGGUUUGUAAUGAUGCCUGCCUAUAUGAACUGCACCCGUGAGUGUUUAUAUAGUCUCAACUGUGAGCAUAACUGAUUCUAAACGGGUGGCCUUGAAUUAAUUGUGUCGGGGAUACAAUAUUUAAUUCCCAUGAAAUUAGAACCAAACUAUAAGAAAAAAUCAAAGAUGAAGAUUUGAAAUAAAUGUCUCAAAUUAGUCGUUCAAAGACUUGCAAGUCUUGACUAUUUGCAUAUAUUAUCUAUAUCUUAUCCGAUCUUUGUGAUAUUUUCAAAGACUUUUAAGUGAUGUUGACCAUAACCUGUAUUAAAUACAAACAUAUAAGAAUGUAAACGCAAACAUUGAACUGACCCCCAAUUUAAUAACAACUAUUUCAUAAAUCUAGUAUUCUCAUUCCAUUGUUAAACAAUUUCUGUUUAUGCUAUCCUAAGAGUAUUUUUAUGAAAUCAAUUAGAAAAGUUUUAGCAGAAACAUAUAUCUAAUUUAUCAUAUCAAUUAAUUCAAAAUUUUCGAACAGAAACAUAAACCCACUAUUCAACAGAAACGANAAAAAAAAAAAAAAAAAAAAAAAAACGUUAUAAAAAAAAAAAAAAAAAAAAAAAAAAAAAAAUAGAGAACAGGGAUGAAGAGAGAAAUGCGUUGAGUUUAGUGAUGGCCAAUUAUUUACCAGACGGAAAACCAAGAAGAUGACAACGGUAGCAAAAAAAACAUAUUUAAAAGAAUAAUAAAGAUUGUAUACAAGUUACAUUUUGUUGGAAGUCAUUUAUACAUAAACAUAUUUUUAUAAAGAAAAGAAUAAUUUAGCAAAAAAAAUACAAUAUUUUAGUUCGAUUUAUUAAACCGUUUAUUAAUAAAUUUUGUUUCUAUAAUAAAAAUAAUGUGUAGUUCGGUUAGUCAAAAAAAGUUAAAUACCUUGCUCAUUAACAACAAUAUUAUACUUAACUUGGCUCAAAUUUAAAAGUGAGUUUUGGAUGUAUUCAAGGGCACUUUAUUUUGUUUUUCUCUCGGGCCCCAAAUAUGUAUGUACCGACUUUGGUCAAAACAUAAAUCAUAAAGCUUAUAAAAUACUUUUUUCUUACAAUACAUUUUGGUAUGUGCAUAUUUAAUCAUGUAUUUUGUGCAUAUUUAUAAUACUUUUAGUUACAAUUAUGCUUAUUUUGGGACACAAGGUACUUAUUAUGUUUAAAAUAUGUUUUGUAGUAGCAAAUACAUGUUCGGUAUGAAAAGAUAGAAACCGAGAAGUUGGAAGUAAGAAAAAUUGGGCAAAGUUAAAAAGAAGACAAAUAAUUCAUGAAGUCUGAAGCCCACGACAUGGUCACUCUAUUCCACGUCGUGGUAAAUGGAAGAUUCACGAUCAAUGAUCUAACUUGGAAAAUACGGGAUUUAACAGAAGACCACAACCUGGUGCCUAUUCACCAUGCUAUAGAGAUCAAGUUUAUGGAAACUAUAUAUAUUCGAACAUUAGAUCGAAUGUAGAGACUUUUGCCCAAUUUUCUGAGAGGGAUUACGACUAAAACCCUCUGGAAAACCUUGGGAAAACUAGGAAUCAAUUGGAGCUCAAGAGUUGAAGAGAUCUAGACGAAAUCAACAUAGAUCUAUUAAGUUUGCUAGCAUUACUCAUGUCUAGUCUUAAUUACAUUGAUUUAGUCUGCUUUUCUAUUGUGAUGAGAGGAUAAAAACCUUAUACUUCUAUUUGGUAAAGAUGAACCCAAAUCUUAUGUGUUGAUUUCAAUUUACGGAUGUUUUACAUUGAUUUUACUUAUGUUUGAUAAUCAAAACCCUAGCAUGUUUUAGUUCUAGUAUUUGAAUGCCUUGCUUUGACUUUAGUGUAGUAGAUGAUCAUUCUAGUGAUUUAUGAUCACUAAAUUGCUAGAGCUAGGAUUAAUCACAUCUUAGAUUAGGUAAUUAAAGCUAGUAACUUUAAAUUUGUUAGAGGGCAUAAUAAAUCUUAAAUUGUGCUUGCUUGCUUAACUUGAUCAUAGCAAAGUAACUAUUAGAUUUAUCAUUCAUAGUCCAAUUUGUGCUUAUAUCAAUUUUUUGUUUAACCUAUGCUUGAUCAUUGCAUAGUAAUUCAUAAAUUGGCACAUCUUUGCAUUUGAUCAUAAUAACUAGUAAAUUAAUGAAUUGGUAUGUCCUGGUAGCAUGUGUUUGCACCAUAAUUCAUUGACAAAGCAUUGCGAAGUCUCAUCAGCUUAUGGUUUUAUAUGCUGAAUCAAUAACUACUUUUAUUAGACGAAUUGGGAGAAGAAUGGUAUGAUACAUGUAAUACACUCUAGUGUUUUGUUGUACCCAUUGACAUAGAGUUUCCAAGCUCUCAUCAACAUUUGUUAUUAAAUGUUGAAUCAUAAAACUUUAAACAAGAAAAUUGGGUAAGAAUGGAUUGAUGUGUGUGAUAGUAUAUGGUAUAUAGACUAACCAUCGGCAUAAAUGUGUCAAGAUCUCAUCAGUGUAUGGUCUUUUAUACUGAAUCAUAAACUUUAAAGAAGAAAAUAGGGCGAGAAUGGAUUGGUGCGUGUGAUAGCCUAACGUACAUAAACUAACCAUCGACAUAAUUUUUUUCAAGCUCUCAAUAGUGUAUGGUAUUUUACGCUGAACUACGAAACUUCAAAGAAGAAAAUCAGGGCAAGAGUGGGUUGAUGUGUAUGAUAAACAACAGUACAUAGUUUAACCUGUUGGAUUAGGUGUCUAAACUCAUAACUAUAAUUGGGAUGUACUUGACCCGAUAGUAGCAUAGUCCUUUUGGGUUGCCUUCACCAUAGCAAUUUGAUAGGAUGAAUUAUGAAGAAAAAGGUUAACUAUGAUUUAUUAUUAUAUUAUAAGAAUAAUAUAUGAAUUGAGAAAUCAUAUUAUUUAAUUAGUAUUUAUCAUAAAUUAAUUUGGAAUUAAUUUAUUGAUCGAAAGAGACUGAUUAAAUUGAUGGGGACUAAUUAUGUAAAUCAAUGAUAGUUGUAAUUUGGGCUAAUGUAUCCUAUUCCCAUCGGAUGGACGAAAAUAUAUGGGAAGCCCAUAGAAUUUCAUCUAAGGCAUGCCAUAUAGGGAUCCAUAUGUUGCUUAGGGCAUAAACAAGGGAAUUAGGGUUUCUAAGUCGUAAACCCUAGGAGCCACAGCUAUAAAAGGAACUCUAUGGCUCACAAAAUUGGACCCUGUGAUUUCAUAAGAAACCUUAACCGAUUUUGAGGCUUCCUUCUCUCUCUCUUGUUCUUCCUUGUUGCUAGUGGUGUUUGUGAUUCCGUUCGAGGUGCAACAUUUGAGGCACUAAGCUCUUAAAGGUCAAGAUCAAAUCAACAACAAGAAAGGUAUUCUUCUAACCCUAAUUUGAAUAUAAUUUCAUUCUUAUAAAUGCUAGAUUAGGGUUCUUGCUUUGGAAUUUUAAUUUGCAUGUAUAACUUGAGAAAAGCCUAGAUUCAAAGCAUUAGGGUUGCAUGUACACCAUAGGAAUGUUGUAGUGCUCAAAACCCAUCAGUGGUAUCAAAGCUUAGGCUGUUUUUCUGUUGUAUGAUGCAAUUGUAAUGUUUUCAAGGCUGAAAAAGUUUCGUUUUUGGCCACUGGCUGCUGGACUUGACGGGUCCCAUGAAGGAACUCGAUGAGUUCAUGCCCUGACUCGACGAGUUGGUUCGUCUGGUGGCAGGAUUUUUGGAGUUUUGGCCUAAAUUAGAUUUGGAUAAUUACCAUAAAUUGUUUUUAUUGGUUAAAUUCAAAUUAUAUAAUUUGGUAAUGGAUAUCCUCAUCUAAUUAAAAGGUAAUUGUCAAAUUUUAAGAUAAUUACAAGAUUAUGUGAUAAAUUAAUUAUUUGUAAAUUUUGAUUUGAGUUUUCUUGCCAAAUAAAUUGGAUUAGAUCAUAUUUGUGAUAAUGAUAAAAUUAUAUGAUUAAUUUAAUUGUUUUAAAUUUGAUCUAGAAGUUUUGAAAAGUUUCAAAAUUUGUCCUCAAGUUUUGGAAUUUAAAAUUUGAUUAAAAGUUUUAGUUGUGAAACAUAAAAUUCUAAAACGCUAGCAUUUUAAAUGGUUAAAAUACUCAUAAUUUAAAUUUACAAUUGAAGGUUUUAAUUUUGGAAAUUUAAAAUGGACACAAGUAGAAUGAAUAAUUAUGGAUUUAUUGAUAAACAAUUAAAAGAUUAAUUAAGAAAGUAAUAAUAAAUCCAUAAUAACAUGGUUUAAACUUUUAAUUGACUUGAAAUUCUAAUUUAUUUAAAAGAUUAAACCACCAAGUAUUUUAAAAGUUUAAAAUACACCCUUGUACUAUUGUAAGAUUAAAAGUUUAAUUUAUAUAUANUAUAUAUAUAUAUAAGUAAAGUCAGUCUUACUGUUAGUAGGCGUCAUUCACGAAAUUGGUCUAUAAGGGGUGUUUAAGGAAGCAGCCUGUAAAAUGACCGCCAUUGGGUAUCCACUCUUACCCACCGCACUCUUGACUAAUGGAGCGUCGUUAGCCGAAUGGUUAGGAUAGGACAUUCUCAUUAAUAAGUAUAAUGAAAUAGAAAGUAACUAAACAUUUUAUAAAUUCUCAAUCUCAGUUACUUUAGGAAAAAUGUGAAUUUAAUGCUAACCCAUGAAAUUACACAUUGCACUUUAUUGGUCGUUAGUGGAGUGUGCGUGGUUAACUGGCACACUAAUAUGAGACUAAUGAAGGAUUGGAAUGGGCAACUCGUAGAUUAUCAUAUAUCAAUGGAGUGUGUGCGGUUAACCUGCACAUUGAUUCGGUGAUAAAUGACUUUGAGAUUACAAUUUAUACCAAAAUGCCAACAAUGUGGCUAAAUAUUGACAUCAUCUUAUGUAUAGAUGAUAGAUAACAAAAGUUAAAUACUAGACAAAUUAACAAUCUUGAAAACCCCAUUUUUAUUUUGAGAGAAGUGUUCUUAUAAGAUUGGACUGUGAUGUUCUAUCACCAAAUGACAUUUUUUUGUAACUCUUGACUUUCAUGGUUUCAACUUUAGAACCGCACCACCCAUCUCCAUCUUUUCAUUUUCUUAUGAUAAUAUGAUCGGACUCCGAGUGUUUGCCUUUUCACACAAGGCUUGAGAACCUAAAAGAUAGUUUGCAACCUUUUAUUCACCACAUUAAUAGCAAGUAGGAUAUCAUACAUGGUAAAAUCUUAAGACUAUCUACAAUAGCACUAACCAAACAUCCCGCUUCACUCUCUAAUUUUGAAUGAUCACAAAAUGUUCGUAAUUCACAGCCUUGGAUAAAGAUUUCACAGUAAAAUCUGGAACGUUAGUAAGUAUGUUUUAGGAGAACUUAGAAAAAUAUGCAAGUUCAAAUGGUAUUUAUAACCUUUUAUUCUCAACCGUUUCUUUCUUGAAAAACUUAUUCAUCUGGAUGACUGUAGUCAUCCAAGUGCCAUGUGCUGCAAAUACAAGAAACAACUUGGUAAUAGAAACUAUAAACUCAGGAGUAAAUUACACUUUCAAUUUCCAUUUUUUUGGGGGGUUAAUGGUAAUUCUCGGUUGCUCAUUCAGUUUUGAAUCACUGAUGCAAAAAGCUGAUUCUAACCAUGUUUUCCAUUACACUUUCAAUUUCCAUUUUUUUGGGGGGUUAAUGGAUUCUCAGUUACCAAACAUUACCAAACAGGCGGUUCGUUUUCAAACCAAAUCGAUUUGUAUCAACAACUGUUUUUUUUUCUAGACUGGUCUGGUUUGGUUUAUGAUUUUCUAGUGCACCUCUAAUUUUCAUCUUGUUUUUACAUGCUACGAAUGUAUGAUUUUUUUAGGAUAUCUUAUUUCAUACAAAACAGGGGAAAUGGCCACCCAUGGUGUUGGUGGCAAAUAUAUUGAUAUGGGGGAUUUAAAAACCCCAACCAAAUUACAUUACAUUACAUAUUAGGAAAUAAGAAAUCAAAAAUAAAAAAUUAAACGACAAACUACGCCUAUCUACUCUUUUGGAAACUUGAAACGAACACAACCACCUUGACAUAAACCCAAUCUUUGAAGCUGUCAUAAAACUGAAAAAAUGCACGUCUCCCUCGACGGUUGAGAAUUAAAGCGCCACAUGCCAUCCAAAAGCCAGUAGCAAAACCCAUGCCCCCACCAAUAUAAAACCAUCUCUCAACUUCAUCAUCUAUGUCUUCCACAUCACCCUCACCUUUACCAAUAAGAGGUGGUACUUCUGGUUCUUCAUCUCCAGGACAAUAUUUAGUAAGGGGAGGUCCGCAUAGUCCUUUGUUUCCAUUGUAUCUUGAAGGUUCAAAGGAUUGGAGUUGAGUGCUGGUUGGGAUUCUCCCUGAAAAGUUAUUGUAAGACACGUCUAUGUAAUUCAGGAAGCUCAUAGUAGACAUGCUUGGUGGUAUCCCUCCCGAAAAACUAUUUCUGGAUAAAUCCAAAAUCUCAAGAUUUUUCAUCUCACCAAUUUUCGGUGGAAUCUCUCCAGAUAACUCGUUCUUUGACAGGUUCAGGGAAACCAGGUCAUGAAGAAUGGUAAUUUCAUUUGGGAUUUGUCCUGUUAAUUUGUUGCUUGACAGGUCAAUGGUCUUCACCAAUUUCAGAGUUCUACUAAAUUCACGUUCAUCUCCAUGCCACUCAAUAGUCGCAUGGUCGGCAUAUGUACGUUGUGUACGUACAUUAUAACUUCUCACAAAUUCAUAAUCAAAUUCACCUUUUGAGAGUCCUCCUUGUUGAACCAUGCUCGUAAGAUUACUCAAACAUGAAGGGAUAGUUCCAUGGAGAUUGUUCAUCGACAAGUCCAGAACUUGAAGAUUAGCUAAAUGGCAUGACUGUAAGGGUAUGGUUCCAAAGAAGUUGUUUGAUCUUAGGAUAAGAACAUACAACCUUGAUAAGUUUUCACCAAUCCAGACAGGCACUUUACCAGAAAACUUGUUGGCCCCCAGAUUCAAAGAGAUUAAACUUGUGCACUUUUUUAAAGACAGAGGCAAUUCUCCAGAGAAGUUGUUCUUGUAUAAAUACAACGCAUUGAGUUGCAUCAAAGAUCGAAUAGAGGGAGGAAGCCUUCCAAAGAGCUUGUUGUGUUCGAGAUUAAGAACUUUUAGCUCCUGGAAAUGCCACAAACAGUCCGGGAGUUGUCCAGUUAAUGAGUUAUGAGAGAGGUCAAGAAAUGAUAAGAACCCAUCAACAGCUUGGCAUAUGAAGGAGAUUCCUCCAGAGAAUUUGUUUCUGGAAAGAUGUAAUCUUGACAAAGAGGAAGAGACAUUUGGUAUCGGACCACGAAAGCUGUUGGAACUCAAAUCUAUCACAAAAAGGUUGGCAAAAUUUGAUAAUAAAUCUGGUACUUUCCCACUAAUGUUGUUGGAAGAGAGAUUCAGAUAUUCUAAUUGAGAAGGCCAGCUGUCCCAAAACUCUAGACGAAUUGUGUCCGAAAUUCCAGUAUUGUAAAGAUCAAGAAAGGUAAGAUUUAUAAGUGUCUGAAUAAUCCAUUUGGGGAAGCGAGGCCCUAGCAGCUUGCAAGAGCUCAGAUCAAGAUAUUUAACAUAAGAGAUGUUUGACAAGUGAUAUGUGGAAGGAACUGUAAGAUUAUUAAAAGAAAGGUCAAGGGU
rnacentral:lncRNA from 1 species